rnacentral:lncRNA from 1 species
AUCGUCCUUGUGCUGAAUAAUUGGAUAUCGUAUCCACUUAAAGCUGCCUUGUGUAGUACGUCUUUGUGUCUCUCUUUAUAUUCCAAUAAGGUCGGUGAUCUUGAUGCCACACACUCAGAUGUGUGUUCAUCUCCAGAUACUACUCCAUGCUACCUGCCCUUUGUGUUUUGUUCAAUAACUGGGUAUCAUAUCCCAGCCAGUAUGCCGUCUGUUUUGUGUUUGUUUCCUUCUAGUUCCAAAGGGGUCAUCAUGAUGUUACCUUCUUUCAAUAUGGUGCUUUGCAUGACUACUGUUGUAUGGUACCAUCUUGUGGCCAAUAAGUACAUCUUAUCCUAUGACCUUUGCUAUGACCCUUUGCAAAUAAGUAGAAGAUUGUUAUAAGCGUCAAUACUCCGUAUAAAUUGAUCGCUGCUGUGAGUUCCCUUUCAGCUUAUCGUAGGCAUACAUUAUUGCUAGCACGGUAAAGCCAACCAACACGAAUGAUGAAGUAAACGUAGCGGUACUUCUGUAUACCAACACCCUUACUUAAAUGUACCGGUGUCAUUCCCUACUGGCACAUAUAUUCUUAUAUGCUAGCCAGCUUGUAAAAUUAACCAAUUAAAAUAAUUAUUUCAAGAUAGAAAUAACUUAUCGGUUUCUGGAAGCAUGUGUAAUGUGAAUUCAAGGACUCGACGGAAGUUGAAUCACUUCAUCUAUAUUGCUUUCAGUAUUUUGGGUAACUAAAUUUAACAUUUGCACAUACAAAUGUUAAAGUACAAAUGUUAAAUCUAGUUACCCAAGCAGAAUAUGAAGAUAGUUUAUAGUAUAUAUAUACUAUAUAAAUCUAGUUAACAUUUAGUCUAAAUGUUAAAUCUAGUUACCUAAAAUCCUGAAAGCAAAAUGUAUAAAUAUAUAUCUUUUAAGGCAGUAUAAGCUUCGAUUCCUAUUGCUGCUCUGUUAAAUCUCAUCUUUCGUUGUGGCCCAACACUCUAGUAUGCAUGUUGCACCAAGCUUCUUUGAGCCGCUCUGCCCUCUGAUUUUGCUGCGUAGGGGAAUCUUUAUCAGGUUGGGCUACUUCCAGUUGUGCGAUGUAAAGAUUCGUAUUUUCUAGAAGGUAGACAAAAAACUCGCGUUCUCUUAAGGCAACAACCGGAAGAUUCUGCAGCGCACAGGGCAUACCAUUAUUGUAGAAACGACCUUUAGUACCGAUCUCCAACCCCCUUUAAAACUGGUUUUGCAACCGGUACCGUUAUGUCGGUCCUUUAGUACCAGAUCAAAUAAGUACCGGUUGGUAACCAGUAUCAACUUGUUUUGCGGCCAAAAAAAUAAAGAAAAAAACAGUCAGAAGGCUCGCGCACACGCGCAUCACAUGAAAUAUGCGUGUGCGGGGUCCAUGGGAUUCGAACCCAUGAAAUCAAGCUGCGCGCGACCCUUCGUUACCAUCUCACCUACAUAGCGCAUAUGCUUUCCUGAAGUAACCCGUGGAGGAGGCUUUAGUACCGGGUCAUAACACCACCCGGUACUAAAAAUGACUCUUCAGUACCGGGUCAUAACACCACCCGAUACUAGUAUCGGAUGGUGUAAUGACCCGAUACUAAAAGGCCUCUAGGGACCCUCAAAUUUGAACCCGGUACUAAUGCUAAUAUUAGUAGCGGGUCAAAGUGCAGCCAGAACUAAAGCAUGGGAUGAAAGGUCAUAUUUCUAGUAGUGUAUAGUUGUUGUGAAGGACUGACUUGGCUGUCCUCUCUCUUCUCCAUCCCCUUGGUCUUACGCCGCCGCUCGCACGCGAGCCGGUGCCCAACCAGAGGAGUGAGAGCUAGGGGCAGGUUGGGAGGUGGGGAUAGUGACUGGUGGCCAGGGUGAUGGUUGAUCCUGGUGGGGUUAGGGUUUUAGGGUUUUCGAGCUUCCUAUGGUCGGCGAACCUAGAGGAGGAGCUCAACAUCAGCUGCAACCCGCGAUGGUGGUGGUUUGGCCGGCGCCCGAGGCGAGGCAGCGCGGGAGUGCUGCCGGUGGGUUGGUGUUGGCACUCAUUAUUGACAACUAUUUUGUUCAUAAAAUAACACUCAAACUUGCUGCUGCUGCUGCUGCUGCCAUCGCCACCCUAGCCAUAAUAUAAAGGCAAAAUUUGCUAAAGGACAUGCAAAAUGAUGCUAGUUUGCUGGCGGGCAUCGUUGACCUUGUAAUAUGCUACAAGACACUCUAGUUGUGUAUCAAUUUGCUGAAAGACAUUGCUAUGACUAAAAUAAUGUUUCUGGACUGAGUUGGAGAGAGAGAUGGAGUGAAAUGUCUGUUUUGCCCAUGACCCCACUGGUCAGAUCCUUCUUCUUCCACCCUCCUUUGUUCUUUCUUCAACCAUUACCCAGCUCCAGCGUGUUGCAGAUCUACGAGGGUGGCGGCCUGGGGCGAGGGGCAUCGCUCGCCCUUGGAGGAGCGCUGCGAGCGACGGCGCGGGGGCGGCAACAGCGCGUCAGAACCUGACUGUUCGUUAGCUCCUCUCGCUGCUGGGGAAGGAGGGGGAUGGGCCAUGGACGGGGUUCCCUUGAAAACCUCAGCGUCGAGCUCGGGCGGCUACGCGCAGGCAGCACUAGGCUGCUUCACGGGGAGGGGGCGCGGCCAAUCAUUGGCACCCCACUGGUCCAAUGCUGAUGAAGAUGGUGCCAGCGUCGUGUGAGGACAUCUCAUCUCCUCGAGUUCCAUGGCCAGCACAGGUGAGCUGCCGCUACCACAAAACAGAGGUUUCGUGAGAGUCAAAAAACCUUAUGAAAAUAGCUAAAACCAUCAUGAAAAUAAUCCGUGACAUGACACUCUCACGAAAAUCCUCUCACAAAUAUGGUGCCAUGAAAAUACCAUUUUCAUGAGAGUGAACUGUCAUGAUUUUAUUUCGUGAGAGUAUUUCCUAUCAAUGACCUCCACGAAAUACUUUGUGCCACCAGGUCUUCAAGAUCAUUUUCAUGAGAGCUGAACAUCAGGAAAAGUCCGCCACAAAUGUUUUUCUUGGAGCCCCUAACUCUCAUGAAAAUCAUGCGGGCCGCCACGAAAAACAGCAUGACCAAAUGACAAAUUUCAUUUUCAUGUGUUCAUACCGCCAUGAAAAUGGUCAUUUUCAUGAGAGUUGAUGAAACAAAAAAUAGUGCCAUUUUCAUGAGAGUUCAAGCAACCAGGAAAAGACACUAAUAAACAUCCAGAUCCCAUCCAGCACACAUCCAUGCACAUAUAUAACCCACAUAUUGCUCCAGCACACAUCCAUGCAUAUACAAGAUCCAAAUGUUAAUAUAGUAGACAUCCAUGCCUGAACUAGUCUGCCACACAAGUCAUUGAUGCUACAAAUCCUACAAUCGCAGCAUGUGCAUACAAGUCACAGAAUGAGACAAUGUACCCAAAACUAAAAGGUUAGCAUCAACUGUGCUUCAACCAAAGUUGUCAUCCCAACUCUCCUCUUCAUCCAUGCCAUUCUUGUCGUGGCCGUCACUGUCAGUCCCCAUGGCAUUGCCAAUGCUGUGCAUGUCUUGGUAGGAACCUACAUGUGAUGAACUAGUAACCUGCAAAAAGAGCUCAAAGGAUCUUGUUCUCAUAUUGUAGCUGUGAAAUUCUUACAAGUAGUGUUGCAAUCAGUUCACUUUGAACCAAAAGAGCUCAAAGGAUCUUGUCCUAAAAGUUCCUCAUAAAGCUUAUGGGUUUGCUGGUGGAACUGGAAGGGCUUGAUGCAGCAGAUGCCAUUCUGCAAUAGAGAAAAAUUUAGAGAGCAGUACUAGUUAAAAUUGGAUGCAGAAGAUACACAUGAAACUAGUAUUUAUACAAGUCUAUACAAUUAAAAUCUAAGGAGACUUAUCAUCGUUUUCAUGUGUUGUGAAUUAAAAUAAUGAAGGAUACACUGUUAGGUGAAAAUUCAAGAAACAAAAUUUUGCAUAGAGAUAAAGGUCCAACAUUAUUACAAGUUAAGGUAGUUUUAAAUAUCCUUGUAAUCUUCCUUUGGUUUCCUCAACGAUUCGAAGACAAUAACCUUGCUUCUAUCAAUGAUAAUUAUAAGGAGAAUCCAGUGGAAACUGUGUAUUCGUAUUAGAACUACCUAAGGUUAAUUAGGUUAGGAAAGGAAAUUGAAAAUAGAUGGUACCCACACUUACUUAAAGUUGUCGGGCAAUAGUAUGUAAUGCUUGUAAUUCCGUUGCUCCAAGAAUUUGUAUAUGUGGUCCAAUGUAGACUUUGGUUGAUCCCGUAUCUGCUGUUGGUUAAAUAAGUGUUUCUAGCCAUUUCUAGCCAUUAGAACCGGGACUAAAGGGGGCUCUUUAGUACGGGUUGAUAUUACUAACCGGGAUUAAAGAGCCCCCAUUAGAGUUGGUUUUUGGAUGCGGAACUAACAACUCCUUUAGUCCUGAGUACGAAAACAACUGACAUAUUUGUUGCUGGAUGGAAGGUCCUUUCUCUACCGUGAAUAUUGCCAGAAAGAAUUGAAAGAGACUGCUUGCUAAAAAUAUGUCAUAGAUGUAGACCAAGCUACCAAGGAGGUAGACCAAACAUGAUACACACCAUGCGUACCUUGCUGUGCAGACUAUGCAUUGACAAGAUACCCGACCACAUGUUGGCCUCGGUCACAUCAAAAGAAUCAUGUAGGCCACCAAUAAACUACUUGAAGCGGCAUUCCGUAUCGUAUAUGCAUUGCCGGUUCAUCUGCAUUACAUUACAUAAAGCACUAUUAACUAUUUGAAUAAAAUGAACCAAUUUAAAAGUAAUGUGUUGUACUCUACUAUAGAAAGCCCUAUCACUGCCGGAUCCAAAAACAUCAUUGUUAAUGGUGGUUAAGUACCAAAUAUGACGGUCAAUAUUCUCAAGAAUAAUGGAGAAUUAGCAUUUCUUAGACACAUAUUUGGUUUUGAACAAUGUAGUUCCACAUGUCUUUGGAGAUUAUUUGGGUGUGGGUGAAAUAAUACAAAAAUAAGGAGAAAACACACUCCCAUGGCGAAGAAACACAACUCCAACCAAUGAGAGAUAGCCACAGGGGCAGCACACGGAUCCAUGGGCCCACUAACCGCAUCAAACCAUCUUACCAAGGCAGGUAGCACCCACAACCGUCAUUAGGACCCACCUGGAAGUCUACCAAGAAGAAGGUUGCGAGUGGGGCCAGGAGGGGUUCGGUUGAAUCAUCUCUAGCUAGCUCCCCUCAUCCCCAGCUGGUGGGUGGUGGUGGUUGAUGGUGUCCCUACAUCAGUUAGAGGAGAUUCCCCCAAAUAUUCCUCCUGUAAACCACCUCUAUGGACCUAUACAUAGAGGGGUGUGCUCUCCAUUCCAACACACACCACAAGUUGAAUCACUCUCUCCCUCUUUAGUUUCCAAGUUUAUGGAGUUAGGCUAGAGUAGCUCUGCUCAAGGUUCCAAGUCCACUUGGAGUUAAGCAUAUGUCUCUUGUAUCGUUAUUUCCUAAAUUGACUUUAUGCUUAGUUCUUAUAUGCAUGAGUUAGUCUAAUACCCUUGCUAUAUUGAUAUGCUCGGCUUAUAUGCUCGUAUGCUAGUCAUAUACCCUUGCUGUCGUAGUAUAGGCUUAUAUGCUCUCAUGUGUGCCUGUAGACCUUGCUAUAGUAUAUACUUGUUGUGCAUACAUACCAUGUAUAGGCUAGUCGAUCUAUACCAUGGCAUUGGUUCAAUAGCCAUGUUUUUGGUGGCUCCAACCCUAGUCACAAUAGCUCGGGACAGCUGGAGUGUUGUUAAAAAUGCAAGAGUGGUGCUUGGGUUGUUUAGCAUCGUUGGAUAUGGGUUUGCCCCACGGGUUUCUAACGGUAGGCGGCAGCUAGUGACAUCCCUGUCCGUCCUUCGUAAUCCCCCCACAUUCAGGUACGCCAUAAAUGUUCGUAAAUUAGCAGUAACUACGCCGGUACACCUGUAGGGUAUUGUCUCCCUGUAGUACCUUGGUGCAUAGAACUAAGUCCUAUACACUGUGUGUGUAUGUUUACGCUGAUAUGAUCUGUGCAGUAUAUAGGAUGUAUAUAUGAACCUAGAGCUAACUCCUAGUCCGUUCUCCAUAGCUUAGUUAUCUUGAGAUGAUUCUUCUGUAUGUGUAACACUACCCAUCUUAUCAUUAUCCUUGAUCCUGUCUUGUGUAAUAUAUCUACUCAUCCUAUGAUAUACUCAUAUGCAUAGUAAACUAUUUUGACCUACCCGCCUUCCUUUGGGAAAUAUGAUACCUUGGAAUAAUCCUAGGUGAAAUCCUACAACGGUAUAUCCAUGUAAAUGCGGAUUUAUUCAUGACCAUUAAAUAUACCAACAAUCAUCACUGUGAGUUUUGGGCGUCGUUAGUGAAGGGUUGGUAGUGAUGGGCAUCCCCUUCACCAAUGGACCUGGAACCGGCGGUGAUGGCUAUUAUAAAAAAGGGGACACCACCCAGCGUACCCCACGACCCGGCCGGCCGCACCUCCCAUCAUCCCCGCCAGCCGCCCUUCCUUUUCGCCGGCCGAGCAUGGUCCCGGCCUUUGUCCCUACCACCUCGCCUCCACCGCGACCCCCCGCCGAUGCCCUCGUGCCUGGCCCCCCUCAUCUUGCCGGCCACCCUCCCGAUGCGUCCACUGGGGCCCUCGCACCACCAACCGCCCUUGCUUAGAGAGGGAGAGAGAGGAGGGAGGUGAGGCCACGCACCUCGUCCUACACCGCCGCUGUUUCUCCUCGGCCCACCGCGCCUCACCCCACACCACAGCCGCGCCUUGCCAUCUUACCGGCUGUGACGCCUCAUCUCACCGGCCACCGUUCCUCACCCCCACUUCGGUCGUCGCCGCUCCUUGCCCUACCGCUGCUCUUUGCCGCUGCGAAUGAGCGCCGAGUGGAGGAGGAGGGAUGGGGCAGGAGGAGGGCAAGAUCCGGGAGGAAGGGAGAGAUCUCGGGAGGUGGAGAUGGAAGGAUAUGGCGGAAGGGAGAGAUCCAGAGGGAGAGAGCAGGGGAGAGAGGGGGGCGUGUGGGGAGAGAGCGCGUGUGGGGUGGGGCCGGGCUGGUGGGAUGGAAGGGAGAGGGGCUAGACGGGCGCAGUGCAUUCAACUGGAUGAAGUAAAUAUUUUGGAUUCGAGACCCCAGCUUUAUUAUCACCGCUGGUCCGUAGUACCAUCCGGUGCCUGCUCGUAAUUUAAUUUGAAUCUGCGGUGAUGUUUUAUUAUCACCAUCGGAUCAUAUAAAAAUCCGGCGGUUAAAAAUCCGCUGGUUUCGAUGAAAACCGACGGUGAUAGGAUGACUGUGAUAGUCUCUUCUCUAGUAGUGGUAUAUUAGUACCGGCUGCCGGAUGGUGUUGCCGACCAGUACUUCUCCGGGGGCGAUUCAGUACUGCUGUUAGCAAAGCUUGUUCUCUAUGAAUUUGGGGAUGGAAAGCUAGUUCUCUAGUUGUGAUUUGUUACAUAUAUAUCUAUGAUAGUCUAGAAAUUGCAUGUCCUUCGUUGACAUAGUUGAAGCUGCUUCAAGAAUUUACUUCGUGCAGUCGUGCAGCAUAUUGGAUUAUCACCUAGACAGGAUACAUAGGUGAAGCAUUGGAUGUGAUUGUGGCCGAUAAUUAUGCAGGACGCUGUUGCAAUCAACCACCAAGAAGUCUGGAGUGAUGGGGUUGCCUCAUCAAUAAUUUUUAUAUAUGGCUGCAGUAUUAUUAAGCCCACGUCAAUAAUUUUUUGUCCGCACCAUAUAUCGAUGGGGUUGCCUCAUCAAUAAUUCGCGCAACCAGACAAGCUGCAGACUCAAUAUGGUACGAAGCUAGUUGCUCAGCCCACAUGCUCUGAUAUAACAUUGACAUCUGCUGAUCUACAGUAUAUAUGACCAGAAAUAUUGUGCCCACCUCAAUAACUUUCUGAAGUAUCGUGGGGAAGAACCUACGCGUACUAUGCCUCGGAACUAACUGACAUAUCGGCCCAGGCGGUCUAGGCCGAUUGGACUGGCUCUUCCUUGUGGCUUCUCACAUCCCCUUCGUCCCCAAGUAAUUUCAGGUGUUCUGUAGUUUUCUUUUCACUUGCAUCUGAGCCUCCUAUAUCAAUAGCUUCGGGAUAAGAAUGCCUCUUGAUAACCUUCCAAAUCCUCGCUUGAUUCACAUUGAUUCCGAAAUCAUCUUGCCAUAUCUUCAGAGACUUAGGUCCUAAGGCAUCAUGGAGGAUUGCUCGCCAAGAAUGAGCACCAUUGGGCUCCUGAGGACCCUAGGCCGAUCAGCCCGGGCUCUAUAGGUCGAUUGGCCCAGGCCCUCUCUGGGCCUGUUGGCCUUCAUCUUUCUUUGAGUCGACGCUUAUUCAGGGCUUUGUCCAAUUAUAGUCCAUUAUAGUCUAAUUUCCUAAAAAACAGAAUGUCCUCCAAAAUACAAUGCAUAUGUGAAAACAACCCAAUUAUUAGGUAUGAUCAAUAGUUUAGGUAUUAAAUUAAUAUUAUUAUUUAAGAUAAACAGGGGUAAAGGGUGUCAUUAAUAACAAGCGCCAACAAGCGUCCUAGCUGUUCAAUAAAUUUUUUCUAGUACCGAUUGGUAACACUAACCGGUGCUAAUAUGUACCCUUUAUUACCGGUUAUUUUACCAGGUACUAAAGGAGACAAGAGCAUCCUAACAUAAGGUUAAUAUCAUCCAUUUCAUGAGUAAAAUACUAUGAUUCAAAAAUAAUUCAAAUCCCUUAAGACAAUACCUAUCAAAUGAGUAAAUUGUAAAUAGAGUAAUCUUGAUCAAACAAUGUCCUAAUGAAACGGAACACUUCUGGUUCGUGUAGAGCACAAUAUAGAAAACAGUAGGGUAGCUGUAUGAUUGACACGUGGUCCAUUAAUUAUUGAGCCAACACUAUGGACAUGUCUUCAUGAGUAGUGUACUAGUCAUAAUACAUGGUAUGCAGUAGGUGGAGGUAUUGACUUAGCCAUGCUAUGAGCACUUAGUUACAACAAACACUUUGCCAUUAUCGAGCAUCCCAAAUCACUACAAAAUCCAUAGUUUACCAUAUACUACAAAAUCUGAGUUAAAAUAAGAGCAUACACGGAAGAGUCCGAAUGCACGGCACAUUGAAUUACUAGACAAAAUUUAUGGGACAAGGUUUUGGGUAACCGCAUGAAAAAUAUUGGAUUUUACUGAACACUUAGUUACAAUUACCAUGCCCGUGAGCACUUAGUCACCACAAACAUUUAACCACUUUAGAUCAUCCUGAAUCCCUAUAAAUUCUAUACCUUACACCGUACCAUGAAAACGACAAGAACAGAGACAGAUGCGGUGAAAAUCUCCAGAGCAAGCCUGAAAUUAAAAUAAGAGGAGGCAGUCACUAUCGACAGGACACGGAGAUUGCUAGCCAUGACAGAGGAAGACAUGAUAUGAUAUUCACCUCUGAAAUGCAGCGUAGACUAAAUGAAGCACAAUUGCAAGUGAGUGUGGCAGAUAAUGGACCAUCGAGACCAUCGAAUGGUAUGAAGCAUGAUUAUCACCUAGACAUGAUAUCCUAGACAGGACGGUGAAUUGUAAAAAGAGUAAUCUUGAUCAAAGAAUGUCCUAAUGAAACGGAACAUUUUUGGUACGUGUAGAGCAAAAUAUAGAAAACAGUAGAGUAGUUGUACGAUUGAAACUGCAUCCAUCGACGUGGUGCAUGAAUUGUUGAGCCAACACUGUGGACAUGUCUUCAUGAACACCAUCUAGUGAGGACAGCAUGCAGAAAAAUAUAAAAACAUGUCAUAGGGAGGCAGACCAAUCUUGCGAGGUAGACGAAACGUGAUACACGAUCUGCCUACCUUGUCGUGUGGAUACCCCAAGUGAAGAUGUCAUAGAGGUGCAGACCAAGCUAGCAAGGAGGUAGAUGAAACGUGAUACACGGCCUGCCUACCUUGCCGUGGAUAUUAGUCCUGAUAUCAUUCUAUUGUUCAAGGAAUAACACUCAAUGCUGCUGCUGCUGCUGACCUGGCUCCAUAAAGUUAUAUUCCUCUAGCCGCUUGCACUAACUUUAUCUGAAGUAUUAUUCUCUCUGCACUGUAUAUAUGGUUACGGAGUUUGCUGGAGUAUCCGGGGGGAAGAACCUACAUAAUAUGUCUUGGAACUAACUGACAUUGAUUCACAGACAAGGUGCUGUUGUUGACAUGGUACAGUAAAUAAUAUAGUUUACCAUAUACCGUAUACCAUUAUAUGUUAGCUAAAAUAAGAGCAUAACAUGUCGCAGGAGUCCAAAAGCACCGGUUGAGGACCAGGUACAUUAAAUUACUAGAAAACAAAAGGGGACAAGGUUUAGGUAGCCACAUGAAAAACAUUUGAAUUUACUGUACCAUGAACACUUAGUUACCAUGCCGGGAGCACCUAGUUAACACUAACAUUUAGCCACUUUAGAUCAUCCCGAAACACCAAUGACCCUCAAUAGCGACAAAUUUUGGUUUAAAUGCCGUCACCAAUGAUCCUCAAUAGUGACGUGUUUAGGUUUAAAUCCCAUCACUAAUAACCCUUGGUAGUGACGUGUUUUGGUUUAAAUCUCAUCACCACUGAUCCUCACUAGUGACGUGUUUUUAGCAACACACGUUAUGAAUGACUUGUCAUUGGUGACAUGUUAAACGCGUUAUCUCAAUGGCAAAUCAAUGGUGACGUGUUUAAAAAAACAUGUCACUGUGAGAGUUAUUGGUGAAGGGUAAUUAAAAUGCAUCACUAAUUUUGUAGCAUUAGUUAUGAUAUAAUUUUGUAACGCAAAAAUCUACCAUAGUAAUGAGGUUUAGAGCCAUCACUAAUGUGGGUUUCUUAUCGUAGUGAUGCAAGCUCUACAAGGUGCUGUUGUUGCCAUUUUAAAGCAUCCCAAAUGACUACAAGAGUCCGGUUGAGGACUAAACAAAUUGAAUUACUAGAACCAAAUGUAUGUCCAGAACAAAGAAAGGGGUCAAGGUUUGGGUAACCGCAUUAAAAACAUUGAAUUUUACUGUACCAUGAACACUUAGUUACCAUUACCAUGCCUUGAGCACCUAGUUACCACAAACAUUAAUUUAGCCACUUUAGAGGUUCCACAAUCACUAUAAAUAAUAUACCAACACCGUACCAUGAAAACAUCAAGAAGAGAGACGGGUACAUGGACCACCAUCAAGUGAGUAGUGACAGCACGCACAAGAAUACCCGGAACCUUUUAGCUUGUCUGUAGUGAUCUGUUUUCUUCGCCACAAAUAAUGAAAGAGGCUGACCAAGCUAGCAACGAGGUAGAGCAAACGUGAUACACGUAGGUUUCAUUCAAGACAUCCAUGUAAGAUUCAUUCAAAACAUUCAUGGAAAUUUCUUGUAAGUUUUCAUGUAAAUUUCAUUCAAGACAUUUGUUAGAGGUGUUGUAUAUACACUUAACGUACAUAUAUCUAUGAUUUCAUGGUUGUUAGUGAUGGCAGAUGAGGAGCAUGCAAGGUGUUUAAUGGAGCAGAUUAUUGCUAGUGGUAGUGGCUCCAACCUGCCCGUAACGUACACCGACGAAGAGGGCAGCCAGGCGGACAUGUUCCUCAACAUGUCCGGUGAUGGCAAUGAAGAGCCCGAGCAAAACCUUGCCGUGACGGAAGGUUCCAUCGAGGUAUAUAUCAUUUCCAUUAUUUUACCCCAUCUAUAAUUUCAUAUUCAUUAUUACUAUGUGCUAAUUAAUGAAUCUUGAACCGUUAGUCCUCUAGAUCAACGAACCGAAAUAAGCCCCGAGGUCUUACAAAGAUAAUGCAGGGAAGGCUUCACAUCAUGGAAGUCACAGAAGAGGGCACAUCGGUUGCUCCCGAACAUGUGGCAAGAAAGUACGUGAGUCAAACCGGGGCAAUCGUAAGGGACAACAUGCCCAUCAGCAUCAGGGAAUGAAAGAGCAAUAGAAAUGAUCUAUACGCACCCCCGGAUACACAAAAGGAUAUGUUGUGGGCAAAUAUCAAGAAACACUUCACAUUUCCCAAAGGAUAUGUUGAAAAAUAUGUGAAAGCGUGGAUGUUGAAGAAGAUGGCCACCCAAUUCCAGACAUUCAAGAAGAUGUUGGAUGCCAACUUCAUCAAGAAGGGUCGAACUCCGGGUUUCAAUGAGUGGCCAAAGUUAAGGGACCACUGGGAGUCGUUUGUCGAAUACAAGACGAGCGAAGGUGGUGCGAGUAAGGUUCACAUCAAUGUUGCCAAUGCUAGCAAGGAGUACCAUCAUCAUCUAGGGCGACGUGGUUACAGCUCUGCAAUUCCCAGAUGGCGCAAGAUGGAACAAGACCUGAUCGAUCGGGGUAUCGUACCAGCAACUCUUGACUGGAUCGAUUGAAAAAUUGGUAUUAUGCUCAUGAAGGCAAUCUGAGCCAAGAGGAUCCGACAUUGGUCUUCAAUAAAACAAUACGUCAGAAGGUCGGAAGGCUUAUUAGGAACAUUGAAGAUGCUAAAGCUGGGAGGUUCAAGGUGGAUAGAGAGAAUGAUGAACUCACAUUGGCCCUCGGGACUGUCAUCUCUAGCACUUCCAGCUCCAGGACUAUCGUCACCACCGGGACCGUCGCUUCCUGCUCGAUCACAGUCUCCAUCUCCAGCACAUCCUGGUGGUGCGAGCGACGACGACAACAACACCCCUCCCUGCCCACCAUUGCCGGGACUAAGACCCGCAUUGAGUAAGGAACCUGCAACACCACUGAAGAAGUCGCGACCACCACCUUCAAGGCAAGUCAGCAAAAGAAGAAAGCAGAGAAGCCUAAACCCACUGAGAAGCCAGCGACUGAUAUGACCGAUGCGGAAAGAUGGAAGGCACUCAAAGAAGAAUGCAGGGAGUGGUUCAGCGAAGGCGAAGGUGAGAAAGUCGUAUGAAUCGAAUUCAAGGAUAUAUAUGAAGUGAACCAUCAGGAUGCCCUUGAUGUCUCUCUCAUCAGCGCCUAGGUUCUGUAAGUGUAUGUUUAUCUAUAAGUAAAUUUUGGCUCAUAUCAUUAUUUUUUUUGCGUGCGUCACCCUACUAACUUCGUCUUCCAUUUUAUGUAGGAUGCUAAUUCAGACGUGCCGCAUAGAAGCGUACUUCCAUGUUGGAUUCAUGGAUCCAUCCCUAGUUAACCAAAAGCCGAUACGGAAGUAGCUAGAGAAAACGUUGGAGGUGGUGUACAACCUCCUGGACAAACUAAACUACAGAAUAGGGGCAAUAUGUGAGGGUCUUGUAGGAUUCCUAGUGGACGAGGUGAUAAAUCCAUAAGGAGAAUAUCAUUCCAACGGACGAGCAUUAGACACACUGAGCAACACCUAGAUGGGAGGAUCCUAGGAAUGACCUCGACAGAUUUUGGUAUAAAUAGUAAUUGUGUAAAUACUAGUUUGAUUUGUAUAGGAAUAUACUAAGAAUUGUAUAUAUAGUAAUUGUACAAAUACUAGUUUGAUUUGUAUGAAUACUAGAUUGAUUUUAUUAUAAAAAAGUUUUAAGUCGUACGUGCAUGCGCCUACAAAGGCGCGGAUGCCUUUUAAUCCCAGUCGGAAAAACAAACUGGUACUAAAGGGGCUCGUGCCGCACCUGGCAUGACCACCCCUUUAGUCCCGGUUGAACGACCCAGGACUAAAGAUCUCCGCGUCUCAAAAAUUUUAUCUCGGAUGCUUUUUAGAGAGAUUUGAGGCCUAUCAACCAAGACUAAUAUCGAGUUUUCUACCAGUGAAACUAACUAACGUUCACAUGGUUUUGACAUUCACCUGCCAUUUGGUGUAGACAAGGGCACCCUAACAUAUGGUUAAUAUUAUUCUUGAAAGAAAAUCCUUUGAUUCAAAAUACUUCAAACCUAAUAAUACAAUACUUCUCACAUCUGAAAAAUAUGAGACGGCCCGACAGUAUUCUAAUCGACGCAAUAAUAUUUUGAGGGCAGCACUACUACAGCGACCCUCAUUCGUGCCGGUGCUGGGACUCCUAUCACGACCCUGAUACAAAUGAGGGUACAUUAUUGGUGCCAGUGCUAGAACAGCCACGAAUAACUUGCUAAACGUGCUGUUACACUCACUACAGGGACCAAGAAGGUAGAUAAAUUACACGACAUAGCCUUGGUUGCCGUGGAAGCGCCAAGAAGGGAGACAAAUUACAGGGACCACACCAUCAAGUAGAUAGUGACAAUAUGCAAAAGAAUACCCGCGCCUGUUAGCAUGUGAACUGACCACACCACGAAACGUGAUACACGGCAAGCGUACCAAGGCCUUGCUGUGCAGACUAUGCAUGGACAACACAUGGUACCUGACCGCUUUUGGCCUCAGACACAUCGAAAAACUGCAUCGUUCCACGUUGUACAUCCAUUGCUAGUUUAUCUAUAUUACAUAAUAUAUUAUUAGCUAUUUGAAUAGAAUGAACCAAUUAAAAAAUUGCGUUGUAUUUUUAGUACCGGCUGCAGGAUGGUGUUACCAACCAGUACUAAUUGGCCUGUAGGAGUGAUGGUUAUUAGACUUGGUACUGUUGUUAGCAUCAUUAACCUAAUUGUGCGCCGUAUGAAUUUGGGGAUGCAAAGCUAGCUCUCUAUGAAUGUGAGGGAUGGAAAGCUAGUUCUCUAGUAGUAAUUAUAUAUAUGACAGUCAAGAAAUCGAACACUAUGCUGCUACGAGUCACCAUCAUUUCCUUCAUUGACAAUCUGACAUAGGUGAAGCUGCUUCAAUAAUUUCCUUCGCGCAGUCGUGGAGCUUAUUGGAUUAUCACCAGGACGGGACACGGAAAUGGCCAGCAAUGAAGCUGAUUGCCGUCUGAGGAAGACUACAUACUUACCUAUGAAAUGAAGCGAUUGCAUAGACUAAUGAAGCAUUGCAUAUUUGCAUGUGAGUGUGGCAGAUAAUUCUGCAGGACAUGAUUGCAAUCCACGCACCAUCGAGAAGACUGGGGCGAUGGGGUUGCCUCAUCAAUAAUCACGUGGAUGCAUGCAUGCAUGUUCCCGCAACCGGACAAGGGUCUGAUAUAUGGCUAUAGUAUUACUGAGCCCACAUCAAUAAUUUCCACUGGUGUAUCGUGUGGGAAGAAUCAACAUACUACACCUCGAGUUCUUGGAACUAACUGACGUUCACAUGCAACCUCCACAAGGUGCUGUAUGCUUUUGACAUUCACCUGCCAGUUCGUGUAGAGAAGGACACCCUAACGUAUAGUUAAUAUUAUCCAUUUCAUGAGUAAAAUACUGUGAUUCAAAAAUACUUCAAAUCCCUUGAGACAAUACUUCUCACUUGACUAACCACUAACCAACCCCGAAACCCUAACUCAACUCCGAACCCUAACCCCUAACGGCAUAACCACUCCGUUUUGCCGGCGAGAUGGAGGAACUGGCUGGAAGGUAGAGAGGGCAGCGGUCCAGGGUUGAAAACGACGGGCGAGCGCAGUAACAUGUGGAGGAGGAAGUGCCACGUAUUCGUUCACCGCUAUUGGGCAGCGACACACGACACGCCCAAUAAGAUCUUCGCACGGUAGAAGGACGUCAUGUAUUCAAUAAUGUUAUUGGUCCCCCAUGUGCAGAAGGGCGCGCGCGUAUGGAAUAACAAGUAGGGACACUGCAACUAAUCUACUCUGCUCGUCCAGUCCCUAGCCUAUAAAUAGAUGCCAUGCUAGCUCUUGUUGUGCUCACAAUUAAUCCGAUUACACACGAGCUUCUCUCCCUGGCCAAGACACAACCAUAGUAUGAUGAAGAACAUGGCACUAGCCGGCAAUGGUAUGAAGAAGUUAAUCCUCGCUGUUCUCUUACUGUGUCUAGUUAUAGGGCAGAUACAAGUGGAAGCUAAGAGCUGCUGCCCAUCCACCACUGCAAGAAAUGUCUACAAUACCUGCCGUUUCACGGGUACAUCCCGUCCAACGUGUGCAAAACUGUCAGGCUGCAAAAUUAUCAGCGGGAACAAAUGCAAGCCCCCUAACGACCACCUCACCCUUGACCCGGACACUGGUAAAUAAUAAAUUUAUCUCACUUGAUUUCUUCGUGAUUUGAGUCGUUAAUGUAUUUUCCAUCUGAUGAAACGUAUUGGUUUUGCAUUGAAGAGGAAGUUAAUGUGCUUAACUUCUGCAAGUUGGGGUGUGCGUCGUCUGUGUGCAACAACAUCAACGCUGGUAAGCAACUUUUGCUCAGACAGAGAAAACAAUAAUCAUUAAUUAGCGGCAGCUAGAAUCCUAUAAUCUAAUAUAUAUAUAUAUAUAUAAUUUUAUCAGCUCUGGGAAAUGAAGAGGCGAACGAUGCCGUUGAGAGUUGCGACCAAGCCUGCUCUAGCUUCUGCAGCGUGCAUGUUGGCAGCGCCACCGUGGUUGCUUAAGCAAAUGCAUCCAACUAGAUCGUCCUUGUGCUGAAUAAUUGGAUAUCGUAUCCACUUAAAGCUGCCUUGUGUAGUACGUCUUUGUGUCUCUCUUUAUAUUCCAAUAAGGUCGGUGAUCUUGAUGCCACACACUCAGAUGUGUGUUCAUCUCCAGAUACUACUCCAUGCUACCUGCCCUUUGUGUUUUGUUCAAUAACUGGGUAUCAUAUCCCAGCCAGUAUGCCGUCUGUUUUGUGUUUGUUUCCUUCUAGUUCCAAAGGGGUCAUCAUGAUGUUACCUUCUUUCAAUAUGGUGCUUUGCAUGACUACUGUUGUAUGGUACCAUCUUGUGGCCAAUAAGUACAUCUUAUCCUAUGACCUUUGCUAUGACCCUUUGCAAAUAAGUAGAAGAUUGUUAUAAGCGUCAAUACUCCGUAUAAAUUGAUCGCUGCUGUGAGUUCCCUUUCAGCUUAUCGUAGGCAUACAUUAUUGCUAGCACGGUAAAGCCAACCAACACGAAUGAUGAAGUAAACGUAGCGGUACUUCUGUAUACCAACACCCUUACUUAAAUGUACCGGUGUCAUUCCCUACUGGCACAUAUAUUCUUAUAUGCUAGCCAGCUUGUAAAAUUAACCAAUUAAAAUAAUUAUUUCAAGAUAGAAAUAACUUAUCGGUUUCUGGAAGCAUGUGUAAUGUGAAUUCAAGGACUCGACGGAAGUUGAAUCACUUCAUCUAUAUUGCUUUCAGUAUUUUGGGUAACUAAAUUUAACAUUUGCACAUACAAAUGUUAAAGUACAAAUGUUAAAUCUAGUUACCCAAGCAGAAUAUGAAGAUAGUUUAUAGUAUAUAUAUACUAUAUAAAUCUAGUUAACAUUUAGUCUAAAUGUUAAAUCUAGUUACCUAAAAUCCUGAAAGCAAAAUGUAUAAAUAUAUAUCUUUUAAGGCAGUAUAAGCUUCGAUUCCUAUUGCUGCUCUGUUAAAUCUCAUCUUUCGUUGUGGCCCAACACUCUAGUAUGCAUGUUGCACCAAGCUUCUUUGAGCCGCUCUGCCCUCUGAUUUUGCUGCGUAGGGGAAUCUUUAUCAGGUUGGGCUACUUCCAGUUGUGCGAUGUAAAGAUUCGUAUUUUCUAGAAGGUAGACAAAAAACUCGCGUUCUCUUAAGGCAACAACCGGAAGAUUCUGCAGCGCACAGGGCAUACCAUUAUUGUAGAAACGACCUUUAGUACCGAUCUCCAACCCCCUUUAAAACUGGUUUUGCAACCGGUACCGUUAUGUCGGUCCUUUAGUACCAGAUCAAAUAAGUACCGGUUGGUAACCAGUAUCAACUUGUUUUGCGGCCAAAAAAAUAAAGAAAAAAACAGUCAGAAGGCUCGCACACACGCGCAUCACAUGAAAUAUGCGUGUGCGGGGUCCAUGGGAUUCGAACCCAUGAAAUCAAGCUGCACGCGACCCUUCGUUACCAUCUCACCUACAUAGCGCAUAUGCUUUCCUGAAGUAACCCGUGGAGGAGGCUUUAGUACCGGGUCAUAACACCACCCGGUACUAAAAAUGACUCUUCAGUACCGGGUCAUAACACCACCUGAUACUAGUAUCGGAUGGUGUAAUGACCCGAUACUAAAAGGCCUCUAGGGACCCUCAAAUUUGAACCCGGUACUAAUGCUAAUAUUAGUAGCGGGUCAAAGUGCAGCCAGAACUAAAGCAUGGGAUGAAAGGUCAUAUUUCUAGUAGUGUAUAGUUGUUGUGAAGGACUGACUUGGCUGUCCUCUCUCUUCUCCAUCCCCUUGGUCUUACGCCGCCGCUCGCACGCGAGCCGGUGCCCAACCAGAGGAGUGAGAGCUAGGGGCAGGUUGGGAGGUGGGGAUAGUGACUGGUGGCCAGGGUGAUGGUUGAUCCUGGUGGGGUUAGGGUUUCAGGGUUUUCGAGCUUCCUAUGGUCGGCGAACCUAGAGGAGAAGCUCAACAUCAGCUGCAACCCGCGAUGGUGGUGGUUUGGCCGGCGCCCGAGGCGAGGCAGCGCGGGAGUGCUGCCGGUGGGUUGGUGUUGGCACUCAUUAUUGACAACUAUUUUGUUCAUAAAAUAACACUCAAACUUGCUGCUGCUGCUGCUGCCAUCGCCACCCUAGCCAUAAUAUAAAGGCAAAAUUUGCUAAAGGACAUGCAAAAUGAUGCUAGUUUGCUGGCGGGCAUCGUUGACCUUGUAAUAUGCUACAAGACACUCUAGUUGUGUAUCAAUUUGCUGAAAGACAUUGCUAUGACUAAAAUAAUGUUUCUGGACUGAGUUGGAGAGAGAGAUGGAGUGAAAUGUCUGUUUUGCCCAUGACCCCACUGGUCAGAUCCUUCUUCUUCCACCCUCCUUUGUUCUUUCUUCAACCAUUACCCAGCUCCAGCGUGUUGCAGAUCUACGAGGGUGGCGGCCUGGGGCGAGGGGCAUCGCUCGCCCUUGGAGGAGCGCUGCGAGCGACGGCGCGGGGGCGGCAACAGCGCGUCAGAACCUGACUGUUCGUUAGCUCCUCUCGCUGCUGGGGAAGAAGGAGGGGGAUGGGCCAUGGACGGGGUUCCCUUGAAAACCUCAGCGUCGAGCUCGGGCGGCUACGCGCAGGCAGCACUAGGCUGCUUCACGGGGAGGGGGCGCGGCCAAUCAUUGGCACCCCACUGGUCCAAUGCUGAUGAAGAUGGUGCCAGCGUCGUGUGAGGACAUCUCAUCUCCUCGAGUUCCAUGGCCAGCACAGGUGAGCUGCCGCUACCACAAAACAGAGGUUUCGUGAGAGUCAAAAAACCUUAUGAAAAUAGCUAAAACCAUCAUGAAAAUAAUCCGUGACAUGACACUCUCACGAAAAUCCUCUCACAAAUAUGGUGCCAUGAAAAUACCAUUUUCAUGAGAGUGAACUGUCAUGAUUUUAUAAGCGUCAAUACUCGGUAUAAAUUGACUACUGCUGUGAGUUCCCUUUCAGCUUAUCGUAGGCAUACAUUAUUGCUAGCACGGUAAAGAGAACCAACACGAAUGAUGAAGUAAACGUAGCGGAACUUUUGUAUACCAACACCCUUACGUACCGGUGUCAUUCCCCACUGCCACAUAUAUUCUUAUAUGCUAACCAGCUUUGAAAAUUAAGCGAUUAAAAUAAUUAUUUCAAGAUAGAAAUAACUUAUCGGCUUCUCGAAGCUUGUGUAAUGUGAAUUCAAGGACUCGAUGGAAGUUGAAUCGCUUCAUCUAGAUUGCUUUCAGGAUUUUGGGUAACUAAAUUUAACAUUUGCACACACAAAUGUUAAUGUACAAAUGUUAAAUCUAGUUACCCAAGCAGAAUAUGAAGAUACUCUAUAGUAUAUAUGUACUAUAUAAAUCUAGUAAACAUUUAGUCUAAAUGUUAAAUCUAGUUACCUAAAAUCCUAAAAGCAAAAUGUAUAAAUAUAUAUCUUUUAAGGCAGUAUAAGCUUCAAUUCUCUGUUAAAUCUCAUCUUUCGUUGUGGCCCAACACUCUAGUAUGCAUGUUGCACCAAGCUUCUUUGAGCCGCUCUGCCCUCUGAUUUUGCUGCGUAGGGGAAUCUUUAUCAGGUUGGGCUACUUCCAGUUGUGCGAUGUAAAGCUUCGUAUCUUUUAGAAGGUAGACAAAAUACCCGCGUUCUGGAAGAUUCUGCAACGUGCACGUUGGCGCUGCCACCGUGGUUGCUUAAGCAAAUGCAUCCAACUGAAUCGUCCUUAAGCUGAAUAAUUGGAUAUGGUAUCCACUGCUUAAAGCUGCCAUGUUUAGUACGUCUUUGUUUUUCUCUCUUUAUAUUCCAAUAAGGUCGGUGAUCUUGAUGCCACACACUCAGAUGUGUGUUUAUCUCCAGAUACUACUCCAUGCUACCUACCCUUUGUGUUUUGUUCAAUAACUGGGUAUCAUAUCCUAGCCAGUGUGCCAUCUGUUUUGUGUUUGUUUCCUUCUAGUUCCAAAGGGGUCAUCAUGAUGUUACCUUCUUUUGAGGUGUCUAUGAUGACUUCGUUAAUAUCAAUAUUAACCAAUUCAAUCUGUCUUAACUAUUUGUAAGGGGUAUGAUGUAUGCAUGAUUAUAACAAUGAUUGCGCAUACAAUCGCCGCCAAAGAAACGGUCAAUACCAUUAAGACAUAUUACAGACAAUUCUCAUAAUCUAUAAUGAAUAUACAUAUUCACUACUGCAGAAGACUGUCAUUUGUAUCGGCUCAUACGUGCCAGGGCAAAGGUCACCCUUGCAUUAAGUACAUUUGCACGGUAAAGACAACCAACACGAAUAAUGAAGUAAACAUGCCGGUGCUUUUGUACACCAACACGCUUACUUAAAUGUACUGGUGUCAUUCCUCACCGGUAGCCGGCUUGAAAAUUAACCAAUUAGAACAAUUAUUUAUUGUAUCGGUGUGAUUUUUGACCUAUUGGAAUAUGAAUUUGACCGUUACUGCAUUCGUCAAGACUCAAGAGAGAAAUAACUGAUCGGCUUCUUAGAGCGUGUGCAAUGUGAAAUCAAGGACUGGAUGGAAGUUGAAGCGCUAGCACUAGUAGAGAAACGACUUUCCAUCCACCCCCUUUUGUCCCGGUUUAAAGUUGGCUCGGGAUAAAAGGUUCACCAACCGGGACUAAAACUCAGUCACUGGUGGGAGGCUCACCAACCGGAACCUUUUAUCCCGGUUGCAAAGGCUAAUGGGAAAAAAAGACUCUGAGAGGCCUUUUAUCCCGGUUUGAAACACCAACCGGGAUAAAAGACCCCCCUUUUAUCCCGGUUGGUAACACCAACCGAGAUAAAAGGGUCAAGAGCCUUUUAUCCCGGUUGGAAACACCAACCGGGAUAAAAGACCCCCUUUUAUCCCGGUUGGUGUUUCAAACCGGGAUAAAAGGGCCCCCACGAGGUGACUGGAAGGUGACUGGAAGGGGAUUAAAUCGUGGGGGACCCUUUUAUCCCGGUUGGAAACACCAACCGGGAUAAAAGGGGGUCUUUUAUCCCGGUUGGUGUUUCCAACCGGGAUAAAAGGGUCCCCCACGAGUUAAUACAAAAGGAUAGUAUCCCCUACAUAGUCAGAUGUGGUGUGUAGGUGGGAUGGUAAGGAAGCUACGCGCGAGCUCCGGAAUUUUUUUUUUUUUUUUUUGCAGCGUCGGCGCUCUCUACCCUUUUAUCCCGGUUGGUAUUACCAACCGGGAUAAAAGGGGGUCUUUUGUCCCGGUUGAGUGACCCGGGAUAAAAGACCCCCCCUUUUUUCCCCGGUUAGUUUAUCCCGGAUGCAUUUUCGGGAUAAAAGCACCCUACCAACCGGGAUUAAAGCUCACUUCUCUACCAGUGUAGCUUCAUCUUCCGCUGCAAGUUAAUUGCUUGGAUAAGAAGUUGUAGCCGCUGCAAGUUAUAAAUAGUCCCGCUGAUGCUGUGCUCCGAAGUCUAUACUAUAUAUGCGGAAACUAGAUUGCUUUCAGGAUUUUGGGUAACUAAAUUUAACAUUUGUACAUAAAAAUGUUAGUUUACGAAUGUUAAAUCUAGUUACCCAAGCAGAACAAGAAGAUAGUAUAUAGUAUAUACUAUAUAAAUCAAGUUAACAAUUAGUCUAAAUGUUAUAUCUACUUACCCAAAAUAUUGAAAGCAAAGAAAGAAUAAGUAUAUAUCUUUUGUUGGAAAAUUGGUCCACGGAGAGGCCCAUUUAGGCCUCGUUCGUUUCACCGGGAUGGGAUUCCAGUCAGGAUUACUUCCAAGUUCGGUUUGAGUGAUUCCACCCGUGUCACUCAAUCCGGCUAGGAUUCAUUCUAUGGGUGAGGAGGUAUGGUUUCAAUCCAGGCCAUCUAAUGUAGAAGGAUUCCAAUCCAGGCCGGUUUUCGUUCCAGGCCAGACUAAAACGAACAACACUUUCAAUGCAAGUCUGGUUUCAAACCGGGCCAUUUCAAACCACCCGGAAUGGACCUCGUUCCAGGCCAAUCCGGUGAAAACAAAUGAGGCCUUAAUGGAAUCCCAAAGCAAGAGUUCAGUGGCAUUCUAUAGUCCCAUGCUGCUAGUUUGAGUUGGUCGAAGCCAACUUAAAUAGGAGAGCUCUCUCACUUCUCUAAAUACGUAACUGAAGGAGAGAAGGGGGCUUGGGUUACACAACGCACGCACGCACGCAUAUUUGCGUUCUUUUCGCGUAACCAACCGCGUGACUUGAAACUUGCGACGUAGCGUGCUGCUAAGUCAAGUUGAUAUAACCUUUUUGCCGUUUGCAUGUAAUCUUUUGACAACGGUCAUUGGAGGUGAUAAGCACGCAGUCAAUACCUUAAUCUUGAGUUAAUAGGGUGGUUACUACUGCCAAUUAGUGGGGCAAUUUUGUAGGGGAAACGGUUAGCAGAGGGCUACCGUCUUCUCUAUAAGAAGUUCUGGAGACGUCCAGGAACACACAUGUACAUGUGAGAGACCCACAAAUUCCUUCCCUUCUCCCUUUUCCAUGUGGUGAAGUGUGCUGUGGUACUGAGCUGCUUGAUCUCGCCGCUCUUCUCCUUGGCAUGCACCGAGGAGGAGGGUGAGCGGUAUCUCCGAGCUAUUGCCGUCAGGAAGCCUGCACGAGGGACAACAAAAAGUUUUUGGGUAGCGCAACUGCCAGCACAACUCUCCCUCCGCCUCUUCUUCACGGUUGAUGGCCACCACAAGCAUAAACCUCGCCUUCGCAUCCACGCAAAAGGGUCGCUGGGGUGCCUUCUUGCAUCGCUUCUCAGCCUCCUUGACUUGCGGCCAGCCAAGAACUGCGCCACCACCUCGGGUGCACGCCACCACUCCAGGGCUGCUACCCCAUGCCUGCGGCCGCCGCCGGCCACCACGCGUGUGCAACCGCGUCGCACCGCUUCCUUGCUUUGUGCCACCACUGCUGCUGUACCACCAGCUCCACCACCUUGGGCUGGUCGCCAGAGUGACUGAUAACUUAUUAUCUGUAACUACUAUUAACUCAGGGAUACAUGCGUCUUUUGCUUCUCCUACUAAUAUGUCCUAAAAUAUCUAGGAUGCCUUAUAUUUCUGGACAGAGGAAGUAUUUGAAUAAAAUGAACCAAUUUAAAAAAAUGUGUUGUACACUACUACAGAAAGACCUAUCAGUGUCAAACCCAAAAAUGUUGUCACCGCCAGUUUUGGGCAUCAUUGGUGAAAGGUUGGCGGUGAUGGGCUUUCCCUUCAACAACGGCACUGGAGCCGACGGUGAUUGACAUUAGAAAACAAAAAAGGGGACCCUACCUAGCCACCCCUGCAACCCGGCCGGCCGUGCCUCCCCUCAUCCCCACCACCUCGCCUCCCCAUGACCCCCCGCCGGCGCCCUUGCGCCUAGCCCCCUCAACUGCCCAGCCGGCCACCCUCAUCACGAGAGAGAGGUGCAUGUUGUAUAAUUGCGUGAAUUUUUUAAUGUUUAAUUUCAUGUAAGUUCCGUGUAAUAAAUUGUACAAGUUUUAUUGUAUAUAUGAAUUCCAUAUAUAUAUAUAUAUAUUUAUAAUUUAAUGUAUGGUUUCAUGUGUAUAUUUCAAUCAUGUGUAUAUUUAGUAGAUUGCCGAUUUUCUUUUUCUACUAGACAAGGGUUGAUGUAUAAUUACGUGUAUAUGUUUAUUGUACGGGCAAUUAGGACAAGUUUUGUAUAAAUUUCUUUUAUUUGAUGGUUGUUGUAUGGUUUCAUGUAUAUACAUUUAUUGUACUACUUUAGACAAUUUUUAAUUUAAUGUUUCUAUGAUUAGAUGUGUGUAUAACUAAUUGUAUUAUUAGUUAAGAUGGGAGCUAAAGAGGAUGAAAGGUAUAUAAUGGAGCAGAUUAUUGCUAGCUCAAACGUUGCAAGAACCUACACCGAGGGUGAGGGUAGCUAGGUGGACAUGUACCUCAACAUGUCCAGUGAUGGCAAUGACGAUGAGGAGCACGAGCAUGACAUCUAUGAUAAUGCGGAACAAGACAUUGCAGAAUUGGAAGGUUCUAAUGAGGUGUGCUUCAUGUUGACAAUCUAGUUGGCUUUUUUUCGUUGGUCACACCUUAGUUACCAUAGAACUUCGUCUCGGGAGAAGAUUGGUGGUGGUAUGGUGAUUGGAAUUUUAUUUCCACGAAAUCUGAUUUCCAUCGAAUCAUAUCCCUUGUAUUUAUCUUCUUUUUAUUUGUGAGAGCAUCUUCUUUAUGCUUGCAAAACAAUUCAAGUGCACAUACUACCCCUAGGGUGACGAUUGGGAGUAGAAAUAAUUGCCAACAAAACAACACCACAUCCUAAGAUUCUUAACUUGUGGCAUAAUUAGUCUAGUAAAAAGAAAGAUAAAAACCUAAUGGGUGUAUGUGAGUGCAAUGUGUAUAUGCAUAUGAGUGGAAGGCAUAUAAGCAAAGACAAUAUUUACACAUAGUUCUAAACACCAUGUUUACAGCUAGGUUGCUGAAUUUCUCCAUAGCCAUAGAGAUUAAUUAACCAAGGUCAAAACACGAUGUCUAUCCCAAGAUCAGUAAUUAUUUAUAGCACAAGAAAAAGAAAGCGCAUUGCAAAGUUUAUAAACCAACCAAUACAGCAUGAAAACAAGAUGAAUAGCUAGCAAGGUUUAUUAAACUGAAUGAUGACGGUCUGUAAGCAAGUUUAAACACCAUCUUUACACAAGAUUGCAAAUGGAAAAUGCCCAUAUGAAGCACUAACAUGGAUAUGAAAUCAUUCAUCAUAAAGCGUAAAGAACAACCAAGCCAACCAUAUGCAAAGCAUGAAUGGAAUGCAAUGAAGGUGCAAGAGAACAUUUUUGGAUGAACACAUUAUGAUGAUGGCAAAAUGCAAUGCAUGCAGAAAAAAUAAAUAUGAACAUGAAUAUGAUGAUCAGGGGCGGACCCACUAUUGUGGCCUGGGUAUUCCUCGGCAUACCCAAUAUUUUUGGGAAAAUGUUUAGUAGUUUUUAAUGGCAUAUACAUGUAUAAUAUAGUUUAGGUGUUAAAAUUGAUAUUCACAGCUAUUUUGGGCUCCAAUUCGCGUCCAAACCAACCUGGCCCACAGACCGCACCCGGCCGCCCGGCCCAUCGGCCCAUCUUGUCACUGAUCCUCCCACCACCACACUCAGCCCGUCAGUUAGUCAGGUCCCGAGCUCCUGCCUGACCUAGUCCGCUACCACCGCCAGGCGCCAGGCACAGCUGUACACGCCGCCCCCGUCCACCCACGUCCGCCGCACGGCCGCGUCGCGCCCCCCCCCGGCGCCCGCUGCUGCCAGAACCCAUUAGGCCUCCACCGGCAAGUCCACCCACAGUCCCGCGCGACGCGGCAGCCUCUUGGCUCUCGGCGCUCGCGGCGCGCCAAUGCCUGCGCAGCCCCAGCAGGCGACUGCCCCCCCCCCCCCCGCAUCGGGCCUCGGCCCCUCCCCAGCUCCCCCUCCCCCCUCCACCAGGACUGCCUGCUGGCCCCCACCGCGAGGUAAUCGAAAUGGACUGCUCAAUCUCUCAAUCUGUUGACAUGAUGCACACGGUUGCAAAAAUAGAUGUGUCAAAAUAGAUGUAUUGCCAAUUGCUAUAGAUGCAUAUGGUUGACAUGAAGAAGUCAAAAAUGACAUUUGGUUCCUUGUAGGCAGUCAAAAAUGAAGAAGUCAAACAAUAUUGAUCUGAAAUCAAUGCGGGAAAGGGCUACGAAGACACACGGGUAGAUUCCCUUGUGAACUUUUUAUGUCGUUCGUCUAAAUAUAUUUUUGCAAUGGGCAUACCCUACUCUGAAAUCCUGGGUCCGCCACUGAUGAUGAUGGUCUAAACAUAAAACAAGCCUAGAUUAAUUAGCUACAACUGAAAUUAAGCAAAGGUUAAUGUCAUUGACCCUAGCUCUAUCCUAGCUUUUACUAAAGUCCCGGCACAUAUAGUGGUUGGGCCCACUCUCUCUACUUCCCUCUCUGCUGCAUGCACACACACGAGCAACUGGAGGCCCAACAAAGCCCAGAAGGGUUCGGCCGAACCCGUCCGAUCCAGUCUGAGCGCCGCUCCCUCCCAGCCUUCGCGCAGAUGCUCCUCCAACGUUCCUUGACCCCUCCCUCAGUGUCCCAUUGGGUUUAACAUUGUAGGAGAGGAGUCCCUUUUUUAAAAUCUCAACCACCUCCUCUCCUCAUUCACUCCACUCUCAUCUCCAUCAAACUCACCAAGAUCCACAUCGGAAAUACCUGCUUACCACCAUGGCUGGCAAAGCCCUCGUCCCUUUCACCAACUUGGGCUUGACCAUUGAUCUCGAUGGGAAAAUCACUCCAGCAAAUGUCAUUGUCCCUGUCGGCGAUCUGGCGAUGGAGGAGGUCCAGGCACUAGAGGUCGAGCCCCUAGCCAUCAUACCGCCCAAGGGGUAAAGCAGGAGCAUGACAGGCGCUGCUAGGGGUUCAGCCGAACUCCCAGUUCAGCCAAACGAGGACGGCGUCGCCUCGGCCUCCCGCUCGACUGCAUGCUUCCCCUUGCCAAGGAGGACUCCAGAACAGCGGGCGCGUGCGUCAAGUCCCUACAAAAGGCUGAAAUACAAUGAAUAUCCAGGGUCACCCUUGAAGAUGGGUGAACGCUACGCCGGGUCCUUGUUUGACUAGUACGGCGAUGCAUUCUGCCACCGCUAUGUCGUUGUCGAGAUUAGCGGAUCAAGACUUAGACUAGUAAAUUUCUUUUAUGCGCGUAAGGCUUCAGAUGGUGGCGUGGGAGACAUGGGUUUUAUACUAGUUCGGGCAAUGGAAUACCCUACGUCCAGUGUCUGGAGCUGCUUGUGUUGCCCACGCGGGGUUCUGUAGUAGGGGUUACAGGUGUGCGAGAGAGGGAGCUAAUCCCAGGUCUCUUAGGCGUGUUCCGGUCCUCUAGAUGGGAGAAGUGUGUUCUGUUUGCUUGGGAGUAUCGGUUGUGUCUGAGUUGUCUCCGGAGCCUCCUCCCGUCUCAGGUCCCCGAUUCUCCUUUCAUAGCACAAGGAGACCAUCGGGGUUACAGACGAGACCGAGCGUGGGGAGGAGUAAAGAGAUAAACAUAGCUAGGUAAAAAUACAACAAGAAAGGGGGGAACCAAGUUUCUAGGUCACCGGCGUCCUCGCCGGCCUUCGACUUCCGCCGGCGCAUUUGUCGGAGGAGGGUGGCCGCCAUCGCGUUCUGUCGAUGGCUUCCUCGGUGACUGUAGCCACCGGGCGUGAUGAUGGCAUUUCGUCGUGACCCUUUGUCUGUUGGGGGAGGCGGCGGAUCCUGCCAUUCUGCUGACGGCUCGCGGAGUGCGAACGUCGCAUCCCUGCCGCUGGGCACGCGGGGCGCGAGAACGUGCGAGGCUUCCCCCUACCCCAGGCGGCGCAGGCCAUGAGUGCCCUGUGGCAAAUCGGAGGAGGCCGCAGCUACUGUAGCUUGUACUGUGCAGCCACGUAUGGGUACUUGUGGCAGGUUGCGUGGUGGAUGCGGAUAUCCUUCUCCCUGACAGAUCUGCGGCGCAUUUAUGGCGAGAUCGACAUGGGGACCCACAAGACCCGCGCCCAAGGCGGAUACUUGUCUGGAGGGCCCGGGUUAGCCUGACCCCCUACGCUUGGGGUCGGGCGAGGCGGAGACUUGCGGCGGGGCGUCGGACGCUCCCGACACUAGACCUGCGGUCGCGCAAGGCGGAGCUUGGUCUUCCGGGGGUCGGGGGUGCCGGACCCCAGGAUGCGGGGUCGGGCGAGGUGGAGCGUAAUUCUUGCCUCCCAUGUUGGGCCGAUGGCAGUCUUUGUUACCUCUAGUGGGCUUGGGCCUUUAUGUUUUGUUGUUUCCAUGGGCUUCGAGAGGUCGUUAAUAUUUCCCCCCAACAGUAGCCCCCGAGCCUGUGGUGGAGUGGGGGCGCUCCUCCGGAGGCUACUAUCAUCGCCCCUAGGGAAUCCUCGCAGUUGAUCCGGGAUAGGAGGUGUUGUUUGCACGGCUUGACCGAGGGGGUCGAUUAGGCGACGCAUCCUGUGAGCGACUCGGUGCGGGAGGGUUUCUUGUUGUUCCCUUCUGUCUGAGAGCCUUAAGUCGAGACCACCUGCGUGGCCUUUGGUUGCAAGGCCAGCCCCCGAGCCCCCGCACGUUGCAGGGGACCGGUCGGAGGCUAGGUCGACUUUUGUUCAUUACCCUCAAGCGUCUGUUCGCUAGGACGGAGGGGGCGAGCCGUGCCAUGCUAUCCUCAUCGGACGAACCAUGGUGCUCAUUGAGUUACUAACGGGUUGAUUCGAGUGGGAUCCCGGUCCCCGUUCGGGGGGGGUCCGGCUUGGGCCAAGCUGGUGGCGUACCCCAGGCUCCGGUCGGCCAGUUCAUAUAGUUCCUGAGUCCGUUCGGUCGGACCGGGGGCUCAUUGCCUUUCUUCGGGGAAAAACCAUGAACUUUGAUGCCGGUCCAGACUCGAAUGUGAGAUUGAGACGCCCGGGGCUGUCGCGUGCCCGGGUGAUGGCCGCUAGCGGACCCGUCUCCUCUCACCCCUCACUCGGGGGUAUCCUGAGGCGGCUGUCGAACCCGUGGCGGGCCAGCCUUCGAACCUCUGGAUCGUAAUGGGCCGUAGGGGCGUUUUCAGCCCCGUAUCCCUUUUUACCUUUUGGUGGGCCUUGGGCCGAAUCAUGGAGGAGGUCGGGCCUUGGGCCGGAUGCGGAGGAUGUCGUGCCUUGGGCCGGAUGUGGGGGACGUCGUGCGUGUCUUCCGGGAGACGAAGUGGUGGAGGGUGCCAACCCGCGAAUCGAGGGAGGAGGGGAUGUUUCUACUGCAGGUCAUGCGCACGGUUUCCGAAAAGGCAGCGGGCGUGACGGGACGUACCUCGCGCCGCAUUUAUUGCGAUGGGGGCGUCUGUUCUGCUUCCCUCGUGCCUUCCCUAUAAAACGAGGACUUCGCCUCGCCGGUUCCGCCCGCCAUCUACCUUCAAGCCUUUUCGCCUCCUCGCGCGCCCUUAGCUUUCCUGUGCCCGCUUCGUCUUCCUCCGCCCAGUGCCGCGCCCUUUCUCCCCAUCCGCCGUCGAGUUCUUCUCCCUCCGGCGAUGGGAUCCUGGGCGCGUUCCCACUUCGGCCCCUCACGCGCCGAAGGCCUAGUGAGGAAAGGCCUCCUUUGCGAGAGGACGGAGACGGAUGAGUGGGGGUUCCCUGAGAUGGAAGAGGUGCCGACUCCGCCCACCGGCUACGUCGUUUCCUUUGCCCACUUCCACGAGAGGGGGUUUGCGACUCCGCCGAGCCUCUUCUUCCGCGGGCUUUUGUAUUACUACGGGCUUGAGCUGCAGCACCUCAACCCCAACGGGAUUCAGCACGUCGCGGCGUUCGUUGCGGUGUGCGAGGGGUUCCUGGGCAUUGAGCCCAACUUCUCGCUGUGGAAGUACUUCUUCACGGUCAGCCUAUACCAGAAGGCCGAGAAGAGGGGAAGCCAGCAGCGGUCGACCCCGGUGCCGAUAGGGUGCGUCGGAAUCCACCUCUGCCAUACUCGCGCCAAGGAGUAUAUCGCGAUGAAGACCGCGGCAUCCCACAAGGGGUGGCACCAGCAAUGGUUCUACGUGAAGAACUACUCCAACCCCCCCUGCCGGAGUUCACCGGCCGCAUUAUUGAAGCGGCGCCGGAGGUGUGGGUGUACGGCCCGGUGGAGAAGGAGAAGAAGCGGAUCACCGGCCUGCUGCAGGCCAUCGAGCACCUGAAGGAGAGGGGACUGACCGGAGCCGGAGUCAUCGGGGCGUACCACGCCCGGCGGGUGGCGCCGCUGAUGCUCCGGGUCCGCUCGCUCGCCGACAUGACCCCCGGUGCUCUCACCGAUGGCACUGUCCUCGCGACGGGUGCUCUCGCUGCCUCCGAGAUCCGGCAGCGGAUCCGGGAGGCGCUGGAGGACAAGGACGCCGAUUACCCGGUGCCCGGCCACCCUCCGAUGCGCCCGGACGAGAAUUUCAUUGAUCUGGUAAGGAUUUUGCGCGCCAGUUUCCCUCUCUUGCGUUUCUUGGUAUGCCGUUCUGACGCGAGGCCCUCUGUGUUUGCAGGGUAGCAUGACCCGGGUCGUCGACUUGCGUCCGCCAGUGUCGGAGGACGCCGAGUGGCGGUAGCAGAACCGUCUCCUUGCCGAGAAGCAAAAGUGACGCAAGGACAAGAGACAGCGAAGAAGAAGAAGAGGGCCGCCAAGGAGUUCCAGCGGCGGCGGUGGGGAUAGGUCGUGUCGGAUGACGAUGACGAUGAGAAGGAGGAGGAGGAUGACGAGGAGGAGGAGGAGUUUAUCCUGUCCCCCCGGUCAGGGGCGCUUGUUAUCCGGGAGCCGCGCUCCCAAGCGGCCAUGGGGGACAAGGCGGGCGAGCUGCCUGCCCGGACCCGAUCCUGCGAAGCUUUGGGGGCGCGCCCCAGGGGUCGGCGCAGAGCGCCCCCCGGGGGUCGACGGAGCCGACCCCCAUCCCUACACCUGCAGCCCAGGAGCAGAGGAGCAGCGACAAGCGGCCGUUGCCAGAUGCCCCGGGGUCGGCGUCCAGCUCAGAGGCGAAGCGCGCGCGCCGCCCUUGCGCUGGGGGAACGUGAGUUGAAUUUCCUUGCGAAUCUCGUUCCUUUCCAUGCAUUGUGUUUGUUUCCGCUGAUGCUGUUUGUUGUCUCACAGCACCGCCCCUCAAGGCCUUGUCCCGCCGUUGGCGCCAAAGAAGGCGUUGCGGUGUUGUCGCCUCUGCGGGGCGGACCGCGGCUCCGCCGGCGGCGAGUGGCGGGGUCACUGGUGAGACCGCGGGUCCUACCGCGGAGGUGGCCCCUGCGGCGGCAACCGGUGGAGUGGUGCCACCGCCGGGCAUGGGACAGGGUCUGGACCCCGCUCCGUCCUCCGCCUCUUCGGCCGACCCCGCGGUGCAGAGUAUCGCUCCUGGGGGCCCUCAGGCCGGGGAGGUGAUUGACCUCGACGCCGACGAGGUGGAGGAGACGGCGGCGGUGGAGACGGGGGCGGUUGCCCCAGCGGCCAUGACGGGGACGACGACGGCGACGGGGGAAGGAGAGUCUACCCCCGCGGCCACGGCGGGGACAGUGGCGACAGAGGAGGCGGGGACGCCCGCCCCGGCGGCUGCGACGGAGGAGGCGGCGGUGACGGAGACGGGGGCUUCCGCCCGGGAAGCCACAGCCGAGGUGGCAGCGGCGACGGAGGUGAAAGUGCCUGUUCUGGAGGCCACGGUGGGGGUGGGGACGCCUGCCUCGUGGCCACGACGGAGGGCGAGGCGGCCCCAGGGACACUUGCUCCGGCACCCGCGUUGGAGGCGGUGGCGCCGACGGGUUGGCCCGUGGCGGCCUCGACGGGGGCGGGGGUGCGUGCGCCGGGACCGUCGGUGAGGCCGGCGACUUCCGGGAUGGUGGUGCCCGUCUUGACGGCGGCGGCGGCGCGGUCGGCCCCCGCCCUUGCCUCUACCACUCCCAUUCCCAAGGCGUGGAGCGGAUCCGUCCUGCGUUGGUCGUCUCGUGACGACCCGCAGAGGCCCCUCUUCACGUUGGAUGAUGCCACAGAAUGGGGCAAGUGGCAGGCGCUGCAGGGCGGACUCGCUAACGUCCGCGCCGCUCUAUCUUCGGCGUUGGGGGAGCUGGACGGCGUCAUCUUCCCCGGUGGCCGGGUAUGGUGCUUUCUCCGUUGGUUAUUUUCUUCCCGUUACUUCGUCCCUGAUGGCACAUUGUUCUGCAGGCCCUCCAAGAAUGUAGCCGGGGAAAAUCUGAUUUCCUUUGGCUCGAGCAGGGGCUCUGGGAGCGCUUCAACUUGGAGUUGCAGCGGACCGGGGAGCUGACCAUGCAAGUCGCCACCGUCUAGCAUGUCAUCGACGAUCUGCGAAGGCACGAGCAGGCGGCACAGGAGGACGCGCGGCGGGCGGAGGCCAAGUUCCAGGUCGUUGCCGAAAGGGCUCGCUGCGACCGCGAGGAGUUCCAGGCCGUUGCCGAAAAGGCCCGCCACGACGCUGAGGAGCUCGCACGGCUGAAGGUGCAGCAUGAAGCUCUUCAGAAGAGCGGCAGAGGGCCUGGCAGGACCGGGACGCCGAGAAGGUCCGGAAGGAGGAGGCUGAGAAGGUGGCGGCCAACCUUGGGGCUGAGGUCAGCCAGCUCCAAGUGCAAGCGCGAGAGCUUCAGGCCUCCGUGGCCCAGGGGCUCGACCAGGAGCGCCAGCUGAAGGCCUAAUCCGAGGGUAUGACUCUGUUUAUUUCUUUGUCUUUGUGAUGUUGCGGUGAUAUUUUAUUUGGCGGGUUCUUCUGGAUGAUCCUUGCAGAUGAGCUCAACUGGCUGAGGGAGGUGCUUGACGCGGAGCGCGCUGAGCACGGCGACCUGCGGGACGCGGUCCGCGUCAUCUGUGACUUCCUUAGUGUGGUCCAGGGGGAGGGGACGAGCUCGCUGGCGGCUCGUGUCCUCGGGACGUACCGCCGGACCAGCGAGAUCGCCCUGGAAGCGCUUCGCACCGGCUUGAGGCAAGCCUUUGGGGUCUUCGGCUCCCACUAUUCCGGCAUCAACUUCGCCGGGAUGAGCGGGGGAUACGCCACCGGCUACUACGAGGCCGAGCUGGAUGAGAUCGACGUGUCGGUGCUCAGCCCGGCGGAGGCCUUGGUGAAGCUCCUCGAGGAUGAGGCCGUCCCGCCCGAAGAUCCCCGGACGAGUUAACUAUAUCGGGCUGGCGCCCCAGAUGUAAAUACGUUAGGGAAAGACUUGUUUUUUGUGAGGGCCGUAGAGGCCUUUUCUAUGAAUUGUCGUAAAAAAGUUUUUGAUUCCCUUUCUUGCUUUUUGGACUUGGAAAGUUUAGAGCACGUUGUCGGGCGUGUCAGUAAGCUUUGAUGAGCGAAGGCACCGUAGCCGCUGGGGCGUCGUUUUUUUUGCAGUCCGAUCAAUCUUGCCUGAACACCGUUCGUGCACUUUCUCCUUUUUAUGCCCAAAAGUUCAGAAAGAGGGUCGGCUCGGAAAGAGAAAGCGUUUUGAGAGGGUGUCAAGUGGCUUAGGUACUUGCGGCAGGUUGCGUGGUGGACGCGGAUAUCCUUCUCCCUGACAGAUCUGCGGCGCAUUUAUGGUGAGAUCAACAUGGGGACCCACAAGACCCGCGCCCAAGGCGGAUACUUGUCUGGAGGGCCCGGGUUAGCCCGACCCCCUACGCUUGGGGUCAGGCGAGGCGGAGACUUGCGGCGGGGGGUUGGACGCUCCUGACCCUAGACCUGCGGUCGGGCGAGGCGGAGCUUGGUCUUCCAGGGGUCGGGGGCGCCUUACCCCGGGAUGCGGGGUCGGGCGAGGCGGAGCGUAAUUCUUGCCUCCCAUGUUGGGCCGACGGCAAUCUUUGUUACCUUGGGUGGGCCUGGGCCUUUAUGUUUUGUUGUUUCCAUGGGCUUCGAGAGGUCGUUAAUAUUUCCCCCCAACACUAUGAGGAGGACUUGUGGGCAGAAAGUCAGCUACCACAAACUUGCCUCUGAAUAUUUGGAGUGCAAACAUUGGAUGGUGGUUGUGGAGAGCCCCAGCCAUACCUCGCACCCGUGGAGAGGUAAUUGUCGGAUUGCUUGGUUCGUCUCUAGAAUGCGACAAGGUCAGGCGCCACCUCUCACUGCUGCCAGUCAGAAGGCCGAGGGGCCAGUUUCAACAUAGUAAUGAGAAUCUCCGAAGGCCAAUAUGGUUAAGCAGCUAACCUCCAUGAUCAUAGACUUACGUUUAGAAAAUAGGAGGCUUAGCGAUGCGUUAACAGAGCAGAAGUUAGAAACAGAAGAACUUAAGGACGACUUCCGUGUCCUCCGCCUUGGUCUUUGUGCUAAGAUAAAGCGCUUGUACAAUGCCACGGGGAAUGACGGUCUCUACGAUGCAGCUCAAUAGACGUGCCCCUUGUAUCCUUUCCUUUAGGCACUUUAGAAUAUGUUUAUUUGUUUUCCUUCAUUUUAAUUUCCAAUAGAUUGUUAGCGCCUCCAAUUUAAUUUCAAUAAAGUGUAGACUCACCGGUCAUCCAACUUGAUGGAGUCCUUUUGUCACCUAGUUGUCUUUGGAAGAAGUAGCUGGGUACAAAAUAAGUGUGGGGGAGAGCCACAGACUCUCUAGAGCUGAAACAAUGCACAACACCCACAAAUAGAGAAAACCACGCUGCACCAGCACGUACGUGAAAGUGGAGCCAGAGCUGGACCCAUAGGGGUUUGGCCAACCCAAGGGGUGGCCCACUCGGGCCAUCUUCAUCCACCGCGUCGGUUUGUGUCUCUUUACCCCUGAUCUCCCUGAUUCAUGAGUUUGAAUGAAUUUUAAAUCUGAUCAACUAAUUCAAACUCAACUAAAAUGAAUCAACUGCUCCACCUGCUCUACAUGUUUUCUAUGGUUGGCUUGCAUAUGUUUUAUUUCAUGCUUAUCAUCUUGAUGCUUGUGAACAAAUAUCUUUAGGACAGCAUGCUCAUCUAAGUAGUUGAUGUGUAUGAUAUGGUUCGAUGAUAUGAUCUUCACUCUUAAUGCUUAAGUGCUUGGGAAAAUCUAUUUGAAAAUUUAAAAGCCUUUUUGAAAUCUCCUCUUUGAUGUGCCAAAGUCCUACCAAAGCCAUAUGAUAAGUUAUCUUGAAAAACCAUUUGCAUAUGUUGCUUGUCUUUGCAUUGAGCUUUGUCAAAUUGGUGUGACCCUUGUCACAAUUCUUUUCAUACUUUCAUGAUCAAGACUCAUGUGCACGCCAUAUACCCCUUGCUAUGCUUCUAUGAGAUGUUAGCAUUGUACCAUCCAUUCAUUCCACAAAAUAAAUGCUCCACCAUAUGUGUUGGUCUCCUUCUAAGAUUAUUGUUACAAAAGAGAUAUGGGCUAUCAAAAAAAAAUAUGAAUGUCCAAGAAAGUUGGACACAUGAAUGUCCAAUAAAAAGAAAAAGAAAGAUAGCCAUGUCCUCAGAAAUAUUUACAAAGGGAGAGAGAUCAUACAAAAAGGAGUUUCCAUUCCAUCCACCACAUCCAUACAUGUGCACAUCUUGAUCUGAUUGUAUGACUUAUUUUUCUCUUUGGAUCUGGUCUUUGACUUUGCAAUAUAUGUGAUGCAAGCAUGCCUUAUCCUUCAUAGCCUACCUUGAGCUCCACAUAUAGCCAUCAUUAGAAGUAGGAUGAAGAAAGGCAAGUCUAAUGCCUUGGUGAGGACAUAUACACAUUGAGUGAUCUGAGAGAAUCAAAUGAGGAGCUAAGCAAGGUUUUGUUUUGAAAACUAAUUGAAAAAUCCCAAGCUACUUGGCAUAAGGAGUUGAGGUGACUUGAUUCAAGACCAUUACAUUCCUCAACUACCCAAGAUGGCAUGAUAGACACUCCAAAGUUCACAAGUGCAGGUAUGGUUUGGAAUAUCUUUUAGGCUCGCUUCAUACCUUUGAAAGUUAUGUUUCACCUUAGUCCUUUCUCGUUCACUCAAGGAUAAGCAAAGGCUAAGUGUGGGGGUGUUGUUGAUGGCUCUUAAGUACAAAAUCUGCGCCAUCAACUCUUGCAUAAACACAUAAAAUAUGAGCAUCAACAAUAGUGGUAGGAGUUAUUACAAACGAAUUCCACAAGUCUUGGUGAAUAUUUGUAUGCAAGCCCAAUAGGAGAGAAAAGACACCUCAAAAGCAAGGAAACACACUCUCAACCAAUCAAGAGCAAGCACAUGGAACCAUGGGCCCACAACCAAAAGGAAAUCGACUACAUUCCAAACACCCUAUACCCACAUGAGAACCCAUAGGGCAGUGACCCAGAGCAAAGGUGAUGCCAGAGUGUAGAUGGUAGUUAGCAUGCCAAAUUUUGAACCGCAAGCGCUCGGAUUAGUUGUUUCUUUUCCCUUAGAGAUUCCCCCAAGGUUUAUCAAUCCAUGGAACAAGGGAUUUGCACGUUUCACUAAGCACUAAUCAAUGUAAUUGAAAGCUUUUCGAAUAAGAUAUGAUUAUGCUAACAAAGGAACUAAGCAAUCUAGAUUAAGAUGGAUAGAGAGUACAGGUUGUGAACAAGAUAGAUUAAACGCUUGUAGAUGCAAUCACCAUGCAUGAAUGAAUUAGAUCUAGGUGUUAUUGUGAGUGGUUGUGAACCAUGCCCAACACUUUCCCACCCGCAACAUUGUCACUACAUGUGGGUACUCAACUAUCGGAACAUAAGAACACAUCAAGAUGAUCAUUCUAGGUAAGCAAAUAAGCAACCCAAAGUAGCGCUGGCCAGCCUUUUCAUGAAAGAGCAUCAUCAAGAUAAGAUUGAUAACAAAAUAGAUCUCAACCAAAGGUUCAGCGAUUACAAAUCAAGAUCUUCGUAUAACCCCGAUGACAAAUAGAGGUAUUACCCCCAUGAUCUUACACAUGUUGAUGAAUUUUAGGGUAAAGGACACCCUGUAGAUCAACUGGACCAAAGAUGAUGAUGAACGGGGGCAGGGAAGGCCCAGGUUGAUCAGCCUGCGCACUUUUGAGCCGAUCAGCUCAGGGGGUUUCCUCCUCCCCUGGUGCUCCUCUUCGCGUGGCCUCCUCUGGAUCCAAUCUUCUCUUCAUUUCUCCUACUUGUGGCGGCAAUGGAUGGUGUUUGCAUGGUGAUUUCCUCUUCUCCCCAACUCUCCCUCCUUGAAGUCCAUGAGGGGGUAUUAAUAGUCUCCAAUAGGCGGCAGCUCUGGGUCAAUGUCAGUGAAAAAAUCCUAGAGAUCAUCGUACACUUCAUGCUGAGGAAACAAGAGGUUGACCGAGCCCUGGGAUAGACCAAGAGGAUCAUCCUAGAGGGUCCCAGGCUAAUCGGUCUAGGCCCUUCCUAGCCCUUCUAGUCCUCUCCUUCCUCGUGCUGGCUUUUCUCGAUGACCCUUGUCCAAAUAUCCAUGAAGCUCUAUAUACAUACCCCCUUGAUUAUGUUGUAUUUCCUGUCAAAAUACAAUGCUCCAAAAUACAACACAUAUGCAAUAAUAGGGUUAUUUCAGGUGCCAAUUGGUGGGUUAGUAUACGAAUAAGCAUGAAAAUACUGUUUAAAUGACACUAAAAGUGUGUCAAUAACGAGCACCAACAAUCCCCCCACGCUUAGAUCUUGCUCGUCCUCGAGCAAGUCUAGCGACUAAAAGAUCUUGAAUUAAACCUGAGCAAGCGAGUCAAGUACCUAGCCUUGAAACAAAAGAUUAGAGGAGCAGCAAAGAUAAUCAAAGUCUGGGUGUUCAAAGAUUUAUCUAAGCAAAGAUUCCCCUACAACUAUUAUUCAGAACCAAGUAACUUCAAAAAUCAACUACACUUAUUUUCUGGCUUUUUUCAGAGGGUUUUUCUUUCAUCAUAAAACAAUCUCCCUGCAACAAAAUUGAAAAAAGAAUUAUUUUCAAGGUGCUUACAUGUCGCUUAAAUGAAUGUUGGCUAUCCUACUUAUUUGCAAGCUCUCAUCUCUCAAAAUUCAUUCAAUUAUAUGGUGGAGUUUGGGUAAGGUUAGCUAGAAUCAACACGUAUAUUAUUGAAUUAAGAAAACCCUCUAACGGUGGCCUACCUUCCGAGCCAUUGAUCAUAAGAAUAUCCACAUAAUGUGAAGUUUUCAAGGAUGAGAAGAUAUAGAAUGGUGGACAUGUGCAAAGGCAAAGAAAUAUAGUGACUCUGAGGCACAAGCAAUGUCCUCGUCGUUGGAUUGCAUAUGGUUGUAAUGAAAAUAUGUUCCUUAAACAAGUCUAUCUUUUCUUUGCACCACUCUUGAUCUUCAUGACAGUAAAAACUCCUCCUUUAUUUCUUUCUCUCUUUUCCUAUUAUUUCUUUUUAUUUGUCUCAAUACUUUUAUUUCUUUAUUUCUUUAUUUUAAUCUCUUCUCUGAACCUCUUCUGAACACCACAUAAUAAAAAUAAGUUUUAGAUCCUUCCAGAGACCUUCCAGGAAUUUGCUACAUGAAAACCGAGGCAAGGAGACCCCAGGCCGAUUGGCCUAGCCACUCCUUUGCUCUCCUCUAGCUCUUCUUUCUGGUGAAGCUUCCUUAUCUUGUAUCUUUCCAAAAAUUUCAUAAAGCUCGACUAGAAACGGAACAGAUCUUCAUAUAAUGAGUUGUGUUCAAGGAAUUGGUAAUAAAAUUGAGAAAUUUGUGGUUCGGGUUUACGAAUUCAGUACAAAAAUAUGAUUGUUCCAAUGAAGAACUCUCAUUACUGAAUAUUGACGAGGCAAGCAUUCAAAGAUGGUAAAAAGGAUAUGAUCAAUUCUCAAAAUUAAAGCAAACCAAGAGAGAGCGAUCCUAAUUCAAUUCAAAGUGUCAAAUGUUGCUUAUGGUGGUAUGAAUAAAUAUUUUUAGGCAUUGGGUAGGAUAAAUAAAAACUCUCAACCUGGUUAAAAGAUAUUGAUCAAUCUUGUUUUUGCAGAGGUUUUAAAUAAAAAAUAAAAUUUUAAAUCACCUCCAAUUCAAAGCCUUACUCAUAAAUCAUAAUCAAAACUGAAGCACUUGAUCAUCAUAAAGCAUGGGUAUUGCAUAAACAAAUCGAUUACUAAAACUCCACAACUACGAUUUAGAAUUCAAGACAAUGCUCAUAAUCUAAAGUUGCAAAGAUAAAAUAAAAGACAACCAAGCCAAGGUAGACACUAAAAACACUUGCACGAUCCUUGAAUUUUAUUCAUGCUUCUUCUCACAAAGACGCUAAAGUAGCCAUGUAGGCCUAAGUCUUCCCAAAAGCUUAAGAAAACUACUACUUUAUCUACUUUUGGUUGAAAUAAAAAGACUAAUCUAGACUCUCACAUGAUUCGACUCGACCAAAUUAGAUCCAAAAACUCAUACGAGCGACGAUCUCCCCCCCCUCACGCUUAAAAUCUACGACCUCCUCGUCGUAGCCAUAUGGAGUACAAGGAAAAGAAGCUUGUAAACGCUCUAAUGACGCUACCCGCACUACUUGCACACGGGAUGGUUGCUGCUUCCUUCGCUUUGUUCUUCCUCAUGUUGCUGCACAUCCCGAAGAGCUUCCUCACGUUCCUCUGCAAGAACUUGAACUCGUCCUCCUGACGGCGAUCAUUAUCUUCUGCCUUUUGAUCCAGAGCUUGUAAGGCUUGCAUGAUGUCAUCGAACGCAUCGAAGAGGUAGUGGAUGUUCUUCCUGCAAGCUGUGGAACAUGUACGAUCAUGCUCCUCCGAUUCUGGCCCGUCGUCUUCUAGAUCCUUCUCUUUGCCCUUGUCUUGACGGUGGCUAUCUUGCUCCUUGCUCGCCUUCUUGCCUUCAGCCCAAUCCCAGUACGUGUUGUCAUCUUCUUCAUCGUCACGGCCUGCAGCACCCUAUGAUCCAUUGUCUAUCUUGUAUGAAAGAAUCAGAAGCUUGUUCUCCUCAGGGUGUCUUGCGCGGUGCAGCGUUUGCAAGUGCAAGACUUGCUAGUUCCUUUUACACAUUGUAAUGUUCAUUGCAUGCUCUAAUUGUUCUACAUUUGUAAUUUCUUGGUGAAGUUUGGUUACUGAUCCACUGUUUGAUUAACUCUUGGGCCCAAACACUGUACUACUUCUGAUUAGAUAUCUGUAUCUUGACUUUGACCAAAAAAAAUAUCCGGCAGUUUUUGCCAUUAAAGUUUCAUAAAUCAUCUUGCAAAAAUCGUACUAUACAACAAGGGACGGUUUAUUAUAAAAUAUACGUUCCCCUUAUCACAUGCCACUUCCACUCAAAAGGCAACGAAUCAGUUUUCAAUCCUGAGUGAGCAAUUUGCUUUUAUUACCGAUGCCUCCUAUUCCCUUGUGCACCAAGUUUAUUUUGGAUAGGGCUGCAAAAAACGACUAACCAGCUCGGAUUCUCCACCUGCAAAACCGCAUCUGCAGCAACCAACCCCACGCGGUGGAAAAAAAAACAAAACCUAGAAACCGGACGGGGGUGGAUGUGGGGCUCGGAGCCCAAGCAAAAAACGGAUCGGGAGCGCCGGAGCAGGCCAUCACCGGAUGUUAGAGAUAGAAAAUGGUUGAAGUUUGGAGUGGAAAUCAAACAAGCCUUGGAGCAAAGGAAAAAAAAAGAUCAAACCACUCAAGCAUUCAUUUGAUUUAGAAAAGAGAACAUUUGUUAAGGUGGGGAGUUGAAAUCAUCUUUUAAUUAGUUCCACGUAUCUGGUAUCAUUACAGUUGGUUUACUUGUGUAAGUAUAAGUAGCUCUGCCGAAGCCUUUGCUCCUAUAAUUUAGUAACUAGUACAAAUGGAUCAAUAGGAAAAUCAAGUUGCAAUCAUUUCUCAGCCAACCAAACCUAUGUAAAUCAAAUUAUUGUCCAUGCCCGGCAUGCACAGGUGCCUGCCAUGCAUGCAUUGUUGCUCCAUUGUAAUAACCAUUAUUGUCCAUCGAUGUUGCAGCGCAUGUGUGCACUGUGCAGACACCAAGCAUCGAGAUUAUGUACUAGUAAGGUGUUGAAAUAAUGGGCCUAGCCCAUAAGUAAUUUCAGAAUUUCAAAUAAAUCUCAAAGGCCCAUGUGGGCAAGAGGUGGAGUGGUGCAAGUCUUUAGUCCCACAUUGCUAGUCGAGGGGAGGGAUGACCAACUUAAAUAUGGAAGUUGUCUCCACUCCUCCAAGCUAUGUGUGAAGGGCGCGGGCGCGAGGCACUUGCGUGAAUGGUCCGCCGAAAUCUGGCCCCCCUUGCGGGGGCGCGGCUUCCUUUUGCCGUUUUAUUUUUUGGUUACUUGGUCGUUAAGUCAUGGAAUCCUAACCGGUUUAGAUCACGAUCGUGAAGGUUUUUGGGAAGCGCUCUGCGCGACUGCUCGAUCGCUUCUUCCGCUUCGUCAAGUUCUUCGUCGACUCCUUCACCACGGCUCGUCUACCUCUUCGUCGCUCGGGCCUCACUCGUCGUCGCGAACAACGUCAGGCUGCUGAUCGUCGUCGCCUGCUGUAUCCGGUAGUCGUCCAGGAGCCGGUUUUCAUCAAGAAAGAAACGUACGGUCUCUUAACUCACAUUAUGUCUUCCAUACUAGCUAUUAUGAUUGUUGCAGUCUGAUAGCUCUGGAUAGUAUGGUAGAAUGUCUGAUUCUAUUUGCAAUGAUAGACUUGUCUAGAUCUUGCGUAGACAUGUCUAGUUUAAUCUGCUGCUUGUUCAUCAUAUUCAUGAUUUAUUUCUGGAUUAAGUUAAAACUAAAAGUGCUUAUAUAUCCAACAUAAGGUACCAAGAACACGUGAAGCACCCGGGGGAGGCUGCUCCACUCCGCAUGCACAGGUGGGCACGGCACCACUACUCGUCUCCUUCAGGCUGAGGAUAAGUGAUGUACGCUGAUCAACAGACCACGACGGAACCAGCAAUAAUAGUUUCAGCCUGCCUCACAGUAAUUAAUAUAUCCUGUAUCCUCCGAGGACCCCUCCCCUUAAUCUUGGCCUAUUGCAUCCAAUAAUGAUAUGUGUGUUUAUCCAAAUUUACGGCACCUUUGGCGGGGGUUCCACCCAGCUCCGCCCUCUCCACCUUCGGUACUCCAUGGGAAACCAUUCCUUUGGAAUCAAGGAAGCUUGAACAGUAUAACGAAUAAAGUUUCAUAUAUCCAUUUGAUUUCACAUGAAAUAAAAUAUUCUGUCAGAACCAAUGGUUUCACUGAAGCUCCAGGCAGCGAGCGAAGGGGUGAGAGAGGAUAACGCUUACUGUGUGUUACCAUCGCGUGCACCAUGGAUGACCAACGCGCAGCCGAGAUGAAACGGCGGACCUAAACAGGUCCUCGCUAUUUUUGCAGGUUCUCGACCAGGCCAGUUCUUUAGGCCAACCUAUCAUUCACGAGUUAAACAUACGGUGGCUGGAGAAAUGUUCUAUUCUUUUAAACAAUACCAGCUGGUUCCUCCGUUUUUAUUCCACCAAUACAAGCACCACCUUGUAACAUUUCCUAUGUUUUUUUUCCUUUCGUCUGUUUUCUCACUACAUGCGUUGCUCUUUCAUGCAUUUUUUUCCAUUCCUGUAUUCCAAAUAGGUCUACAUGAACACAAAAUGAACUAGGGGACAGAAAAAGCCAGUGAAGUUAGUUUUGAGCUUCACCAGCUACUUGCUACAUAAAGUGUGCUAUAGUCGCAGAAAAGCUAAGCUGGAUCAGACGUGGCCGAAACAAUGCCAAAGAGCUAGGUCCCUAGCUGAUGGCAACACAUCAGAUGACUAGCCUGCUUUUCUGUAAUAAUGAUAUUGAGCAAUACACUGCAUGGCUAACCUGCUUUACAAUAAUUGUCAUUUUAUAAUAUUGGUCAUCACGAGAGAUGCACAUUGCAUACACCGGCCCAUCCCUAUAAAUAGCCAAGCCUUUCAGCCAUCUUGGGCACCUCCUCUCAGGGCCUCGUCUCACCAUCAGACAUCUCGUUCCCAGUUAUAAUUUGCGAGGUUAGAUCAGGCUGCGCCAUGGCGUCCGCAACUGCUGUCAAGAUCGUCGCCACCUUCAUGCUGGUGCUGACCAUGGGCCACCUGAUGGCCGAAGCAUCACCGCAGCCUCGGCGUGUGCUUGCAGAAACGGAGCAUGCUGCGGUGUCCGGGAAUCCUGGCCUCCCAGGUGAUGCUAGCGUCAUGCAGGUCCUCGAACCCGCCCUAGUUUCUCGGCUUGCCUGCAAACCAGAGUGCACAGUCCCUUGGCCUCCUUUUGUAUGUAUCUGCUAGAUCCUCUUCCUGGCUCAACGGAACUUCAGGGAAAUGGCUGUGACGUCGGCCAAAGAAUAAAUUGGAUGAACAUAAUAUACCCCGGGUAGUGUAGCUUGGGCUUUUGUUGAGCGUCUGGUGCUAGUUGUAUUUUGUUUGCUCAUGUGGCUUUGCUUCUGGUUGCAUAUUGGCUUUCCUAUCGCUCUCUGUUGCAGCUAUGGUUUCUGCCAGGUGUGUGUUAAUGCGGUUUGUAAGCGGUGCUUGUUCCUACCUUCUGUUUUCAAUAAAAGAAGUCGGAGUCUCCCUCCGACUCUUGUUAUCAGUCAACAAAAAUGAGUUGUAUCAUAUAUAUCUGCGUCUUUUUUCUACGUAUCUUUGGGCUGCUUCAGCUGGAAGUUUAUCGUAAGUACGUGUAUCAGGAUGAUCGUUUGAAUUAAAACGAAAUGAUAAUGUGUGGCUGCUAGAAAUGGAAUGAGCAUCUUACUAUAUUACUAAUUGGAAGCCUCCACGUGAAGCCACCUAGAAAUUCUAGGUGGACGUUUUAAAAAAAACAAAACUCAUAGAAGCCUCCACCACCUAGGAAUCCUAGGUGGACACUCUAAAAAGAGACAAAUCCUAGAAAUUCUAAAAAAAGAAAAAAAUAAUAACAAUAAGAUUUUUUUGCAGUCAAUUACAUAUAUUUUUUUGAGACACCGUGCUGCUAGCUCUUGCCAUUGCGACCAGUAAAGCAAGCAGAUAGUAAGAUGACAUGCGUGUGGAUUGAUUAAAACAAAUUCAGUUAGUUGAUUCUAAAUCGUAUGUAUCCUAAAAGGAAGAUAUGUGCGUGCAUGGUCCCUAGCGAUGACAUGUAGACAUGUAUUGCAAUUUCUUUUUUAAAAAACAUGUCUAUCUCUAAACCAACAAACAGAAAAAAUAUCAAUCUAAAUCUAAAUCUCUUCCGUUCUCACACGCCUAUUAAAGAGAAGACAACCAAUCCCAUCCAUGUUCCAUAGAAUCCAUCUAAAAGCUUGCUCACUGCGGACGGCAUUUGACGGCAAAUCAAUGAAAGAUCAUCCUCUCCAAAUAGCUGGACGGCAUCACCAUCUUUAUCUCACCAACCUACAGAGCUACAACGAUGUUGUAGAGAUCAACUAGGUAACCUACCAAUCACCCUCCCCUUUUCUAUAUGCUCUAAAGAACACGUGGAGUAAUUAUAGGCCUAUAGGAGCCGACUAACCUAGAUUAAUAUGAAAAAUAUUCCAAUAUUAAAAGCAAGCAGAUAGUAAUACUUGCCUUUGACCAUUUUUCUAGAACUGUUAUUCCUAUUGAAUGUUCAAGUGCUACGGCCAGGCAUCGAAUGCCUGCACGGAACCUUCCUAUUGAAUGGUUACUCUAGAGAUCAACGCACCGCGAGACAUUUUUAUGGAAUUUGUUUGAUUCCCCUUCUACAAUUAGAUUAAUUUUUCAUGGCAUAUAUUACUACUAUUAAAUUAUUUGUUUAUUGUCGGGCCUGCUGCAUGUGUGGUAUAUAUGACUUGCUUCUCACCAUUGUUCUCAAACUAUUAUUCCUAUCGAAUCUUUCUAUCGAAAUAUAUUUUAAUUACUUGAUUGUUGUUUGUGUACCAUAACUUCUGUAUAGAAAAAUUCCAUGUUUGUAGAUAAUGUCUUUUGUAUAGAAAAAUAGCCCAAUUAGAUCCAUCACCAUCUUUUGCUUAUGUAGUUGAACAAGUUGCAAUGUUGAACAAAACUUUAAGUGAAAUUAGACCAGGAAAAGGAAUUGUGGAACAUUAAGGCAAGGGUAACCAGAUUGUGGAAUGCAACCUUACUCAGUAGUGGCGAACAAUUAAGUCUUGACAUGAUCCUUAUUGAUCAAAAGGUAUGAUAGAUGUUCACUUUGAUUGCAUUAUUGGUAUAAUUUUUGGUUUACAAAUUAUUAAUGAUGAUGCAAAAUUAGGGAACCAUGAUCCACGGUGUUAUCAAUAAGCCCUAUAUGAAAAAGUUCAAACCAUUGAUUGAAGAAGGCAAUGUGUACAUAAUUGCAAAUGUCAGAAUCACACCAGAACCACAGAAGUAUCGGCCAGUGGAAAAUGACAGGAUAGUCAACUUCUUACCCACAACUGCACUAAAAACGAUCAAAGAUACUGAAGACAUUCCAAAGUAUAGUUUUAACUUCAUGAGCACGGAUAUGCUUUCAGCAAGAAUAAAUGUGGACAUGUACCUAUUAGGUAAAACAUUACUGGCUUUUCAAUUUUUACACUUCCACUCAUUAAAUGACCAUCUAAUAAUAAUACAUAUUUAUGUUUCAUAGAUGUUAUAGGUAUCUCAGCUCACAUUGGACCGAUAGAAGAAACAAGGACAAACUUCGGAUUUACUAAAAUCCGUGAUAUUGUGCUCCUGAUCGAGUAAUUCUCUUUUCUUUUGUAGAAAACAACUACAAAACUUUCAACAUUUACAUGUAUGUUAUAGAACUUCUGUUGAACUAAAAAAUAUCUUCUACAGUGCCCCUACAAAUAAUUAAUUUCGUAGUUGGAUAUUUAAAAUAUUUAUUAUUCACUUUUAAAUUUGUGGCCAUGAAGUUAAAGUUAGAUUUUGGGGAGACAAAGUUGAGGAAGUUGAUGAUAAGACAAAAUCCCAUGUCAUUGCAAUAACAUCUACAACUGUGAGUAAAUUUGGCAGUAAGUCUUCAUUCAAUAUGAGUUAUUCAAUAUUAGUCAUUCAACAAACUAACCUCGUAAGAAAAAUAAAUAAUUGAUGUUUUAUCAGGGUAUUCUCUAUCGUCAACCAAUGCAACAAAACUUUAUGUAGAUCUACCUAUUCCUGAAACUAAGGAUGCACAUGAUAGGUGAGAAAAAUUAGAUAUUGUUUUUCUAUUUUAAUCUAUGUAGCAUGCACUCUAACAUGAUACAUUCUUUCAUAUGAUAAAAAAAUGUUAGUUCAAUUGAAAAUAUUGUCAAAGAGAUUCAUAUUGAGGACCAUCUAAAAGGGACAUUGGAAGACCAAAUGCAGUACAAUAGAAGAACUUUAGAAGAAUUAAAUUUCAUAUUAUUUGAAACAUCAAAUCAGGUAUGGAUUAGUAUGUUCAUUGUACACUAUACUAUUUAAAGACUUACAUACAUAAUGAUGGUAUUGUUCCUACUUUCAGGAUGAGGUAUUUACUAUUGAAGCAACAAUAAAUGAAAUUAAUGCAACAUAUGGUUGGUUGUCACACCCGAUUUUAAGGACAAAAUUGAGUGCAUUAAAUACAUGUGCACCAGGAUCAAGUUACACACAUCCUAUGAGUACCGUCCUUCUUUGGCACAAAGAUAACCGGUGCUCCCCAUGGUGAUGAACUAGGCCGAAUAAACUAUUUUGCUGAUAAUUCCUCUAGUUGUUGUUUCAAUUCUUUUAAUUGUUCAACCAACAUUCUAUAAGGACGUUUGGAGAUAGGUGCAGUACCAGGUAAAAGAUCAAUAGCAAAUUCAAUGUCGCGGUCAGGUGGCAUACCUGGUAAAUCGUCGGGGAACACAUCCGGAUAGUCACACACCACUUUGAUAUCUUCCAAGGAUUUUCCAGCCAACUGAUUAACUGCACAAUCUGCUGCUGAGGGUAGAGUAGCUACAAACUCCACUUUCUCUCCAUCAGGACCUGUUAGCAGAACUGUCCUCUUGGCACACUGAAUCGUUGCAUCAAAAGCGGCUAACCACCUCAUCCCCAGAAUUACAUCGAUUCCACUGGACUCAAGGACGAUAAGAUCAGCCGGAAACUCUAUACCCAUUAUUCUCAGUUUAACUUGUGGACAGAUGUAUUGAGCCUUCAUUGACCCCCCAGGUGAACUCACUAGCAUAUGACGCCUCAUGGUAUGCAUGGGUAAAUUAUGCUUUGCUACAUAAUGACUAGUGACAAAAGAAUGCGAUGCUCCAGAGUCAAAUAAAACUGAUGCGGGGGCAGAGUUGACAAAGAACAUACCAAGCACUACAUCUGGAGCCUCCUUAGCAGUCUCGGCUUCCAUGUGGUUCACCUUGCCACAAACAAAGCUUUGCUGCCCCUGAUUGCCUUGUGGGGUCUGGUUCCCAUUCCUCGGUUGCUGCAUCUGAUUCUGCCGAGGAGCACUGCUGUUCUGCACGGGGGUAGCUGGCCCACCUCUCUUAGGACAAGAGCUGGCAUAGUGACCAACCUCGCCACACUUGAAGCAGGUAGGACCCACUGGAGCAUUGGGCCUUGUUGGAGUGCCAGUAGGGGUCAUCUGGCGGUUCUGCGUAAAGCUUGGGCGCGGAGUCUGCAUAGUCUGCAUCCCUGGAUGCUGGAACUGAGGGCUAGGGCGCUGGAAUGACUGCUGAGCAGGGCGCGGAAAUGAGUGCUGCCAAAAAUUCCCACUCGGGCCCCCUGCGCGGAACGGCGUCCCUUGCUGUGGAGCAAAGCGAGGGCGGGUGUUGCUUCCUGAAGACUACUGGGAAUUGAAUUUCCUCUUCAUCUCCCCGAGCUCGUUCCUCUUGUGUUCCAGGCCAAUUGCCUUGUCUAGCAUCUUCUGGAAACUGGGGAAGGUGUGCGACAUAAGCUGAUAUUGGAGUGGUCCAAUCAACCCAUCCAAGAAUAGCUCCUGCUUCUGCUCAUCAUCAGCAACAUCUUCGGGAGCAUAUCGGGACAACUGGACAAACUUGUCCCUGUACUCUGCCACUGUCAUGUUCCCCUGCUUGAGAGCAAGGAACUCCUUCUUCUUAAGCUUCAUCAAUCCGGAAGGAAUAUGAUGACUUCUGAAGCUAGUCCUGAAUUCAUCCCAGGUGAUGCCAUUAGCAUUGGCAUGGGUGGUGGUGUAAGCAUCCCACCAAUCAGCAGCUGGCCCUUCCAGGCGUCCUGAAGCAUACAGGACCUUCUCCCUGUCAGUACAUUGGGCGAUAUCCAGCAUCUUCUCCACUGUUUUCAGCCAAUCAUCAGCAUCUAAUGGAUCCGGAGAAUGUGAAAACGUCGGGGGCUUGUGGCUCAUGAACUCCCUAUGCCUGUCCCUUGGCGGCGGCUGCUGCUGGUUGUUGUUGUUGUUAUUGUUCAGCUGAGCUUGUAAAGCUGCCACGGUGUUGGUCAGUCCGGCGAGAAGCUGAGUCUGAGCUGCUAGAAACUGCUCCAUCCCUGCAGGUGCUUGUUGGUUCUGUUGCGGAGCGGUGUUGGGAUUGCUGCUGUUGUCCCUGUGGCGUGGCACUGUGGGACGGUCAACUCCUGAUCCGGACCUGGUGUUUACCAUCUGAGCGUUAGAGACAAUGGAUUUAGAUAGAUGUGUGAAAGAAUAACUGAGAAAGAUAAAGCGACCAGAUGUAAAAGUAACACAGAUUCUGUUAGCUCCAUUUAAUUAGGUGUGGUCGUCAGAAGAAGUGUCCAUAAAUUCUGAACAAUUACCAAGUCGUAACUUAUUAAAUUUGUAAACCAACCCAACUGGAAUCAUCUCAAUCGGACUUCUGGAUCUCGAGUUACAAAAUUAACAAGCUGACAGUGUCGGUCGAUAGGUUCAGAUUCUGAGUGCUUUACUAAUUCGCAUACACCUCCCAGACAGAUACACCAAAAAUUCUGAAAAAUUUACAGAUAGUACUCCACGAAAUUCUGAAACUAACCCCACUGGUUUCAUGUCAUUUGGACUUCUGUAGCUAGAGAUAUAAAUAAAAAAGUACUGGCGUGUCAGUUAAUGUCGAGAACAGAAUUGAAUGUCGCUUAGCUUGCGUGAUGGAUAGAUUUAGACAGAUGGUAGAUCAUGAUUAAGGAAGAUUAAAUACUGAUUUAGAACAGAAAUAAAACCCAACUAAGCACUUUAUUUAUUAAGACCAGUAUCGUGUGGCAAUUGCCCCACAUACCGCACUCAUUACAAAAUCCAACUCAAACAUGUAGCACAAAACCAAUCAUCUAAGCACACUUUAACUAACACACUCGAACGACGUCUAACGAUUACAAGAAUUUAAACUAAAACACUCCUAAUUUCCUAGAGGUCUUCUGCGGCGGUGCCGGGCGAGUCGUAGCGGGGACGCUUAGGCGACGGCGACGAAGCGGGAUGAACAGCAAACUCCUGCGGCGGCGGUGCUCCCGUCGCGGCAGCCAUAUUCGCAUCCCUCUCCCACCGGAGUUCCUGAACCUCCUGUUGAAGCUCCUGGAUGUGGUUGUUUGCUUCAUUCAAUGCGGUGAGAGCUGCCGACGUGUACUUGCGGAGGAAGUCUGUAGCCAUGUCAACCCCAUCGUUAGUAGCGAUGAAGGUUCUUGCUUCCCCACUAGCUCGGUAAGGAAGGAACCGAUGGUAAGUGUGCUGCAAUCGCGGCCGUUCCUUGUGGGAGACGACCUCAAGUGCCCUCCUGGCGGCCUCGGCAAUGCCGGAUUCCAUGGUCCUCCUUAUGGUCACAUCAUGGUGAAAAGCCUUCACCUCCCAUCCUCCCUCGUGCUCCUCACGAAGGACAACCUUCACCUCCCAAAAAGUGGGAUAGCGAGGGUGGGUGAACCGGGAGCACUUGUAGAGUGGCCUCAUGCCGUACCCCAAGCGGUGACAAGUCCACCUGAGUAUGUCGGCCAUGUGCACUCCUUGGCCAUAAUCUUCCUUCACCCAUUUGAUCCAUGUCUCGGGCUCGGGAUCUGCUUCGGGCUCAUCAUCCGUCAAGUCGACGACCGGUACGGGCGUCGGGGCUGGUGCAGGAGCGGGCGCCGGUGCUGGCGACGGUGCUGGUGACGGCGUGGUCUCCUGCUCCACGGUCACGGCGUCCCCGUCAGAGUCAUCCCCCGGAUGCUGGAAGAUCUCUUCCUCUUCUUCCUCGUCCCAAGGCUCCAUGGGGGCGUACGACGGCGCGAUGCCAUGACGCGGCGGACGGGUGCUCUUGCGUGCGGUCAACCGGGUGCGAGCCAUCUAACAGAAAGAAAGAAGAAAAUUUUAGAAUAAAAUUUUGAACAAAGCUAGAUAAUAAAAUAGCAAUAAGGAUGAGACAAAUCAAGUUUAAGAAUAAUUAAGUAGAUUUAAAUUAAGAAAGGUAGGAAUGGCUACUAGAUUAUUAUAAUCCUUAAAUACGACCAUUUUCUAACUAGGCUAACGUCCUACAGUCAACACGGCUCUGGUACCACUUUUGUCACACCCGAUUUUAAGGACAAAAUCGAGUGCAUUAAAUACAUGUGCGCCAGGAUCAAGUUACACACAUGUACGACAAUAGUGAAUAGUAAAGCCAGUGCUAAAUCGAAUAAAGAGAGUAUUAACCAUUAUUACAUGACCGAAUGUCUCAAAUAAACCACAAAGUCUAAUUAUUACGCAGCGGAACUCCAAAGAUGACGACGACUCCAUAGGCAGCUGACUGAAGAAACGUACGCCUAGAACUCCUCGAAGUCGUGGAAGUACUCCUCUUCCCAAUUAACUUGGUCUGAACAGCGGUUUUGCAAGGGUGAGUACACUUAUGGUUGGUACUCAACAAGUCGUGGGAAGUAGUGUAGUGUAAGGCUAAUUCAAGGUAUGGCUAAGGCGUAAAUAGCAUUCGCUUUUAAUUAAGUUGGUCAAAUUUUAUUAGCAUUUACUAAGUAUAAGUUCAUACCACCCGAAAUUAAACAUGAACAUAAAGUAAACCACAUGUGCAUGAAAUGAUAACAAAUUAAAUCCAUCUUCCGAUAAUAUUAUCAUGUGAGGGUCCAGGCCGCUCUUAACCGUGAGCACGGCUGAUUGAUCAGUUUAACACUCUGCAGAGGUGGCACAUCUUUACCCACAAGUCGCGUAAAAGUUCAAAAGAACUUUGGACCCAACCAUGCGGUGUUUGCAAGGCACCAUACCACACUUCCGAGGUGUGAUUGCAUAGGGACGCUACGAGGCCUUUACAAAGAUUCAUUAAUCAGUGGUAACCCGCUAAGGUUUCGGUGUCUGGCGUGCACCACCCAUCCCAGGUAAAAUGCAACGACUCAGUCCCCCCCCUUGAAUCAUCACGAGUAAGGUCACCCCAGACUAAGGUUUCUAAUUAAUCAGCCAAGACCAGAGCUAUUUAGUCUUGUGGUAGCACUGUUUUCCUGGGUGGUCGCUCCAUGUUCUGAUUAACAAAUAAUGAUCUUGUCUUAAUGAAAGGUAUAACAGAAAUAAGGCAAGAUUAAGCAUUGUUUUUAGUUAAACCACCAUGUACCAAGUAAGCACUAAGCAUGAGCUACCCAACAUAAAGUAAACCGGUUGGUCAAGGCAAAGGUAAAACAAUCUAGGCCAACCUUAAUUGGGACCCAUCAAUUUAAUCUUAAUAUGUGCACAGCAUAAAUGUUGAGUACGAGAAAGUAAAGGUGUAUAGGACAAAAAGGUAGUGAUCAAGGACACGACUUGCCUUCUUGGCCUUGCUCCUGCUGUUCGUACUCCUCGAAGGCUUGAUCGGCAACUCCCUCGAACUGCGGGGCGUCUACACGCAUCACACGAGCACAUACAAGCAAACAUGGGCAAAAGUAAGAAAACAGUAUACCAAACAUAGUCAAACAGAGAAAACAAGCUUGAAAAGAUGAUCUACGCUUUAAAACGAACACGCGGAUAUAAAGAACGCGAAAAACGGAGUUAAGAUGCAAAAGAUAUGAUUAAAACAAAAUCCAGGGACUUUUCUGUAAGAAAAACAAAACUUUUAGGGCCUAUCCGCGAAAACCGAGGGCUUAUACGUAAUUAUGCGUAUAAACCGAGGGUCUGAUGCGUAAAAACAUCAAACCCGGACGGCGGGUUGAUUUCUGGAAAGGUCAAGGGUUAAACCGAAAAAUGCGAGGGCAGAUCUGUAAAUACUUUCAACGCGAUCUGGACCGCGGGUUGAUUUGCGAAAAAGGCGGGGGCUAAAGUGCAAAAACUGCACGGCGCGGCUCGGUUGACCGGUACGCGAUCUUGAUUGACUCGCGUCCGGCCGUCGGAUUAAGAUCCGACGGUCGCGGUGAUCCGCGACAUCGCGGCGGCGGCGGCGAGCGGCGGCGAGCGGCGGCAAGCGGCGGCGGGUCGCCGGAGUUAGGCAAAAUAGCGCCACGAGGCACGGUUUAACGCGCGGGUUGCACCAAAAAAGAGAGGGGAACACGUCGAUCCCGUUUUGGGGGUUCUUGUCGACGGGGGCUCACCGGCGACGGCGAACGGCGGCGAGGAAGAGGCGGCGGCGCUAGGAGCUCGGGCGGCUAGGGUUUCGGGGAGCUGCGGCGCUGGUUUUGGGCGGAGGAGACUGGGAGGAGGCGGCGGCUUUUAUAGGGCUUGGAGAUAGAGCCGGCGCGGGUUCAAAUCCCCCGGAGGAGUCGGAGCGGAUGGAGUCCGGGGCGGAGACGGCGCGCGGCGGUUGCGGAGUUCUGACCGGAUUCGGCCGGAGGUGGGAGACGAUGGGUGGGGUCCACCCGUCAGUGGCGGAGGGGAGCGGUAGACGGGCCGGCGCGACCGUGGGCUGGCGCGCGCUCGUGGGCUGCGGGGAGCGGGAGAGAAGCGGCGAGCGGGCGCUGGCGGAGCAGGCCGAGCGGAGGUAGAGCUGGGCCGCGGAGAAAAAGGAGGAGGCCGGCGGGCUGCUUCGCAGGCCGGUAAGGAUGAGGCGGCCGGGCCGAAGAAGAAAAAGAAAAGGAGGGACAAGGAGCUUUCGGCCGAGGGAAAAGAAGAAGAAAAAGAAAAGGAAGAAGAAAAGGGAAAAGGUUUUGGAAUUUGAAUUUAAAUCUGAAAUUCAAAAUUUGAUUCAAACUCAAGCAACCAAAAAUUAUGCUCCAGCAUGAAUGCACAAAUAAUUCCUAUGAUGAAUUAAUUGAAUUAAAGAAAAUGAAUUUAAAUGCCUAGAAAUUAAAUAACACCCUAAUUUGAGCAAAUUUUAAUGAAUUUGAAUUAUUGAAAUUUUGGGUGUUACAUUGGUACUACAUCUCAUGUAGUAGAGGCGAUUGUAAGAAGCAACUUGAAAAGAAGUUUGAUCACUACUAUUGCAAUAAAUGUGACAAGAGAGCCGAACCUAAAGCCCAGUAAAUUAUUUAGUAGUUUACAAUCUUAUUAUAAUACUUCUAUUUCUAAUAGGAGAAUAAUAUUUUCAGAUUCAAAUUAAGCUUCAAAUAAGUGAUCCAACAACAAGUGCAACUUGUGUACUUUUGACAAGGAAGCAGAAAUGAUAAUUAAUGAAUGAGCAGAUUCGAUGAUCACCUCAGUUGAUCAUGAUAAUAAGUAGCUACCAAAAUCAAUUCAGGAAAUAUGUGAAGAAACAUUGAUUUCUCAAUUCAGAUUGACCGAGUACAACUUGACAAGUUUUAGACCUGAUUAUACUGUUUCAAAGAUAUUUUUUCCAAAAGAAAAGGGCAGUUCAAGAAUUGGUAUGGAAAGUGUAAAAAAGGUAACACUUUAUUAUUAAUUUUUUAUUGCACUUUUUUCUUUUGAAUCCGUAAUACUUAAUAAUUUUACUAUAUCAAUGAAACAAAUUCUAACCUAAAUUUAUUUUCUUUUUUAUUAUUUGUAGGAAGUAGAAGACAACUCAGACAAAUGCUACACGAUAACUACCGAGAAUGAAGAGGUAGACACUGAUGACUCUUUUACCGAGAAAGUAACAUUCGUAGAAGAAGCCAUAAGGACUGGGGAAAGAUUGGCUAGAAAAGUAUACUCACUUCCAUGUCAGUGUUCAUUCUAUUUACAAUACAUGCAAAAAAAAUAUUAUUCAUGCAAAAUUGCAGGUCUACUAAGCAUUAAAGGAAUAGCGGAUAGUGCAAUAUGUAAUCUGAGCAGCAUGCAUUACAAAGUGCUCUACUGCAAUUAAAUUAAAAAACAUGAUAUAUGUUGAAUUCUUAGACUUUAUUAUUAUACUUUUCUACGUGACAAUUCACAAUUUUUUAGAAAAAAGAAGAUCCCAGAAGAAGUGACCAUGAAAAAAGGUCUAUGACCAGCAAUAAGAAAAAAUGCAAGCAUAGAAACAAAUCCGUAGAAAACAUAGAAAAUAAGGUACUCCAUAAACAAAAGUAUUCUCUUAUAUUUUUAUUAAAUAUUUUUUUAACACUUGACAAGUUCUUUUUUAGGAUCAAUAUAUCAGCAAUUCAGAUGUCAUUGGAGAUGAAACCUUAGUUCAUCCAAAAGGUCAAAAAAAAACAUCUGAAGAAAGGUGUUUGGCUGAAAAGGAAAAGCAAAAAAGUGGUAAUGCAGACAAACACAUGCAGAAAAAUAUAAAAACAUGUCAUAGGGAGGCAGACCAAUCUUGCAAGGAGGUAUAGACGAAACGUGAUACACGACCUGCCUACCUUGUCGUGGAUACCCCAAGAAGAUGUCAUAGAGGUGCAGACCAAGCUAGCAAGGAGGUCGAAACGUGAUACACGGCCUGCCUACCUUGCCGUGGAUAUUAGCCCUGAGAUCAUUCUACUGUUCAAGGAAUAACACUCAAUGCUGCUGCUGCUGCUGACCUGGCUCCAUAAAGUUAUACUCCUCUAGGUGCUUGCACUAACUUUAUCUGAAGUAUUAUUCUCUCUGCACUGUAUAUAUGGUUAUGGAGUUUGCUGGAGUAUCCGGGGCGAAGAACCUACAUAAUACGUCUUGGAACUAAUUGACAUUGAUUCACAGACAAACUCUACAAGGUGCUGUUCUUGCCAUUUUAGAGCAUCCAAAGGACUAUAAAUAACAUAGUUUACCAUAUACCAUAUACCAUAUACCAUAAUAUGUUAGCUAAAAUAAGAGCAUACACAUGUUGCAGGAGUCCAAAAGCACCGGUUGAGGACCAGGUACAUUGAAUUACUAGAAAAAGACAGGGGACAAGGUUUAGGUAACCACAUGAAACAUUUGAAUUUAUUGUACUAUGAACACUUAGUUACCAUGCCAGGAGCACAUAGUUAACACUAACAUUUAGCCACUUUAGAUCAUCCCGAAUCACCAAUGACCCUCAAUAGUGACAAAUUUUGGUUUAAAUGCCAUCACCAAUGAUCCUCAAUAGUGACGUAUUUAGGUUUAAAUCCCGUCACUAAUAACCCUCAAUAGUGACCUGUUUUGGUUUAAAUCUCAUUACCACUGAUCCUCAAUAGUGAUGUGUUUUAGCAAAACAUGUUAUCAAUGACUUGUCAUUGGUGACGUGUUAAAACGCGUUAUCUCAAUGGCAAAUCAUUGGUGACGUGUUAUCUCAAUGUUAUCAAUGUUCUAUUCUUUUCAACAAUACCAGCUCGUUCCUCCGUUUUUAUUCCACCAAUACAAGCACCACCUUGUAACAUUUCCUAUGUUUUUUUUCCUUUUGUCUGUUUUCUCACUACAUGCGUUGCUCUUUCAUGCAUUUUUUUCCAUUCCUGUAUUCCAAAUAGGUCUACAUGAACACAAAAUGAACUAGGGGACAGAAAAAGCCAGUGAAGCCAAUUUUGAGCUUCACCAGCUACUUGCUACAUAAAGUGUGCUAUAGUGACGUGUUUUAGCAAAACAUGUUAUCAAUGACUUGUCAUUGGUGACGUGUUAAAACGCGUUAUCUCACUGGCAAAUCAUUGGUGACGUGUUUUAAAAAAACAUGUCACCGUGAGAGUCAUUGGUGAAGGGUAAUUAAAAUGCGUCACUAAUGUUGUAGCAUUAGUUAUGAUAAUUUAGUAACGCAAAAAUCUACCAUCAGUAUUGAGCUUUAGAGCCAUCGCUAAUGUGGGUUUCUUACAUAGUGAUGCAAGCUCUACAAGGUGCUGUUGCUGCCAUUUUAAAGCAUCCCAUGACUACAUGUUAAUAACAUAGUUUACCAUAUAUCAUAAAAAUAUUAGUUACAAUAAGCACAUACGCAUGUGGAAGAGUCCGAAUGCACCGGUUGAGGACUAAACACAUUGAAUUACUAGAACCAAAUGUAUGUUUAGAACAAAGACAGGGGUCAAGGUUUGGGUAACCGCAUUAAAAACAUUGGAUUUUACUGUACAUGAACACUUAGUUACCAUUACCAUGCCUUGAGCACCUAGUUACAACAAACAUUAAUUUAGCCACUUUAGAGCUUCCAGAAUCGCUAUAAAUAAUAUACCUACGCCGUACCAUGAAAACAUCAAGAAGAGAGACGGAUACAUGGACCACCAUCAAGCGAGUAGUGACAGCACGCACAAGAAUACCCGGAACCUGUUAGCUUGUCUGUAGUGAUCUGUUUUCUUCCCCAUAAAAUCCAUGAGUAUUGCCACAAAUAAUGAAAGAGGCUGACCAAGCUAGCAAGGAGGUAGAGCAAACGUGAUACACGGCCUGCCAAGAUUGCCCUGGAUACGCCAAUAAGAGCGACAGAUACAUGGAUCACACCAAUAUGGUGAAACGUAUAUUCAUCACACAAGCAAAGCUGGUCAGUUUAUCCAUGGUCAAAUUGUGGUCUUUGUUUUCACUUGAGAGCUAAUUGAGGCACUAUAAUAUGGGCAGGCCUAUCUUCAACAGACAUGACAGCUACAGGGAACUUGACAUAAUUUGCUGGGCCGCCUGUGCACAAUUAUUUGUUUUAUUGUCCUUGCAUAGAAUGCUAAAAUACUCUUUACAAAAUGUUGGAUCUAAUAUUUGAAAUAUAGAGUAGUAAUCAUAUAUUGAUCAACAACUUGAAAUUAUCUGUACAUUCUCGGUGAAGCUGUUGAACUAAUUUUUGCAAAUUAUUAAUUCAUCUCAUUACGUAAAGAAAAAAGUAAGUGGAUAAGAUAUUUCGUGGACCACAUCACUGCAAACAUGUCAUGGAGAGACAGACCAAGGAGGCAGGACGUGAUACACGACUUACCCUAGGUUGCCGUGGAACCGCCAAGAAGAGAUACAGAUACAUGGACCACACCAUCUUGGGAGUAGUGACAGCAUAUAUGCAGAAGAAUACCCCGUGCCUAUUUGCAUGCAUGUCUCAAGUGAUCUGUUUUCUUCAGAAAAUACAUGAGCAUUGCCAGAAAGAAUGGCAAGAGACAAACAUGUCAUAGAGACUUGCAUGUCUUGCCUUGGAUACGCCAAGAAGAGGGACACAUACAUGGAUAACACAAAUCUAGUGACACGUAUAUUCAUCACAAAGGCAAAUCUGAUAAUUUUAUCCAUGGAGCAGACCAAGGAGAAAUUGAUGACGGACAUGUGAUCUCUGUAUUCAGUUGAAAGCUAAUUGAGCUACACUAAUAUGAGCAGGACUAUAUUCAAGAGACUUGUUGAGAGCUACAGGGAACUUGUAAUAAUUUGCUGGGCGGCCUGCGCACAAUGAUUUGUUAUACAUAGUUGAAAUAUUUCAAGAAUUUAUCAACCUCAUACUCUGAAACCCUUGGUGCAAUGUACUCUGCUUUCCGAGGUAGACUGUUCACGUAAAAUGAGGUCAUGCGUAAGACGGAAUCGGAUUGGAUUCACAGGGAAUCAGAUUUGGAUAGCACCUUUUAGCAGGUUUUUAGUCAAAUGCAAAUUCGGAUCCACAUGUGGUUGAAUGCGAGUUCAAAAUUCUACUUGGAUAUCCAUUUAAUUUAGGUGAUAGCAAUUAGCACAAAAUGUUGGAUGAACAAAAUCAUAGUUAGACAUACAAUUACAUGUAUGGUUAAAGUAUAAUACAAUACACCAAGAUUAUUCCUUGAAAAUAUUUCUUAAAAAUAUUAUAAUAAAUGAAUAAAUAUAAUUGUGGCCACCAACAAAUAGUCGGUGGUCGCUAAGUUGGAGCCAUUUCUGGUUACUAAUGCGGCCUUCUCCUCGACCAGCGACGACAGCUGAGCUUGUUCCUUCUGACACUAAAUCAUCAGAGUCUUCCCUCCACUACUAUAGAAUGCACCUUUAGCACCAAUUGGGAAAUCCCCUUCAGUAUUGGAUGCUGCAACCAGUGCUAUAUAUCAAAAUGGAGACUAAAAGCCUCGGUCUUGGGUACCGGUUGCAUAACGCAUUACUAAAGGAGGCAAAAGAGAAAUGUAACAAAAAAAAUAUUUUGAAUUCCAAGAAUGUUUCACUAUUCAAGAUGACUAGCUGAGAGUCAACAGACAAGAUACUAGGAAUGUGGGUGCUUGAAUGCAUUUGUACAGAGGUCAUACUAUUUACAAACUCUUCUAUGUUUCCAUAUGACUACCUACUUCAAUGUCACGCGAGCCAUUCAGCUGGACACAUGGCACACUAGCUUGCAUGUCGAAUCCAUGAUUAAUUAUUUGCACUUGUGAUCUCUUACCAGUAUUUGUCCAGACUAGAAACGUGCAACACAUUUUUAGGAUAUGGACACGCAUAUAUUUGGACUAGUAUACAGGUCACCUUUGGAUGCGUACAAGGAUGACCGGGAGGGACUAAUGGAUACAAGGAAGGGACCAUCAGGAUUAAUAUUGACAUAUGCCACAUGACAAUCUUCAUUGUCAUGCAAUCCCUAUCAACAAUCAUGGAAUCCCUAGUGUACUAAUCCCUGGAGGGUUGUGUGGAAAUUUAUUUUACCUUGCGGUGAAAAUCUCAUGAGCAGUCAUUAGUUAAGCUGACUAGCUGAGAUAUAAUAGACAAGCUAGUAAGAUUGGGAGCAUCAAUGCAUCCAUACAGGGUCACAAUAUCCUUUCCAUUCACUUUUAUAUAUAACCCUACGAAUACAAGUCCAACGAAAUGCGGGCCUUUCGAUCAAGAUAAAUUAAAUGGCCCACUUGUAUUUCUAAUCCAGGAUUAACUAUGCCCUCUGUUCAUCUCUUGCAAGCACGUGCAACACAUUUUCACGAUAUGGACAUGCAUGGAGGUUAUUAUACUGUUUGGACAAACUCUGAUGUGCCAUGACCUAAAUGCUUAGGGCCUGUUUGGUUUGAGUUGCUUAUUAUAAGCAACUUAAAGUUGCUUAAAGUUGCUUAUUUGAAGUUGCUUAUUUUUAGUCUAAACUGUUUGGAUACCCUUGCUUAUGAGCAUUGAAUGAGUUGGACAUUGUCAAAUUUGCCCCAUGUGUUGCUACCCCUCCAAUUUGCCUCCCCACCCUUCUUCUUCCUGCACACGUCCGAUCCCGGGGGCCGACGGCGGGCAGGGAGCAGCAGCAGCUGGCCAGGGCGGCGGUGGGGCGGGAGCGGCGGCGCACACCAGCACGCGCUCGCACGCCAGGUGCUAGGGCGCGGCGAGGCAGUCGUCGUAGCCCACCGGGAGCGGGUGCUCGGGCGCGAGGCGGUACUCGACGGAGAUGCCGAGCGUCGGGCGCGCGGCGGCGAGCGCGUUGAGGAAGCGAUGGUAGUGCGGCGACGUCGCGGACUCCGCCACGAAGCCGCCGCCGUGGACGUACACCACCACGGGCAGCUUCGUCUUGCCGUCGGCGGCCGCGGCCGCGGCCUGGGGUGGCAGGUAGAGGCGGACGGAGCAGGAGCCGAGGUCGACGUCCCUGGAGUCGACGCCCGUGGCGGCGUCCAGGCUGGGCCCGACCGGCGGCGGCACGAGCGGGCGCUCGAUGCGGCCGCUCUUGUAAAUCCGACGGGUCUGUGCGGAGGCGGGCGGCGGGCGGGAGCGGCGGGUGGGAGCGGCGGCAGGUGGUGCGGAGGCCGGCGGCGGCGGGUGGCGCGGAGGAAGGGGAGCUGGUGAGUGGUGACAGGGGAGGGGGGGAGAGAGAGGGGGGGUAGGGUGCAUUGAAUGAGGGCAGGAGGUGUAAAGUGCACCUUUUAGUCCCCAUGAGCAACCAUAAGCAGCCCAAGAGUUGCUUAUUUGCUUAUAAUAAGCAACCUCAUAAGCAAGAGUGAUUGGUUUCAUAAGCAACUUAUUUGCUUAUUUUAAGUUGCUUAUGCAUAAGCAUGUGAAACCAAGCAGGUCCUUAACCUAUGGUUGUGGCACCACACAGUACAUAGUAUUUAAUAAUGCUAUUCGUUUGGUAUGUGCACAAGGGCACGCAUGAAAUGUCUGGCCCACGGUAAACAAGUACGGACGCUGCAAAUAAUCUACUCUGCUCGUCCAGUCCCUAGCCUAUAAAUAGAUGCCAUGCUAGCUCUUGUUGUGCUCACAAUUAAUCCUGACUACACACGAGCUUCUCUCCCUGGCCAAGACACAAUCAUAGUAUGAUGAAGAACAUGGCACUAGCCGGCAAUGGUAUGAAGAACUUAAUCCUCGCUGUUCUCUUACUGUGUCUAGUUAUAGGGCAGAUACAAGUGGAAGCUAAGAGCUGCUGCCCAUCCAUUACUGCAAGAAAUAUCUACAAUGCCUGCCGUAUCACGGGUACAUCCCGUCCAACGUGUGCAAAACUGUCAGGCUGCAAAAUUAUCAGCGGGGACAAAUGCAAGCCCCCUAACGACCACCUCACCCUUGACCCGGACACUGGUAAAUAAUAAAUUUAUCUCACUUGAUUUCUUCGUGUUUUGAGUCGUUAAUGUAUUUUCCAUCUGAUGAAACGUAUUGGUUUUGCAUUGAAGAGGAAGUUAAUGUGCUUAACUUCUGCAAGUUGGGGUGUGCGUCGUCUGUGUGCAACAACAUCAACGCUGGUAAGCACCUUUUGCUCAGACGGAGAAAACAAUAAUCAUUAAUUAGCGGCAGCUAGAAUCCUAUAAUCUAAUAUAUUUAUAUAUAUAUAUAAUUUUAUCAGCUCUGGGAAAUGAAGAGGCGAACGAUGCCGUUGAGAGUUGCGACCAAGCCUGCUCUAGCUUCUGCAACGUGCACGUUGGCGCUGCCACCGUGGUUGCUUAAGCAAAUGCAUCCAACUGGAUCGUCCUUGUGCUAAAUAAUUGGAUAUCGUAUCCACUUAAAGCUGCCUUGUGUAGUACGUUUUUGUUUGUGUCUCUCUUUAUAUUCCAAUAAGGUCGGUGAUCUUGAUGCCACACACUCAGACGUGUGUUCAUCUCCAGAUACUACUCCAUGCUACCUGCCCUUUGUGUUUUGUUCAAUAACUGGGUAUCAUAUCCCAGCCAGUGUGCCAUCUGUUUUGUGUUUAUUUCCUUCUAGUUUCAAAGGGGUUAUCAUGAUGUUACCUUCUUUCGAUAUGGUGCUUUGCAUGACUACUGUUGUAUGGUACCAUCUUGUUGGCCAAUAAAUACAUCUUAUCCUAUGACCCUUUGCUAUGACCCUUUGCAAAUAAGUACAAGAUUGUUAAAUACUCGGUAUAAAUUGACUACUGCUGUGAGUUCCCUUUCAGCUUAUCGUAGGCAUACAUUAUUGCUAGCACGGUGAAGACAACCAACACGAAUGGUCAAGUAAACGUACCGGUACUUUUGUAUACCAACACCCUUGCUUAAAUGUACCGGUGUUACUCCCCACUAGCACAUAUAUUCUUAUAUGCUAGCCGGCUUGAAAAUUAACCGAUUAAAAUAAUUAUUUCAAGACAGAAAUAACUUAUCGGCUUCUCGAAGCAUGUGUAAUGUGAAUUCAAGGACUUGAUGGAAGUUGAAUCGCUUAAUCUAGAUUGCUUUCAGGAUUUUGGGUAACUAAAUUUAACAUUUGCACAUACAAAUGUUAAUGUACAAAUAUUAAAUAUAGUUACCCAAGCAGAAUAUGAAGAUACUCUAUAGUAUAUAUAUACUAUAUAAAUCUAGUUAACAUUUAGUCUAAAUGUUAAAUCUAGUUACCUAAAAUCCUGAAAGCAAAAUGUAUAAAUAUAUAUCUUUUAAGGAAUCCCAAAGCAAGAGUUCAGUGGCAUUCUAUAGUCCCAUGCUGCUAGUUUGAGUUGGUCGAAGCCAACUUAAAUAGGAGAGCUCUCUCACUUCUCUAAAUACGUAACUGAAGGAGAGAAGGGGGCUUGGUUACACAACGCACGCACGCACGCAUAUUUGCGUUCUUUUCGCGUAACCAACCGCGUGACUUGAAACUUGCGACGUAGCGUGCUGCCAAGUCAAGUUGAUAUAACCUUUUUGCCGUAGGCGUGUAAUCUUUUGACAACGGUCAUUGGAGGUGAUAAGCACGCAGUCAAUACCUUAAUCCUGAGUUAAUAGGGCGGUUACUACUGCCAAUUAGUGGGGCAAUUUUGUAGGGGAAACGGUUAGCAGAGGGCUACCAUCUUCUCUAUAAGAAGUUCUGGAGACGUCCAGGAACACACAUGUACAUGUGAGAGACCCACGAAUUCCUUCCCAUCUCCCUUUUCCAUCUGGUGAAGUGUGCUAUGGUACUGAGCUGCUGGAUCUCGCCGGCUCUUCUCCUUGGCGUGCACCGAGGAGGAGGGUGAGCGGUAUCUCCGAGCUAUUGCCGUCAGGAAGCCUGCACGAGGGACAACAAUAAAGUUUUUGGGUAGCGCAACUACGCAACCGCUCGAUUCGAUCGACUAUGUUCUGCGCUGCCUCAUCUUCGAUCUGCACUGCAACACGUAACCCUGCAGCAAGUCUACACAAGGACGGAGCACUAAUCUGUAAGUCCUAGAUUGGUUUCUUACAGAGUUGUAGGUUACACAAGAUCUAGAAUUGUUACAUACUUAUUAUUAUGGGUUACAUGAUGUUUUGUACGGUUACGUCUAUUUUGCAUAUGCUAUUUUUACAUACCGUUUACAUGCAUAUGUAAUGGUUACGCCUAGCUAUUUGAAUCUAGAAUUGGGUUACAUAGCAGUAGCAAUGACUUACGUAAUAUGCCUCAUGUUUAUAUCUGGUAGAAUUUAACACGUAUCUCCAACAUAUUUUGAGGCAGUAUAAAUUUCAAUUCCUUUUGCUGCUCUGUUAAAUCCCGUCUUUCGUGUGGCCCAACACUCUAGUAUGCAUGUAGCACCAAGCUUGUUUGAGCCGCUUUGUGCUCUGAUUUUGCUGUCUGUAUCAGGUUGGACUGUUUCUUUGUCUUGCGAUGUAUAGCUUCAUAUCUUCUAGAGGUUAGACAGCAAAACCCGCGUUCUCUUAAGGCAACAACUCGAAGAAUCUGCAGCGCUCCUGAUAUAUCACUGCUGCAGAAACAAUCUUUAGUACUGAUUUCCAACCCCCUUUAGUAUCGGUUUGGCAAUCAGUACCACUACGUCGGUACUAAAGGGAGUUCUCUAGAAUCGGGUCAAAUAACUGGUACUAAAAGUGCUCCUCUACUACCAGUUGGUAACACCAAUAGGUAGUAACUUUUUUUGCACCCAAAAAAUUAAAGAAAAACAGCCGGGAGGCUCGCGCACACACGCAUCAUGAGUAAUAUGCGCGUGCAUGGUUUGUGGGAUUCCAACCCACGACCAAGCUAUAAGCACGUAGUUACAAAAAAAUUAAACACUUAGACAUUUUAGAGCAUCCCAAAUAACUACAAAUUCUUUAGUUUACCAUAUACCAUAAAAUAUUAGUUAAAAUAAGAGCAUACGCACGUCGGAAGAGUCCCAAUGCACCGGUUGAGGAUCAGACCAGGCACUUUGAAUGCACAUGCCAUAAGAUAAUUCUGCAGGACGAUGAUUGCAAUAAUGGACCAUCGAGAAGAUAGGGGCGAUGGGGUUGCCUCAUCAAUUAUGACUUGGCGCAACAAGACCAGCAAAGUCUUUAUCGACAGGGGUGGAUCAAGGGGUGGGGCGGGUAGAGCUCCAAUCUUCCUACCGCCGCUCGAACAAUGGAGCCCCCCUUAGCCCCUCCAUAAAUUUUUAGGUAGAAGAAAAAAGAAGAGAAGGGAAGGAAGGGGAAGAAUAGGGAGCCCCUCCUAAGUAGGUCGCCAUCGUGCUUCCCAACGCAUGAUCGCCGCACCGCAUCCAUUCCUCUACAAGCCUCCAGCGUCUCUCCUGCCGCUACCUCUGAACCAUGUGCAGCUGCAGACCCAACUAGUGUCUUGUCACCCAUCUCAAUCCCAACAGAGCGGCGGCUCCUGCCAGCACAAAUCUCCCUCCGCCUGUUCUUCACGAUCGAUGGCCACCACAAGCAUAAACCUCGCCUUCGCAUCCACGCAAAAGGGUCGCCGGUGUGCCUUCUCGCAUCGCUUCUCAGCCUCCUUCACUUGCGGCUGGCCAAGAACCGUGCCACCACCUCGGGUGCGCGCCACCGCUCCAGGGCCGCUACCCCAUGCGUGCGGCCGCCGCCGGCCACCACGCGUGUGCAACCGUGUCGCACCGCUUCCCUGCUCUGUGCCACCACUGCUACUGCACCACCAGCUCCACCACCUUGGGCUGGUCGCCAGGGUGACUGAUUGGUGGAUUAUUACUACAAAUAAGUUCCUUAUUAUCUGCAACUACUAUUAACUCAGGGAUACAUGCGUCUUUUGCUUCUCCUGUUAAUAUGUCCUAAAAUAUCUAGAAUGCCUUAUAUUUCUGGACGGAGGAAGUAUUUGAAUAAAAUGAACCAAUUUUAAAAAAUGUGUUGUACACUACUACAGAAAGAACUAUCAGUGUCAAACCCAAAAAUGUCGUCACUGCCAGUUUUGGGCAUCGUUGGUGAAAGGUUGGCGGUGAUGGGUAUCCCCUUCAACAACGGCACUAGAGCUAACAGUGAUUGACAUUAGAAAACGAAAAAGGGGACCCACCUAGCCACCCCUGCAACCCGGCUGGCCGUGCCUCCCGUCAUCCCCACCACCUCGCCUCCCCCGUGACCCCCCGCCGGCGCCCUUGCGCCUAGCCCCCUCGCCUGCCUGGCCGGCCACCCUCGUCACGAGAGAGAGGGGUGCAUGUUGUAUAAUUGCGUGAAUUUUUAAUGUUUAAUUUCAUGUAAGUUUCAUAUAAUAAAUUGUACAAGUUUUAUUGUAUAUAUGAAUUCCAUAUAUAUAUAUUUAUAAUUUAAUGUAUGGUUUCAUGUGUAUAUUUCAAUAAUGUGUAUAUUUAGUAGAUAGCCGAUUUUCUUUUUCUACAAGACAAGGGUUGAUGUAUAAUUACGUGUAUAUGUUUAUUGUACGGGCAAUUAGGACAAGUUUUGUAUAAAUUUCUUUUAUUUCAUGGUUGUUGUAUGGUUUCAUGUAUAUACAUUUAUUGUACUACUUGAGACAAUUUUUAAUUUAAUGUUUCUAUGGUUACAUGUGUGUAUAACUAAUUGUAUUAUUAGUUAAGAUGGGAGCCAAAGAGGAUGAAAGGUAUAUAAUGGAGCAGAUUAUUGCUGGCGGUAGUGGCUCAAACGUUGCAAGAACCUACAUCAAGGGUGAGGGUAGCUAGGUGGACAUGUACCUCAACAUGUCCAGUGAUGGCAAUGACGAUGAGGAGCACGAGCAUGACGUUUAUGAUAGUGCGGAACAAGACAUUGCAGAAUUGGAAGGUUCUAAUGAGGUGUGCUUCAUGUUGAUGAUCUGGUUGGCUUUUUUUCUUUGGUCACACCUUAGUUACCAUAGAACUUCGUCUCGGGAGAAGAUUGGAGGUGCUAUGGUGAUUGGAAUUUUAUUGCCUCCAAAUAUGAUUUCCAUCGAAUCAUAUCCCUUGUAUUUAUCUUCUUUUUAUUUGUGAGAGCAUCUUCUUUAUGCUUGCAAAACAAUUCAAGUGCACAUACUACACCUAGGGUGAUGAUUAGGAGUAGAAACAAUUGCCAACAAACGAACACCACAUCCUAAGAUUCUUAACUUGUGGUAUAAUUAGUCUAGUAAAAAGAAAGAUAAAAACCUAAUGGGUGUACGUGAGUGCAAUGCGUAUAUGCAUAUGAGUGGAAGGCAUAUAAGCAAAGAUAAUAUUUACACAUAGAUCUAAGCACCAUGUUUACAACUAAGUUGCUGAAUUUCUCCAUAGCUAUAGAGAUUAAUGAACCAAGGUCAAAACACCAUGUCUAUCCCAAGAUCAGUAAUUCUUUAUAGCACAAGAAAAAGAAAGCGCAUUGCAAAGUUUAUAAACCAACCAAUGCAGCAUGAAAACAAGAUGAAUAGCUAGCAAGGUUUAUUAAACUGAAUGAUGACGGUCUGCAAGCAAGUUUGAACACCAUCUUUACACAAGAUUGCAAAUGGAAAAUUCCCAUAUGAAGAACUAACAUGGAUAUGAAAUCAUUCAUCAUAAAGCGUAAAGAACAACCAAGCCAACCAUAUGCAAAGCAUGAAUGGAAUGCAAUGAAGGUGCAAGAGAACAUUUUUGGAUGAACCCAUUAUGAUGAUGGCAAAAUGCGCCGUGCCCCCCAGCCCCCGCGGUGAGAUCCCGCCGCUCGCUGCCGCCAGACCCUAUUAGGCCUCCACCGGCAGGUCCACCCACGGUCCCGCGCGACGUGGCAGCCUCUUGGCUCUCGGCGCUCGCGGCACGCCAGUGCUGGCGCAGCCCCACCAGGCGACUACCCUCCCCCCAUAAGGCCUCGGCCCCUCCCCAGCGCCGCCCCCCAACACCAGGACUGCCUGCUGCCCCCCACCGUGAGGUAAUCGAAAUCGACUGCUCAAUCUCUCAAUCUGUUGAUAUGAUGCACACGGUUGCAAAAAUAGAUGUGUCAAAAUAGAUGUUUUGCCAAUUGCUAUAGAUGCAUACGGUUGACAUGAAGUCAAAAAUGACAUUUGGUUCCUUGUAGGCAGUCAAAAAUGAAGAAGUCAAAAAAUAUUGAUCUGAAAUCAAUGUGGGAAAGGGCUAUGAAGACACGCAGGUAGAUUCCCUUGUGAACUUUUUAUGUCGUUCGUCUAAAUAAUUUUUUGCAAUGGGCAUACCCUACUCUGAAAUCCUGGGUCCGCCACUGAUGAUGAUGGUCUAAAAAUAAACCAAGCCUAGAUUAAUUAGCCACAACUGAAAUUAAGCAAAGGUUAAUGUCAUUGACCCUAGCUCUAUCCUAGCUUUUACCAAAGUUCCGGCACAUAUAGUGGUUGGGCCCACUCUCUCUGCUUCCCUCUCUGCUGCAUGCACGCACACGAGCAACGGGAGGCCCGACGAAGCCCAGAAGGGUUCGGCCGAACCAGUAUGAGCGCCGCUCCCUCCCAGCCUUCGCGCAGAUGCUCCUCCAACGUUCCUUGACCCCUCCCUCAGCGUCCCGUUGGGUUUAACAUUGCAGGAGAGGAGUCCCUUUUUUAAAAUCUCAACCACCUCCUCUCCCCAUUCACUCCACUCUCAUCUCCAUCAAACUCACCAAGAUCCGCACCGGAAAUCCCUGCUUACCACCAUGGCUGGCAAAGCCCUCAUCCCUUUCACCAACUUGGGCUUGACCACUGAUCUCGAUGGGGAAAUCACUCUGGCAAAUAUGCGUGUAACACUGCCCCCUUUGCCGAGGGUUAAAGCCAAAACACUCAGCAAAGUGGAUAGUACCCCCCUUUUUACCCGUUUUGUCAUGUAUAACGGACCCCUCUCAAUUCACAAUAGACAUCAUCAUAGGCAUUUAUAAUAAACAAUCACAGGCAUAAUUCACAAUCACCAUUACAAGCAUUAUUCAUAAAUAUCACAGACAUAAUCCAAAGUAAGCAUGAAACAAGCCAUAAAUCCAAGUUCAAGUCACAACUAAGUUUCAUCCAAGUUCAAGUCACAAAUGCAAUGUCUAAAUCCAUGGAGGCCAAGGAGACCACUGCGACAAAUCUUGGUCUUCAUUAUUCGAAGCCGCCGAUUGAUUCUGCACAUAGGAUAGGACAUUCUGAGCUAACAUCUAAAGUUGUCAAAAUUAAAGUAUUCAAUCUUAAGCACAAUGUGUCAAAUGACUCACAGGAGUAGUUGUGGGUGGCUGAGGCGGAGGGAACAGCAUCGAUGGCGGUGGCAAAGAUUGACCCAUGCUCGAAGCAAAAUUCUGCAUGUACUGGAACAUCUGGUCCAUCCUCAUCCGAUUUUCUUCCUCCAUCCUCUGCCGCUCGGCCUCUAACCUCCGCUGAACCAUCUGCUCCAUCCUCGCCGCCAUCUCCUCUUGUUGCUUCCUUGCUGCUUCCACCUGGGCCUACAAUAUUUCAUUGCAAUGUUACAAUGCAAAGCUAAAGUAUAGCAACCAACGAACAAUGAAUGGAAGAGAAAGAACCUGGAGAGCCUCCAUCUGGAACUGUCCAAUGGUUGGUCGUAGCCGUAUCGCCGGGCUCGAGUCCGUGCUCCUUGCUUGGAUCUGGGAGAGAGUGGCAGUAGAGGCCGUGUUGAUUACGCCGUCGCCAAUCCAAUAUCGGCCAUGCUUCUUGCCUCCUCCCACCCUCAUCACGAUUUCUCCAUCAAUAUCCUCAGAGCUUGAAUCGAAGUCUGGCCCGUGAACCUCCCUUGCCAUCACUGUAUAUUCCUUUGCCGAGUGCCCGAGAUAAAGCACUCGGCAAAUAGAAAACACUCGGCAACUUUACUGUUUCCCGUAGUGUCGCUAUUUUUGCAGGUUCUCGACCAGGCCAGUUCUUUGGGCCAACCUAUCAUUCACGACUUAAACAUACGGUGGCUGUAGAAAUGUUCUAUUCUUUUCAACAAUACCAGCUGGUUCCUCCGUUUUUAUUCCACCAAUACAAGCACCACCUUGUAACAUUUCCUAUGUUUUUUUUUCCUUUCGUCUGUUUUCUACAUGCGUUGCUCUUUCAUGCAUUUUUUUCCAUUCCUGUAUUCCAAAUAGGUCUACAUGAACACAAAAUGAACUAGGGGACAGAAAAAGCCAGUGAAGCCAAUUUUGAGCUUCACCAGCUACUUGCUACAUAAAGUGUGCUAUAGUGACGUGUUUUAGCAAAACAUGUUAUCAAUGACUUGACAUUGGUGACGUGUUAAAACGCGUUAUCUCAAUGGCAAAUCAUUGGUGACGUGUUUUAAAAAAACAUGUCACCGUGAGAGUCAUUGGUGAAGGGUAAUUAUAAUGCGUCACUAAUGUUGUAGCAUUAGUUAUGAUAAUUUAGUAACGCAAAAAUCUACCAUCAGUAUUGAGCUUUAGAGCCAUCGCUAAUGUGGGUUUCUUACAUAGUGAUGCAAGCUCUACAAGGUGCUGUUGCUGCCAUUUUAAAGCAUCCCAUGACUACAUGUUAAUAACAUAGUUUACCAUAUAUCAUAAAAAUAUUAGUUACAAUAAGCACAUACGCAUGUGGAAGAGUCCGAAUGCACCGGUUGAGGACUAAACACAUUGAAUUACUAGAACCAAAUGUGUGUUUAGAACAAAGACAGGGGUCAAGGUUUGGGUAACCGCAUUAAAAACAUUGGAUUUUACUGUACAUGAACACUUAGUUACCAUUACCAUGCCUUGAGCACCUAGUUACAACAAACAUUAAUUUAGCCACUUUAGAGCUUCCAGAAUCGCUAUAAAUAAUAUACCUACGCCGUACCAUGAAAACAUCAAGAAGAGAGACGGAUACAUGGACCACCAUCAAGCGAGUAGUGACAGCACGCACAAGAAUACCCGGAACCUGUUAGCUUGUCUGUAGUGAUCUGUUUUCUUCCCCAUAAAAUCCAUGAGUAUUGCCACAAAUAAUGAAAGAGGCUGACCAAGCUAGCAAGGAGGUAGAGCAAACGUGAUACACGGCCUGCCAAGAUUGCCCUGGAUACGCCAAUAAGAGCGACAGAUACAUGGAUCACACCAAUAUGGUGAAACGUAUAUUCAUCACACAAGCAAAGCUGGUCAGUUUAUCCAUGGUCAAAUUGUGGUCUUUGUUUUCACUUGAGAGCUAAUUGAGGCACUAUAAUAUGGGCAGGCCUAUCUUCAACAGACAUGACAGCUACAGGGAACUUGACAUAAUUUGCUGGGCCGCCUGUGCACAAUUAUUUGUUUUAUUGUCCUUGCAUAGAAUGCUAAAAUACUCUUUACAAAAUGUUGGAUCUAAUAUUUGAAAUAUAGAGUAGUAAUCAUAUAUUGAUCAACAACUUGAAAUUAUCUGUACAUUCUCGGUGAAGCUGUUGAACUAAUUUUUGCAAAUUAUUAAUUCAUCUCAUUACGUAAAGAAAAAAGUAAGUGGAUAAGAUAUUUCGUGGACCACAUCACUGCAAACAUGUCAUGGAGAGACAGACCAAGGAGGCAGGACGUGAUACACGACUUACCCUAGGUUGCCGUGGAACCGCCAAGAAGAGAUACAGAUACAUGGACCACACCAUCUUGGGAGUAGUGACAGCAUAUAUGCAGAAGAAUACCCCGUGCCUAUUUGCAUGCAUGUCUCAAGUGAUCUGUUUUCUUCAGAAAAUACAUGAGCAUUGCCAGAAAGAAUGGCAAGAGACAAACAUGUCAUAGAGACUUGCAUGUCUUGCCUUGGAUACGCCAAGAAGAGGGACACAUACAUGGAUAACACAAAUCUAGUGACACGUAUAUUCAUCACAAAGGCAAAUCUGAUAAUUUUAUCCAUGGAGCAGACCAAGGAGAAAUUGAUGACGGACAUGUGAUCUCUGUAUUCAGUUGAAAGCUAAUUGAGCUACACUAAUAUGAGCAGGACUAUAUUCAAGAGACUUGUUGAGAGCUACAGGGAACUUGUAAUAAUUUGCUGGGCGGCCUGCGCACAAUGAUUUGUUAUACAUAGUUGAAAUAUUUCAAGAAUUUAUCAACCUCAUACUCUGAAACCCUUGGUGCAAUGUACUCUGCUUUCCGAGGUAGACUGUUCACGUAAAAUGAGGUCAUGCGUAAGACGGAAUCGGAUUGGAUUCACAGGGAAUCAGAUUUGGAUAGCACCUUUUAGCAGGUUUUUAGUCAAAUGCAAAUUCGGAUCCACAUGUGGUUGAAUGCGAGUUCAAAAUUCUACUUGGAUAUCCAUUUAAUUUAGGUGAUAGCAAUUAGCACAAAAUGUUGGAUGAACAAAAUCAUAGUUAGACAUACAAUUACAUGUAUGGUUAAAGUAUAAUACAAUACACCAAGAUUAUUCCUUGAAAAUAUUUCUUAAAAAUAUUAUAAUAAAUGAAUAAAUAUAAUUGUGGCCACCAACAAAUAGUCGGUGGUCGCUAAGUUGGAGCCAUUUCUGGUUACUAAUGCGGCCUUCUCCUCGACCAGCGACGACAGCUGAGCUUGUUCCUUCUGACACUAAAUCAUCAGAGUCUUCCCUCCACUACUAUAGAAUGCACCUUUAGCACCAAUUGGGAAAUCCCCUUCAGUAUUGGAUGCUGCAACCAGUGCUAUAUAUCAAAAUGGAGACUAAAAGCCUCGGUCUUGGGUACCGGUUGCAUAACGCAUUACUAAAGGAGGCAAAAGAGAAAUGUAACAAAAAAAAUAUUUUGAAUUCCAAGAAUGUUUCACUAUUCAAGAUGACUAGCUGAGAGUCAACAGACAAGAUACUAGGAAUGUGGGUGCUUGAAUGCAUUUGUACAGAGGUCAUACUAUUUACAAACUCUUCUAUGUUUCCAUAUGACUACCUACUUCAAUGUCACGCGAGCCAUUCAGCUGGACACAUGGCACACUAGCUUGCAUGUCGAAUCCAUGAUUAAUUAUUUCCACUUGUGAUCUCUUACCAGUAUUUGUCCAGACUAGAAACGUGCAACACAUUUUUAGGAUAUGGACACGCAUAUAUUUGGACUAGUAUACAGGUCACCUUUGGAUGCGUACAAGGAUGACCGGGAGGGACUAGAAAUGGUCUAGUUUUGAUUGGACUACAAAACUUUUUGUACAGUGAAUAGAGAAUAUAUAUUAUUGUUGGAAUACGAGGUAGGCUACACUAUCGCAAUUCUGAUAUUCUACCGCGUAUAACCAAGAAGAACUGUCGUAUAAGGAUCACGGGAUUACCACUCGACGCACUACUGGUGCGGAAGAUGUAGAUAUGCGUCGAUGCAGUGAAGACGAUCACGUAGUCGUAUGUAGUCGAUCAACGUAGUCGUACAUAGUCGAUCACGUCCAGCAGCUCCUCAGCAGCUCGUCCACGUGCAGCAAGAUCGCCUCCGGUACCGCGGCUCGUCGUUGGCUUGUCGUGGCUCGUCGACGGCUCGUCGGCGGCUCGUCCAAGUGCUGCAGGCGCAACACCUCCAAGGUAUCCACACGUGCAGGGAGGAAGCGUCGCAAGCCGGACUGCUAGAUCCACGAGUUGCAACAGGCGAGGGCGUGGGAGGCGCGGCAGGUGUGUUUCGCCAAAAAGGUGUAAACCCUAGGGCGCCCCCACCCCUCUAUUUAUAGAGGUUCCUGACGGGCCUCUGGAUCCGAGGCCCAUUAGUACUUCUAAACCUAAUCCAACUCGGAUCAGAUCCGAAUUGGGCUUCCAGCCCCUUAAGUGUGUGACCCUAUAAGUUCGGAUACGUAUAGACAUGGCCCGAGUACUCCUACUCGGCCCAAUAGUCGGUAGCGGCCUCUAGCAAGACGUGCCAACUCCUAUACGCACACGAAGAUCAUAUCAGACGAACCAUCACAACAUAAUAUACAUGCUAUUCCCUUUGCCUCACGAUAUUUGGUCUAGCUUCAAGCCGACCGCUCUUUCUCAGUCCUGUGAUUCGGAAUCCCUUUGUAGGUUAACUCUUAACCGUACGUAGCAUGGCCAUGCAUUUUCGGAUCUGAUCACUCGAGGGGCCCAGAGAUAUCACUCUCAAUCAGAGAGGGGCAAAUCCCAUCUUGAUUGACCAUGUCUCAUAGCAUGCUUCUUGACAAACCUAAAAACUACCUUUAUAACUUCCCUGUUACGGCGUAGUGUUUGAUAGCUCCUAAGUAGGUCGAUCCACAUCUAGAAUACAUGCGACAAUUUCAGGUCUAAGGACAAAGCGUAUAUGUUGUUUAAAGAGAGAACUACUUCUCGUGUUGGGUCAGUCCCAGCACAUGUCUCCACAUGUGUCCACAUUAUUAGUUCAACAUCUCCAUGUCCAUGACUUGUGAAACAUAGUCAUCAACUAAUACAUGUGCUAGUCUAAUAUUCAUGUGUGUCCUCACAUGAACUCCGACUAGGGACAACUUUAGAAUAACCAUACAAGUAAAGAGUUUCACAUACAAUUCACAUAAUUGCAAAUCAAUUCAAGUAGCCUUCAAUGGAUAUUCAAUGAACACAACAUACAAAUCAUGGAUACAAAUGGAAUAUCAUCAUCUCUAUGAUUGCCUCUAGGGCAUACCUCCAACAGUCUCCCACUUGCACUAGAGUCAAUCUAGAAGGUACCUAAUACCCAUAGCUCUUACAUGCGCAUCAUGCUUAGCCUGCGGGAGUGGUUUUGUCAACGGAUCAGAAAUGUUCAGAUCCGUGUGUAUUUUGCAUAUCUUGAUCUCACCCCGGUUAACGAAGUCUCGAAUGAGAUGAAAUCGCCGCAUUACAUGUUUGUUCUUCUGGUGGUUCCUUGGCUCCUUUGCUUGCGCAAUUGCCCCAUUGUUAUCACAGUAGAGAUUCAAUGGGCUGGACCCAUUCGGGAACACACCAAGCUCAAUGAGGAAAUUCCUUAUCCAAACACCUUCCUUCGCGGCUUCCGAAGCCGCGAUGUACUCGGCUUCUGUCGUAGAAUCGGCCACCGUCUCCUGCUUGGAACUCUUCCAACUAACAGCACCACCAUUUAGCGUGAACACAAAUCCUGUUUGUGACUUUGAAUCAUCUCUGUCGGUUUGGAAACUAGCAUCGGUGUAACCUGUUACAACGAGCUCCUCCUCACCUCCAUAGACGAGGAAUAUAUCUUUAGUCCUUCUCAAGUACUUAAGAAUGUUUUUCACCGCUGUUCAGUGACUCUCACCUGGAUCAGAUUGGUGUCUGCUUGUCAUACUUAGCACAUAUGAAACAUCUGGGCGAGUACUUAUCAUUGCAUACAUGAUAGAUCCAAUAGCCGAGGCAUAUGACACUCUACUCAUGUGAUCCCGCUCAUCAGCAGUCGAAGGACACUGAGUCUUGCUGAGAUGUAUGCCAUGUGACAUAGGCAAGAACCCUUCCAUGCUGAACCGCUUCAACACUUUGUCAAUGUAAGUAUCUUGGCUUAAACCUAUAAGCCUUCUCGAUCUAUCUCUAUAGAUCUUAAUGCCCAGAAUAUAUGCCGCUUCCCCUAAGUCCUUCAUCGAAAAACUAUUUUUCAGUGAAGUCUUUAUGGACUCAAGCAUAGGAAUGUUAUUUCCAAUCAGUAAUAUGUCAUCCACAUAUAAGAUUAGAAAUACUACAGAGCUCCCACUAACCUUCUUGUAAACACAAGACUCUUCUUCGUUCUUGGUGAAGUCAAACCCUUUGACCACUUCAUCAAAACGAAUGUUCCAACUCCUAGAUGCUUGCUUCAAUCAAUAAAUGGAUCUCUGAAGCUUGCAUACCUUUCCAGCAUUUUUCGGAUCGACAAAACCCUUGGACUGUAUCAUAUACACGUCCUCAGUUAGGUUUCCAUUCAGGAAAGCUGUCUUGACAUCCAUCUGCCAUAUCUCAUAAUCGAAAUAUGCAGCCAAACUUGAUUGUCUCCCAUGGACUCUAUUUCGGAUUGCAUGGCAUUCUGCCAUUUUUCGGAGUCUGGGUCCAUCAUUGCUUCUGCAUAUGUCACAGGCUCAUCAUUGUCCAACAAUAAUAUUUCCUGCAUUUCGCGGAGCCUUGCCGACCUUCGUGGUUGUGGCGGUGCUUCUCUUGCCAUGGGUAUCUCAACUUGUUCUGCUACGUUAGCAUCACUCAUUGAUUCUUGCCCGAUCGGCUCAUCUUGAACUUCUUCAAGAUGCACUGUCUUUCCACUCUUUUCUCCUUUGAGAAACUCUUUCUCUAGGAAAACCCCGUUCCGAGCGACAAACACUUUGCCUUCUGAUCAGUUGUAAAAAUAAUAUCCCAAAGUUUCCUUUGGAUAUCCCACGAAAAUGCACUUAUCCGACUUGGGUGCGAUCUUGUCCGACUGAAGUCGCUUGACAAACACAUCACAUCCCCAAAUCUUUAGAAAAGACAAACUAGGAACCUUUCCAGUCCAUAUCUCAUAUGGUGUCUUAACUACGGAUUUAGAUGGUACCCUAUUAAGUGUGAAAGCUGCUGUUUCUAGAGCGUAUCCCCAAAAUGACAACGGUAGGUCCGACUGGCUCAUCAUUGAUCGAACCAUGUCUAACAAAGAUCGAUUACGUCGCUCGGACACACCGUUUCUCUGAGGUGAUCCAGGCGGCGUAAGUUGUGGAACAAUUCCGCAACUCUUUAGAUGAUUGCUAAACUUGUGGCUCAAAUACUCGCCUCCACGAUCAGAUUGUAAGGCCUUAAUUUUCUUGACACGCUAAUUUUCAACUUCAUUCUGAAAAUCCUUGAACUUUUCAAAGGUUUCAGACUUGUGCCUCAUCAAGUAGACAUAGCCAUAUCUACUAAAAUCAUCAGUGAAAGAUAUGAAGUAUUGGAAUCCUCCUCUAGCCGUCGUGCUCAUUGGUCCGCAUACAUCACUAUGUACGAGUUCCAACAAGUCUACUGCUCUCUCAGGAAAUCCUGUGAAAGACGUCUUGGUCAUCUUGCCUAGCAAGCAAGCCUCACAUGUCUCGUAUGAUUCAAAAUCAAACGAAGUUAGAAGUCCAUCAGAAUGGAGCUUCUUCAUGCGUUUUUCACUUAUAUGACCCAAACGACAAUGCCACAAGUAGGUAGGACUCAAAUCAUUAGGCCGAGGCCUUUUAGCACUUACAUUACAGACAGGUGAACCAUCAAGAUUUAAAACAAAUAAUCCAUUCACAAUGGGUGCAAAAGCCAUAAACAUAUUAUUCUUAGAGAUCACACAACCAUUGUUUUCACUCGCAAAUGAAUAACCAUCCUUCAUCAAGCAUGAAGGAGACAAAAUGUUUCGACUUAAACUAGGAACAAAAUAACAAUUAUUCAACUCCAUAAUAAAUGCUGACGGGAGGUGGAGUUGCAUCGUCCCGACGGUCAACGCAGCAACUCUUGCAUUAUUGCCCACGCGGAAAUCAACUUCUCCUCUUUCCACGCUUCUACUUCUUAUCAUUCCCUGCAUCGAAUUGCAAAUAUGAGCAACCGAUCCGGUAUCAAAUACCCAAGAAUUAAUAAUUGUAUCAGCGAGAAAUAUGUUGUCUAUGACAUUAACAACAAGCGUACCUGAGGUAGAAGUACUCUUACUUCCUCCAUUCUUCAACGAAGCUAGGUACUGCUUGCAGUUUCUCUUCCAGUGACCAAGUUCAUGACAGUAAAAGCACUCUUUGUCUGGAGCAGGUCCAGGUCCAGCUUUAACCUUGGGCGCUCGCUGGGUUUGGCUUGGAAAUUCCAGCCUUGCCCUUCUUCUUCCAAGAAUUGCCCUUCUUCUUAAAGCUAGGCUUGUUCUGUAUAGCCAUCACAUGGCUAGUACAAGCGCUUUUCUUGAUGUCUACCUCUGCUGUCUUGAGCAUACCACACAGUUCAUUCAAACCCUUCUCCGUCCCAUGCAUAUGGUAGUUCGAGAUGAAGUUCCCAUAGCUAGGCGGAAGAGAUGAAAGAAUGAAGUCAGUGGCCAACUCUUUGCCCAUUGGGAAGCCCAGCUUCUCCAAUCGCUGAGUGUAACCAACCAUGUUGAUUACAUGUGGUCCUACUGCUGCGUCUUCUGCUAGCUUGCACUCCAGAAAAGCUUUGGACACAUUGAACCUUUCAGUCCUAGCCUGUGUCUGGAACAUGUCCUUGAGCGCCACGAUCAUAUCGUGUGCCUCAUGAUUUGUUUCGAACUGCAUCUGCAGCUCGGGUUCCAUGCAAGCAAGCAUAAGGCAGCUUACCUCAAGAUUAGCAUCAAAUGCCUUCUUGUAAGCAGCCUUAACGGCAGCAGAUGCAUCAUCAGCAGGUACUGGUGGUAGUGGGGUAUCUAGAACAUCUUCCUUUUUAUCGGCCCUGAGAACAAUUCUCAGGUUACGGAUCCAAUCCGAGUAGUUUGUUCCAUUCAACUUGUCCUUCUCAAGGACCGAGCGCAAAGCAAACGAUGUGGUGGUGUUGCUAGGUGCCAUUUAAUCUACAACAAAAGUAAUGCAAAAUACACUAAGACAAACGUAUCCAUGAUAGAGCAAAUUACAUUAAACUAUUUUAACAGAAUCUACUCCCACUAAAAUCAAUAUCCCUCUAUUGAAACUUAGUGAUUCAGGAUCCACAACUAACAAGUCUACUAGUGAGCUUUAGCAUCACCGCUAGCAAACGAGGUAGAUCGGUAAGCAACUUUUGCUAAUCAUAUCACAUAUGACUCCUGUUGUUGGGUGACAUCUCCAUGUCUCGGCGCCCAACCAUUAUGCCCCAAGGUCCUUAACCGUUAAGAUGACCUCGUUAAGCAAACCAACCCUUAUGCGUGUAAGUGUCCGACACAAACCCGUCUAGUCAAGGAAAACUAGUGGCACCCUAAUUUCAUAGACCCACCACUAAUUGUACAAGACAUGGGACGGUGCAAGUUUUAGUUGGGAGGGCAUACUAACUUAAAUUUUUUGUGAGGGAUCGUUCUACUUCUAACAUCACAGCAUGCAGAAAGUAAAACAUAAACAGAAUAGCAUUCACACAGCUGUGACACAGUAUGGCCCGUUUUUAUAUGGUGAUCUCCAUCUCCAUAGAACCUGUUCACCAUGGUGAUCUCCAUCUCCAUGUUCCAUGUGCGCCAUCCUCCUGGUGAGGAGUCCUCCAAGAACUAGAACAUGCUAUUACACCUAAUAGCUAGUAAAGAAUCUAGUAAUGAAGAUUACAUAGUUGCUUGGAUCAUCACAGAUUGGUACGCAGACCAUUAAAUACAAUAAAGUGACAACACAUAUGGCUCCUGCCGUGUUGCCGUACGCGCGACACGCAGGUCACGAAUGAGUUACACACAUGCAUCACAUACACAAGGGGGCCAUACUGAUCACAAGAUACAUACAUACAUCCUGCAAAACAGAGUUAGGCGUCCUAACGUUCCAAACUUCGAAGGCCCGAAACUCCAUCUUCCAAGCCGAAUUUGGGAAAUCUAAUUUUGCCGAAAACGGCAAAGCGGUUGAAUUUCAUGUGUAACUUUUUCUGUAGAUCAAUUUUCAUAUAAAAUUCGCCCCGAUCCGAGAUCGUACCGAAAAGUUACGGCUGAUUUACCGAAGCAUACGCAUACGGCAAAAAUUCCGACCCCGGCAGUAGAUCCCAUCUACUAUUGCACAUCUAAUGCGCCUGGCGUAUGAUCCUGGAUUUCGAUUCGACCAAUCAUAUUGAUCUUCGCUCACUGCAACUGGAAUUACGUGUAUCACUUAACUCGUCGGCGGCUCGUCGGCGGCUCAUCCAAGUGCUGCAGGCCCAACACCUCCAAGGUAUCCACACGUGCAGGGAGGAAGCGUCGCAAACCGGACUGCUAGAUCCGCGAGUUGCAAUAGGCGAGGGCGUGGGAGGCGCCGCAGGUGUGUUUCGCCAAAAAGAUGUAAACCCUAGGGCGCCCCCACCCCUCUAUUUAUAGAGGUUCCUGACGGGCCUCUGGAUCCGAGGCCCAUUAGUACUUCUAAACCUAAUCCAACUCGGAUCAGAUCCGAAUUGGGCUUCCAGCCCCUUAAGUGUGUGACCCUAUGGGUUCGGAUACGUAUAGACAUGGCCCGAGUACUCCUACUCGGCCCAAUAGUCGGUAGCGGCCUCUAGCAAGACGUGCCAACUCCUAUACACACACGAAGAUCAUAUCAGAUGAACCAUCACAACAUAAUAUACAUGCUAUUCCCUUUGCCUCACGAUAUUUGGUCUAGCUUCAAGCCGACCGCUCUUUCUCAAUCCUGUGAUUCGGAAUCCCUUUGUAGGUUAACUCUUAACCGUACGUAGCAUGGCCAUGCAUUUUCGGAUCCGAUCACUCGAGGGGCCCAGAGAUAUCACUCUCAAUCAGAGAGGGGCAAAUCCCAUCUUGAUUGACCAUGUCUCAUAGCAUGCUUCUUGACAAACCCGAAAACUACCUUUAUAACUACCCUGUUACGGCGUAGCAUUUGAUAGCCCCUAAGUAGGUCGAUCCACAUCUAGAAUACAUGCGACAAUCUCAGGUCUAAGGACAAAGCGUAUAUGUUGUUUAAAGAGAGAACUACUUCUCGUGUUGGGUCAGUCCCAGCACAUGUCUCCACAUGUGUCCACAUUAUUAGUUCAACAUCUCCAUGUCCAUGACUUGUGAAACAUAGUCAUCAACUAAUACAUGUGCUAGUCUAAUAUUCAUGUGUGUCCUCACAUGAACUCCGACUAGGGACAACUUUAGAAUAACCAUACAAGUAAAGAGUUUCACAUACAAUUCACAUAAUUGCAAAUCAAUUCAAGUAGCCUUCAAUGGAUAUUCAAUGAACACAACAUACAAAUCAUGGAUACAAAUGGAAUAUCAUCAUCUCUAUGAUUGCCUCUAGGGCAUACCUCCAACAAUUAUUUCAUGUAAAUUUUUGACAAUUUUUUAAAAUUGUUUGAUAUUUUUUAAAUUUUUUUUAAAAUAACUUUGCCGAGUGUCCUAUUGUAGACACUCGGCAAAGCAGCCUUCACCGAGUGUUACCCCUGGGACACUCGGCGAAUUAAUGCCCGGCCGCUCAAGAAUAUGUGCCCGGCCCCCUCACUCUCCCGGCCCCCCUCACUCUCACUCCCCUCACUCCCUCCUCUCUCCCUCCUCUCUCCCUCUCGCCGCCGCCCGAAACCCCCGCCGCCGCCCGCCGCCCGGCAUGCCGCCCAGCGCCCCCCGCCGCCGCCCGGCGCUCCCGAAUCCGCCGCCGCCCGCCCGGCGCCCGGCCCCCGGAUCCGCCGCCGCCGGCCGCCCGGCGCCCCCGGAUUCGCCGCCGCCCGCCCGGCCCCCGGCCCCCGGAUCAGCCGCCGCCCGCCGCCCGGCGCACGGCGCCCCCGGAUCCGCCGCCGCCUGCCCGGCGCCCGGCCCCUGGCCCCCUGAUCCGCCGCCGCCCGCCCGGAUCCGCCGCCGCCCGCCCGGCGCCCGGCCCCCGGCCCCCGGAUCCACCGCCGCCCCCCCGGCCCCCGGAUCCGCCGCCCGCCCGUCCCCUCCACCGGAUCCGCCGGCGCCGGGGCCUGAAGAGAAGAGAAGAGGAGAGGAUGGUGGCGGCGGCGGCCGCGGCGGCGGAGCAGGUGGCAGAGCAUGCAUGAUUUUUUUUUAUUUUUUCAAUAAUUGUUCGCCAAGUGUUUUCUGGGCACUCGGCAAAGUCUUUGCCGAGUGCCCGACACAAAACACUCGGCGAACCAGUGUUUGCCGUCAAGAUUUUUGCCGUGUGUCGUUUGCCGAGUGUUACACUCGGCAAACGCUUUGUCGAGUGUUUUUGGGGUUUCGCGGAGUGACCCUGGCACUCGGCAUCACGCAUGUUUCCCUUAGUGAACUUGAAAUUAUCUGUACAUUCUCGGUGAAGCUGUUGAACUAAUUUUUGCAAAUUAUUAAUUCAUCUCAUUACGCAAAGAAAAAAGUAAGUGGAUAAGAUAUUUCGUGGACCACAUCACUGCAAACAUGUCAUGGAGAGACAGACCAAGGAGGCAGGACGUGAUACACGACUUACCCUAGGUUGCCGUGGAACCGCCAAGAAGAGAUACAGAUACAUGGACCACACCAUCUUGGGAGUAGUGACAGCAUAUAUGCAGAAGAAUACCCCGUGCCUAUUUGCAUGCAUGUCUCAAGUGAUCUGUUUUCUUCAGAAAAUACAUGAGCAUUGCCAGAAAGAAUGGCAAGAGACAAACAUGUCAUAGAGACUUGCAUGUCUUGCCUUGGAUACGCCAAGAAGAGGGACACAUACAUGGAUAACACAAAUCUAGUGACACGUAUAUUCAUCACAAAGGCAAAUCUGAUAAUUUUAUCCAUGGAGCAGACCAAGGAGAAAUUGAUGACGGACAUGUGAUCUCUGUAUUCAGUUGAAAGCUAAUUGAGCUACACUAAUAUGAGCAGGACUAUAUUCAAGAGACUUGUUGAGAGCUACAGGGAACUUGUAAUAAUUUGCUGGGCGGCCUGCGCACAAUGAUUUGUUAUACAUAGUUGAAAUAUUUCAAGAAUUUAUCAACCUCAUACUCUGAAACCCUUGGUGCAAUGUACUCUGCUUUCCGAGGUAGACUGUUCACGUAAAAUGAGGUCAUGCGUAAGACGGAAUCGGAUUGGAUUCACAGGGAAUCAGAUUUGGAUAGCACCUUUUAGCAGGUUUUUAGUCAAAUGCAAAUUCGGAUCCACAUGUGGUUGAAUGCGAGUUCAAAAUUCUACUUGGAUAUCCAUUUAAUUUAGGUGAUAGCAAUUAGCACAAAAUGUUGGAUGAACAAAAUCAUAGUUAGACAUACAAUUACAUGUAUGGUUAAAGUAUAAUACAAUACACCAAGAUUAUUCCUUGAAAAUAUUUCUUAAAAAUAUUAUAAUAAAUGAAUAAAUAUAAUUGUGGCCACCAACAAAUAGUCGGUGGUCGCUAAGUUGGAGCCAUUUCUGGUUACUAAUGCGGCCUUCUCCUCGACCAGCGACGACAGCUGAGCUUGUUCCUUCUGACACUAAAUCAUCAGAGUCUUCCCUCCACUACUAUAGAAUGCACCUUUAGCACCAAUUGGGAAAUCCCCUUCAGUAUUGGAUGCUGCAACCAGUGCUAUAUAUCAAAAUGGAGACUAAAAGCCUCGGUCUUGGGUACCGGUUGCAUAACGCAUUACUAAAGGAGGCAAAAGAGAAAUGUAACAAAAAAAAUAUUUUGAAUUCCAAGAAUGUUUCACUAUUCAAGAUGACUAGCUGAGAGUCAACAGACAAGAUACUAGGAAUGUGGGUGCUUGAAUGCAUUUGUACAGAGGUCAUACUAUUUACAAACUCUUCUAUGUUUCCAUAUGACUACCUACUUCAAUGUCACGCGAGCCAUUCAGCUGGACACAUGGCACACUAGCUUGCAUGUCGAAUCCAUGAUUAAUUAUUUGCACUUGUGAUCUCUUACCAGUAUUUGUCCAGACUAGAAACGUGCAACACAUUUUUAGGAUAUGGACACGCAUAUAUUUGGACUAGUAUACAGGUCACCUUUGGAUGCGUACAAGGAUGACCGGGAGGGACUAAUGGAUACAAGGAAGGGACCAUCAGGAUUAAUAUUGACAUAUGCCACAUGACAAUCUUCAUUGUCAUGCAAUCCCUAUCAACAAUCAUGGAAUCCCUAGUGUACUAAUCCCUGGAGGGUUGUGUGGAAAUUUAUUUUACCUUGCGGUGAAAAUCUCAUGAGCAGUCAUUAGUUAAGCUGACUAGCUGAGAUAUAAUAGACAAGCUAGUAAGAUUGGGAGCAUCAAUGCAUCCAUACAGGGUCACAAUAUCCUUUCCAUUCACUUUUAUAUAUAACCCUACGAAUACAAGUCCAACGAAAUGCGGGCCUUUCGAUCAAGAUAAAUUAAAUGGCCCACUUGUAUUUCUAAUCCAGGAUUAACUAUGCCCUCUGUUCAUCUCUUGCAAGCACGUGCAACACAUUUUCACGAUAUGGACAUGCAUGGAGGUUAUUAUACUGUUUGGACAAACUCUGAUGUGCCAUGACCUAAAUGCUUAGGGCCUGUUUGGUUUGAGUUGCUUAUUAUAAGCAACUUAAAGUUGCUUAAAGUUGCUUAUUUGAAGUUGCUUAUUUUUAGUCUAAACUGUUUGGAUACCCUUGCUUAUGAGCAUUGAAUGAGUUGGACAUUGUCAAAUUUGCCCCAUGUGUUGCUACCCCUCCAAUUUGCCUCCCCACCCUUCUUCUUCCUGCACACGUCCGAUCCCGGGGGCCGACGGCGGGCAGGGAGCAGCAGCAGCUGGCCAGGGCGGCGGUGGGGCGGGAGCGGCGGCGCACACCAGCACGCGCUCGCACGCCAGGUGCUAGGGCGCGGCGAGGCAGUCGUCGUAGCCCACCGGGAGCGGGUGCUCGGGCGCGAGGCGGUACUCGACGGAGAUGCCGAGCGUCGGGCGCGCGGCGGCGAGCGCGUUGAGGAAGCGAUGGUAGUGCGGCGACGUCGCGGACUCCGCCACGAAGCCGCCGCCGUGGACGUACACCACCACGGGCAGCUUCGUCUUGCCGUCGGCGGCCGCGGCCGCGGCCUGGGGUGGCAGGUAGAGGCGGACGGAGCAGGAGCCGAGGUCGACGUCCCUGGAGUCGACGCCCGUGGCGGCGUCCAGGCUAGGCCCGACCGGCGGCGGCACGAGCGGGCGCUCGAUGCGGCCGCUCUUGUAAAUCCGACGGGUCUGUGCGGAGGCGGGCGGCGGGCGGGAGCGGCGGGUGGGAGCGGCGGCAGGUGGUGCGGAGGCCGGCGGCGGCGGGUGGCGCGGAGGAAGGGGAGCUGGUGAGUGGUGACAGGGGAGGGGGGGAGAGAGAGGGGGGGGUAGGGUGCAUUGAAUGAGGGCAGGAGGUGUAAAGUGCACCUUUUAGUCCCCAUGAGCAACCAUAAGCAGCCCAAGAGUUGCUUAUUUGCUUAUAAUAAGCAACCUCAUAAGCAAGAGUGAUUGGUUUCAUAAGCAACUUAUUUGCUUAUUUUAAGUUGCUUAUGCAUAAGCAUGUGAAACCAAGCAGGUCCUUAACCUAUGGUUGUGGCACCACACAGUACAUAGUAUUUAAUAAUGCUAUUCGUUUGGUAUGUGCACAAGGGCACGCAUGAAAUGUCUGGCCCACGGUAAACAAGUACGGACGCUGCAAAUAAUCUACUCUGCUCGUCCAGUCCCUAGCCUAUAAAUAGAUGCCAUGCUAGCUCUUGUUGUGCUCACAAUUAAUCCUGACUACACACGAGCUUCUCUCCCUGGCCAAGACACAAUCAUAGUAUGAUGAAGAACAUGGCACUAGCCGGCAAUGGUAUGAAGAACUUAAUCCUCGCUGUUCUCUUACUGUGUCUAGUUAUAGGGCAGAUACAAGUGGAAGCUAAGAGCUGCUGCCCAUCCAUUACUGCAAGAAAUAUCUACAAUGCCUGCCGUAUCACGGGUACAUCCCGUCCAACGUGUGCAAAACUGUCAGGCUGCAAAAUUAUCAGCGGGGACAAAUGCAAGCCCCCUAACGACCACCUCACCCUUGACCCGGACACUGGUAAAUAAUAAAUUUAUCUCACUUGAUUUCUUCGUGUUUUGAGUCGUUAAUGUAUUUUCCAUCUGAUGAAACGUAUUGGUUUUGCAUUGAAGAGGAAGUUAAUGUGCUUAACUUCUGCAAGUUGGGGUGUGCGUCGUCUGUGUGCAACAACAUCAACGCUGGUAAGCACCUUUUGCUCAGACGGAGAAAACAAUAAUCAUUAAUUAGCGGCAGCUAGAAUCCUAUAAUCUAAUAUAUUUAUAUAUAUAUAUAAUUUUAUCAGCUCUGGGAAAUGAAGAGGCGAACGAUGCCGUUGAGAGUUGCGACCAAGCCUGCUCUAGCUUCUGCAACGUGCACGUUGGCGCUGCCACCGUGGUUGCUUAAGCAAAUGCAUCCAACUGGAUCGUCCUUGUGCUAAAUAAUUGGAUAUCGUAUCCACUUAAAGCUGCCUUGUGUAGUACGUUUUUGUUUGUGUCUCUCUUUAUAUUCCAAUAAGGUCGGUGAUCUUGAUGCCACACACUCAGACGUGUGUUCAUCUCCAGAUACUACUCCAUGCUACCUGCCCUUUGUGUUUUGUUCAAUAACUGGGUAUCAUAUCCCAGCCAGUGUGCCAUCUGUUUUGUGUUUAUUUCCUUCUAGUUUCAAAGGGGUUAUCAUGAUGUUACCUUCUUUCGAUAUGGUGCUUUGCAUGACUACUGUUGUAUGGUACCAUCUUGUUGGCCAAUAAAUACAUCUUAUCCUAUGACCCUUUGCUAUGACCCUUUGCAAAUAAGUACAAGAUUGUUAAAUACUCGGUAUAAAUUGACUACUGCUGUGAGUUCCCUUUCAGCUUAUCGUAGGCAUACAUUAUUGCUAGCACGGUGAAGACAACCAACACGAAUGGUCAAGUAAACGUACCGGUACUUUUGUAUACCAACACCCUUGCUUAAAUGUACCGGUGUUACUCCCCACUAGCACAUAUAUUCUUAUAUGCUAGCCGGCUUGAAAAUUAACCGAUUAAAAUAAUUAUUUCAAGACAGAAAUAACUUAUCGGCUUCUCGAAGCAUGUGUAAUGUGAAUUCAAGGACUUGAUGGAAGUUGAAUCGCUUAAUCUAGAUUGCUUUCAGGAUUUUGGGUAACUAAAUUUAACAUUUGCACAUACAAAUGUUAAUGUACAAAUAUUAAAUAUAGUUACCCAAGCAGAAUAUGAAGAUACUCUAUAGUAUAUAUAUACUAUAUAAAUCUAGUUAACAUUUAGUCUAAAUGUUAAAUCUAGUUACCUAAAAUCCUGAAAGCAAAAUGUAUAAAUAUAUAUCUUUUAAGGAAUCCCAAAGCAAGAGUUCAGUGGCAUUCUAUAGUCCCAUGCUGCUAGUUUGAGUUGGUCGAAGCCAACUUAAAUAGGAGAGCUCUCUCACUUCUCUAAAUACGUAACUGAAGGAGAGAAGGGGGCUUGGUUACACAACGCACGCACGCACGCAUAUUUGCGUUCUUUUCGCGUAACCAACCGCGUGACUUGAAACUUGCGACGUAGCGUGCUGCCAAGUCAAGUUGAUAUAACCUUUUUGCCGUAGGCGUGUAAUCUUUUGACAACGGUCAUUGGAGGUGAUAAGCACGCAGUCAAUACCUUAAUCCUGAGUUAAUAGGGCGGUUACUACUGCCAAUUAGUGGGGCAAUUUUGUAGGGGAAACGGUUAGCAGAGGGCUACCAUCUUCUCUAUAAGAAGUUCUGGAGACGUCCAGGAACACACAUGUACAUGUGAGAGACCCACGAAUUCCUUCCCAUCUCCCUUUUCCAUCUGGUGAAGUGUGCUAUGGUACUGAGCUGCUGGAUCUCGCCGGCUCUUCUCCUUGGCGUGCACCGAGGAGGAGGGUGAGCGGUAUCUCCGAGCUAUUGCCGUCAGGAAGCCUGCACGAGGGACAACAAUAAAGUUUUUGGGUAGCGCAACUACGCAACCGCUCGAUUCGAUCGACUAUGUUCUGCGCUGCCUCAUCUUCGAUCUGCACUGCAACACGUAACCCUGCAGCAAGUCUACACAAGGACGGAGCACUAAUCUGUAAGUCCUAGAUUGGUUUCUUACAGAGUUGUAGGUUACACAAGAUCUAGAAUUGUUACAUACUUAUUAUUAUGGGUUACAUGAUGUUUUGUACGGUUACGUCUAUUUUGCAUAUGCUAUUUUUACAUACCGUUUACAUGCAUAUGUAAUGGUUACGCCUAGCUAUUUGAAUCUAGAAUUGGGUUACAUAGCAGUAGCAAUGACUUACGUAAUAUGCCUCAUGUUUAUAUCUGGUAGAAUUUAACACGUAUCUCCAACAUAUUUUGAGGCAGUAUAAAUUUCAAUUCCUUUUGCUGCUCUGUUAAAUCCCGUCUUUCGUGUGGCCCAACACUCUAGUAUGCAUGUAGCACCAAGCUUGUUUGAGCCGCUUUGUGCUCUGAUUUUGCUGUCUGUAUCAGGUUGGACUGUUUCUUUGUCUUGCGAUGUAUAGCUUCAUAUCUUCUAGAGGUUAGACAGCAAAACCCGCGUUCUCUUAAGGCAACAACUCGAAGAAUCUGCAGCGCUCCUGAUAUAUCACUGCUGCAGAAACAAUCUUUAGUACUGAUUUCCAACCCCCUUUAGUAUCGGUUUGGCAAUCAGUACCACUACGUCGGUACUAAAGGGAGUUCUCUAGAAUCGGGUCAAAUAACUGGUACUAAAAGUGCUCCUCUACUACCAGUUGGUAACACCAAUAGGUAGUAACUUUUUUUGCACCCAAAAAAUUAAAGAAAAACAGCCGGGAGGCUCGCGCACACACGCAUCAUGAGUAAUAUGCGCGUGCAUGGUUUGUGGGAUUCCAACCCACGACCAAGCUAUAAGCACGUAGUUACAAAAAAAUUAAACACUUAGACAUUUUAGAGCAUCCCAAAUAACUACAAAUUCUUUAGUUUACCAUAUACCAUAAAAUAUUAGUUAAAAUAAGAGCAUACGCACGUCGGAAGAGUCCCAAUGCACCGGUUGAGGAUCAGACCAGGCACUUUGAAUGCACAUGCCAUAAGAUAAUUCUGCAGGACGAUGAUUGCAAUAAUGGACCAUCGAGAAGAUAGGGGCGAUGGGGUUGCCUCAUCAAUUAUGACUUGGCGCAACAAGACCAGCAAAGUCUUUAUCGACAGGGGUGGAUCAAGGGGUGGGGCGGGUAGAGCUCCAAUCUUCCUACCGCCGCUCGAACAAUGGAGCCCCCCUUAGCCCCUCCAUAAAUUUUUAGGUAGAAGAAAAAAGAAGAGAAGGGAAGGAAGGGGAAGAAUAGGGAGCCCCUCCUAAGUAGGUCGCCAUCGUGCUUCCCAACGCAUGAUCGCCGCACCGCAUCCAUUCCUCUACAAGCCUCCAGCGUCUCUCCUGCCGCUACCUCUGAACCAUGUGCAGCUGCAGACCCAACUAGUGUCUUGUCACCCAUCUCAAUCCCAACAGAGCGGCGGCUCCUGCCAGCACAAAUCUCCCUCCGCCUGUUCUUCACGAUCGAUGGCCACCACAAGCAUAAACCUCGCCUUCGCAUCCACGCAAAAGGGUCGCCGGUGUGCCUUCUCGCAUCGCUUCUCAGCCUCCUUCACUUGCGGCUGGCCAAGAACCGUGCCACCACCUCGGGUGCGCGCCACCGCUCCAGGGCCGCUACCCCAUGCGUGCGGCCGCCGCCGGCCACCACGCGUGUGCAACCGUGUCGCACCGCUUCCCUGCUCUGUGCCACCACUGCUACUGCACCACCAGCUCCACCACCUUGGGCUGGUCGCCAGGGUGACUGAUUGGUGGAUUAUUACUACAAAUAAGUUCCUUAUUAUCUGCAACUACUAUUAACUCAGGGAUACAUGCGUCUUUUGCUUCUCCUGUUAAUAUGUCCUAAAAUAUCUAGAAUGCCUUAUAUUUCUGGACGGAGGAAGUAUUUGAAUAAAAUGAACCAAUUUUAAAAAAUGUGUUGUACACUACUACAGAAAGAACUAUCAGUGUCAAACCCAAAAAUGUCGUCACUGCCAGUUUUGGGCAUCGUUGGUGAAAGGUUGGCGGUGAUGGGUAUCCCCUUCAACAACGGCACUAGAGCUAACAGUGAUUGACAUUAGAAAACGAAAAAGGGGACCCACCUAGCCACCCCUGCAACCCGGCUGGCCGUGCCUCCCGUCAUCCCCACCACCUCGCCUCCCCCGUGACCCCCCGCCGGCGCCCUUGCGCCUAGCCCCCUCGCCUGCCUGGCCGGCCACCCUCGUCACGAGAGAGAGGGGUGCAUGUUGUAUAAUUGCGUGAAUUUUUAAUGUUUAAUUUCAUGUAAGUUUCAUAUAAUAAAUUGUACAAGUUUUAUUGUAUAUAUGAAUUCCAUAUAUAUAUAUUUAUAAUUUAAUGUAUGGUUUCAUGUGUAUAUUUCAAUAAUGUGUAUAUUUAGUAGAUAGCCGAUUUUCUUUUUCUACAAGACAAGGGUUGAUGUAUAAUUACGUGUAUAUGUUUAUUGUACGGGCAAUUAGGACAAGUUUUGUAUAAAUUUCUUUUAUUUCAUGGUUGUUGUAUGGUUUCAUGUAUAUACAUUUAUUGUACUACUUGAGACAAUUUUUAAUUUAAUGUUUCUAUGGUUACAUGUGUGUAUAACUAAUUGUAUUAUUAGUUAAGAUGGGAGCCAAAGAGGAUGAAAGGUAUAUAAUGGAGCAGAUUAUUGCUGGCGGUAGUGGCUCAAACGUUGCAAGAACCUACAUCAAGGGUGAGGGUAGCUAGGUGGACAUGUACCUCAACAUGUCCAGUGAUGGCAAUGACGAUGAGGAGCACGAGCAUGACGUUUAUGAUAGUGCGGAACAAGACAUUGCAGAAUUGGAAGGUUCUAAUGAGGUGUGCUUCAUGUUGAUGAUCUGGUUGGCUUUUUUUCUUUGGUCACACCUUAGUUACCAUAGAACUUCGUCUCGGGAGAAGAUUGGAGGUGCUAUGGUGAUUGGAAUUUUAUUGCCUCCAAAUAUGAUUUCCAUCGAAUCAUAUCCCUUGUAUUUAUCUUCUUUUUAUUUGUGAGAGCAUCUUCUUUAUGCUUGCAAAACAAUUCAAGUGCACAUACUACACCUAGGGUGAUGAUUAGGAGUAGAAACAAUUGCCAACAAACGAACACCACAUCCUAAGAUUCUUAACUUGUGGUAUAAUUAGUCUAGUAAAAAGAAAGAUAAAAACCUAAUGGGUGUACGUGAGUGCAAUGCGUAUAUGCAUAUGAGUGGAAGGCAUAUAAGCAAAGAUAAUAUUUACACAUAGAUCUAAGCACCAUGUUUACAACUAAGUUGCUGAAUUUCUCCAUAGCUAUAGAGAUUAAUGAACCAAGGUCAAAACACCAUGUCUAUCCCAAGAUCAGUAAUUCUUUAUAGCACAAGAAAAAGAAAGCGCAUUGCAAAGUUUAUAAACCAACCAAUGCAGCAUGAAAACAAGAUGAAUAGCUAGCAAGGUUUAUUAAACUGAAUGAUGACGGUCUGCAAGCAAGUUUGAACACCAUCUUUACACAAGAUUGCAAAUGGAAAAUUCCCAUAUGAAGAACUAACAUGGAUAUGAAAUCAUUCAUCAUAAAGCGUAAAGAACAACCAAGCCAACCAUAUGCAAAGCAUGAAUGGAAUGCAAUGAAGGUGCAAGAGAACAUUUUUGGAUGAACCCAUUAUGAUGAUGGCAAAAUGCGCCGUGCCCCCCAGCCCCCGCGGUGAGAUCCCGCCGCUCGCUGCCGCCAGACCCUAUUAGGCCUCCACCGGCAGGUCCACCCACGGUCCCGCGCGACGUGGCAGCCUCUUGGCUCUCGGCGCUCGCGGCACGCCAGUGCUGGCGCAGCCCCACCAGGCGACUACCCUCCCCCCAUAAGGCCUCGGCCCCUCCCCAGCGCCGCCCCCCAACACCAGGACUGCCUGCUGCCCCCCACCGUGAGGUAAUCGAAAUCGACUGCUCAAUCUCUCAAUCUGUUGAUAUGAUGCACACGGUUGCAAAAAUAGAUGUGUCAAAAUAGAUGUUUUGCCAAUUGCUAUAGAUGCAUACGGUUGACAUGAAGUCAAAAAUGACAUUUGGUUCCUUGUAGGCAGUCAAAAAUGAAGAAGUCAAAAAAUAUUGAUCUGAAAUCAAUGUGGGAAAGGGCUAUGAAGACACGCAGGUAGAUUCCCUUGUGAACUUUUUAUGUCGUUCGUCUAAAUAAUUUUUUGCAAUGGGCAUACCCUACUCUGAAAUCCUGGGUCCGCCACUGAUGAUGAUGGUCUAAAAAUAAACCAAGCCUAGAUUAAUUAGCCACAACUGAAAUUAAGCAAAGGUUAAUGUCAUUGACCCUAGCUCUAUCCUAGCUUUUACCAAAGUUCCGGCACAUAUAGUGGUUGGGCCCACUCUCUCUGCUUCCCUCUCUGCUGCAUGCACGCACACGAGCAACGGGAGGCCCGACGAAGCCCAGAAGGGUUCGGCCGAACCAGUAUGAGCGCCGCUCCCUCCCAGCCUUCGCGCAGAUGCUCCUCCAACGUUCCUUGACCCCUCCCUCAGCGUCCCGUUGGGUUUAACAUUGCAGGAGAGGAGUCCCUUUUUUAAAAUCUCAACCACCUCCUCUCCCCAUUCACUCCACUCUCAUCUCCAUCAAACUCACCAAGAUCCGCACCGGAAAUCCCUGCUUACCACCAUGGCUGGCAAAGCCCUCAUCCCUUUCACCAACUUGGGCUUGACCACUGAUCUCGAUGGGGAAAUCACUCUGGCAAAUAUGCGUGUAACACUGCCCCCUUUGCCGAGGGUUAAAGCCAAAACACUCAGCAAAGUGGAUAGUACCCCCCUUUUUACCCGUUUUGUCAUGUAUAACGGACCCCUCUCAAUUCACAAUAGACAUCAUCAUAGGCAUUUAUAAUAAACAAUCACAGGCAUAAUUCACAAUCACCAUUACAAGCAUUAUUCAUAAAUAUCACAGACAUAAUCCAAAGUAAGCAUGAAACAAGCCAUAAAUCCAAGUUCAAGUCACAACUAAGUUUCAUCCAAGUUCAAGUCACAAAUGCAAUGUCUAAAUCCAUGGAGGCCAAGGAGACCACUGCGACAAAUCUUGGUCUUCAUUAUUCGAAGCCGCCGAUUGAUUCUGCACAUAGGAUAGGACAUUCUGAGCUAACAUCUAAAGUUGUCAAAAUUAAAGUAUUCAAUCUUAAGCACAAUGUGUCAAAUGACUCACAGGAGUAGUUGUGGGUGGCUGAGGCGGAGGGAACAGCAUCGAUGGCGGUGGCAAAGAUUGACCCAUGCUCGAAGCAAAAUUCUGCAUGUACUGGAACAUCUGGUCCAUCCUCAUCCGAUUUUCUUCCUCCAUCCUCUGCCGCUCGGCCUCUAACCUCCGCUGAACCAUCUGCUCCAUCCUCGCCGCCAUCUCCUCUUGUUGCUUCCUUGCUGCUUCCACCUGGGCCUACAAUAUUUCAUUGCAAUGUUACAAUGCAAAGCUAAAGUAUAGCAACCAACGAACAAUGAAUGGAAGAGAAAGAACCUGGAGAGCCUCCAUCUGGAACUGUCCAAUGGUUGGUCGUAGCCGUAUCGCCGGGCUCGAGUCCGUGCUCCUUGCUUGGAUCUGGGAGAGAGUGGCAGUAGAGGCCGUGUUGAUUACGCCGUCGCCAAUCCAAUAUCGGCCAUGCUUCUUGCCUCCUCCCACCCUCAUCACGAUUUCUCCAUCAAUAUCCUCAGAGCUUGAAUCGAAGUCUGGCCCGUGAACCUCCCUUGCCAUCACUGUAUAUUCCUUUGCCGAGUGCCCGAGAUAAAGCACUCGGCAAAUAGAAAACACUCGGCAACUUUACUGUUUCCCGUAGUGUCGCUAUUUUUGCAGGUUCUCGACCAGGCCAGUUCUUUGGGCCAACCUAUCAUUCACGACUUAAACAUACGGUGGCUGUAGAAAUGUUCUAUUCUUUUCAACAAUACCAGCUGGUUCCUCCGUUUUUAUUCCACCAAUACAAGCACCACCUUGUAACAUUUCCUAUGUUUUUUUUUCCUUUCGUCUGUUUUCUACAUGCGUUGCUCUUUCAUGCAUUUUUUUCCAUUCCUGUAUUCCAAAUAGGUCUACAUGAACACAAAAUGAACUAGGGGACAGAAAAAGCCAGUGAAGCCAAUUUUGAGCUUCACCAGCUACUUGCUACAUAAAGUGUGCUAUAGUGACGUGUUUUAGCAAAACAUGUUAUCAAUGACUUGACAUUGGUGACGUGUUAAAACGCGUUAUCUCAAUGGCAAAUCAUUGGUGACGUGUUUUAAAAAAACAUGUCACCGUGAGAGUCAUUGGUGAAGGGUAAUUAUAAUGCGUCACUAAUGUUGUAGCAUUAGUUAUGAUAAUUUAGUAACGCAAAAAUCUACCAUCAGUAUUGAGCUUUAGAGCCAUCGCUAAUGUGGGUUUCUUACAUAGUGAUGCAAGCUCUACAAGGUGCUGUUGCUGCCAUUUUAAAGCAUCCCAUGACUACAUGUUAAUAACAUAGUUUACCAUAUAUCAUAAAAAUAUUAGUUACAAUAAGCACAUACGCAUGUGGAAGAGUCCGAAUGCACCGGUUGAGGACUAAACACAUUGAAUUACUAGAACCAAAUGUGUGUUUAGAACAAAGACAGGGGUCAAGGUUUGGGUAACCGCAUUAAAAACAUUGGAUUUUACUGUACAUGAACACUUAGUUACCAUUACCAUGCCUUGAGCACCUAGUUACAACAAACAUUAAUUUAGCCACUUUAGAGCUUCCAGAAUCGCUAUAAAUAAUAUACCUACGCCGUACCAUGAAAACAUCAAGAAGAGAGACGGAUACAUGGACCACCAUCAAGCGAGUAGUGACAGCACGCACAAGAAUACCCGGAACCUGUUAGCUUGUCUGUAGUGAUCUGUUUUCUUCCCCAUAAAAUCCAUGAGUAUUGCCACAAAUAAUGAAAGAGGCUGACCAAGCUAGCAAGGAGGUAGAGCAAACGUGAUACACGGCCUGCCAAGAUUGCCCUGGAUACGCCAAUAAGAGCGACAGAUACAUGGAUCACACCAAUAUGGUGAAACGUAUAUUCAUCACACAAGCAAAGCUGGUCAGUUUAUCCAUGGUCAAAUUGUGGUCUUUGUUUUCACUUGAGAGCUAAUUGAGGCACUAUAAUAUGGGCAGGCCUAUCUUCAACAGACAUGACAGCUACAGGGAACUUGACAUAAUUUGCUGGGCCGCCUGUGCACAAUUAUUUGUUUUAUUGUCCUUGCAUAGAAUGCUAAAAUACUCUUUACAAAAUGUUGGAUCUAAUAUUUGAAAUAUAGAGUAGUAAUCAUAUAUUGAUCAACAACUUGAAAUUAUCUGUACAUUCUCGGUGAAGCUGUUGAACUAAUUUUUGCAAAUUAUUAAUUCAUCUCAUUACGUAAAGAAAAAAGUAAGUGGAUAAGAUAUUUCGUGGACCACAUCACUGCAAACAUGUCAUGGAGAGACAGACCAAGGAGGCAGGACGUGAUACACGACUUACCCUAGGUUGCCGUGGAACCGCCAAGAAGAGAUACAGAUACAUGGACCACACCAUCUUGGGAGUAGUGACAGCAUAUAUGCAGAAGAAUACCCCGUGCCUAUUUGCAUGCAUGUCUCAAGUGAUCUGUUUUCUUCAGAAAAUACAUGAGCAUUGCCAGAAAGAAUGGCAAGAGACAAACAUGUCAUAGAGACUUGCAUGUCUUGCCUUGGAUACGCCAAGAAGAGGGACACAUACAUGGAUAACACAAAUCUAGUGACACGUAUAUUCAUCACAAAGGCAAAUCUGAUAAUUUUAUCCAUGGAGCAGACCAAGGAGAAAUUGAUGACGGACAUGUGAUCUCUGUAUUCAGUUGAAAGCUAAUUGAGCUACACUAAUAUGAGCAGGACUAUAUUCAAGAGACUUGUUGAGAGCUACAGGGAACUUGUAAUAAUUUGCUGGGCGGCCUGCGCACAAUGAUUUGUUAUACAUAGUUGAAAUAUUUCAAGAAUUUAUCAACCUCAUACUCUGAAACCCUUGGUGCAAUGUACUCUGCUUUCCGAGGUAGACUGUUCACGUAAAAUGAGGUCAUGCGUAAGACGGAAUCGGAUUGGAUUCACAGGGAAUCAGAUUUGGAUAGCACCUUUUAGCAGGUUUUUAGUCAAAUGCAAAUUCGGAUCCACAUGUGGUUGAAUGCGAGUUCAAAAUUCUACUUGGAUAUCCAUUUAAUUUAGGUGAUAGCAAUUAGCACAAAAUGUUGGAUGAACAAAAUCAUAGUUAGACAUACAAUUACAUGUAUGGUUAAAGUAUAAUACAAUACACCAAGAUUAUUCCUUGAAAAUAUUUCUUAAAAAUAUUAUAAUAAAUGAAUAAAUAUAAUUGUGGCCACCAACAAAUAGUCGGUGGUCGCUAAGUUGGAGCCAUUUCUGGUUACUAAUGCGGCCUUCUCCUCGACCAGCGACGACAGCUGAGCUUGUUCCUUCUGACACUAAAUCAUCAGAGUCUUCCCUCCACUACUAUAGAAUGCACCUUUAGCACCAAUUGGGAAAUCCCCUUCAGUAUUGGAUGCUGCAACCAGUGCUAUAUAUCAAAAUGGAGACUAAAAGCCUCGGUCUUGGGUACCGGUUGCAUAACGCAUUACUAAAGGAGGCAAAAGAGAAAUGUAACAAAAAAAAUAUUUUGAAUUCCAAGAAUGUUUCACUAUUCAAGAUGACUAGCUGAGAGUCAACAGACAAGAUACUAGGAAUGUGGGUGCUUGAAUGCAUUUGUACAGAGGUCAUACUAUUUACAAACUCUUCUAUGUUUCCAUAUGACUACCUACUUCAAUGUCACGCGAGCCAUUCAGCUGGACACAUGGCACACUAGCUUGCAUGUCGAAUCCAUGAUUAAUUAUUUCCACUUGUGAUCUCUUACCAGUAUUUGUCCAGACUAGAAACGUGCAACACAUUUUUAGGAUAUGGACACGCAUAUAUUUGGACUAGUAUACAGGUCACCUUUGGAUGCGUACAAGGAUGACCGGGAGGGACUAGAAAUGGUCUAGUUUUGAUUGGACUACAAAACUUUUUGUACAGUGAAUAGAGAAUAUAUAUUAUUGUUGGAAUACGAGGUAGGCUACACUAUCGCAAUUCUGAUAUUCUACCGCGUAUAACCAAGAAGAACUGUCGUAUAAGGAUCACGGGAUUACCACUCGACGCACUACUGGUGCGGAAGAUGUAGAUAUGCGUCGAUGCAGUGAAGACGAUCACGUAGUCGUAUGUAGUCGAUCAACGUAGUCGUACAUAGUCGAUCACGUCCAGCAGCUCCUCAGCAGCUCGUCCACGUGCAGCAAGAUCGCCUCCGGUACCGCGGCUCGUCGUUGGCUUGUCGUGGCUCGUCGACGGCUCGUCGGCGGCUCGUCCAAGUGCUGCAGGCGCAACACCUCCAAGGUAUCCACACGUGCAGGGAGGAAGCGUCGCAAGCCGGACUGCUAGAUCCACGAGUUGCAACAGGCGAGGGCGUGGGAGGCGCGGCAGGUGUGUUUCGCCAAAAAGGUGUAAACCCUAGGGCGCCCCCACCCCUCUAUUUAUAGAGGUUCCUGACGGGCCUCUGGAUCCGAGGCCCAUUAGUACUUCUAAACCUAAUCCAACUCGGAUCAGAUCCGAAUUGGGCUUCCAGCCCCUUAAGUGUGUGACCCUAUAAGUUCGGAUACGUAUAGACAUGGCCCGAGUACUCCUACUCGGCCCAAUAGUCGGUAGCGGCCUCUAGCAAGACGUGCCAACUCCUAUACGCACACGAAGAUCAUAUCAGACGAACCAUCACAACAUAAUAUACAUGCUAUUCCCUUUGCCUCACGAUAUUUGGUCUAGCUUCAAGCCGACCGCUCUUUCUCAGUCCUGUGAUUCGGAAUCCCUUUGUAGGUUAACUCUUAACCGUACGUAGCAUGGCCAUGCAUUUUCGGAUCUGAUCACUCGAGGGGCCCAGAGAUAUCACUCUCAAUCAGAGAGGGGCAAAUCCCAUCUUGAUUGACCAUGUCUCAUAGCAUGCUUCUUGACAAACCUAAAAACUACCUUUAUAACUUCCCUGUUACGGCGUAGUGUUUGAUAGCUCCUAAGUAGGUCGAUCCACAUCUAGAAUACAUGCGACAAUUUCAGGUCUAAGGACAAAGCGUAUAUGUUGUUUAAAGAGAGAACUACUUCUCGUGUUGGGUCAGUCCCAGCACAUGUCUCCACAUGUGUCCACAUUAUUAGUUCAACAUCUCCAUGUCCAUGACUUGUGAAACAUAGUCAUCAACUAAUACAUGUGCUAGUCUAAUAUUCAUGUGUGUCCUCACAUGAACUCCGACUAGGGACAACUUUAGAAUAACCAUACAAGUAAAGAGUUUCACAUACAAUUCACAUAAUUGCAAAUCAAUUCAAGUAGCCUUCAAUGGAUAUUCAAUGAACACAACAUACAAAUCAUGGAUACAAAUGGAAUAUCAUCAUCUCUAUGAUUGCCUCUAGGGCAUACCUCCAACAGUCUCCCACUUGCACUAGAGUCAAUCUAGAAGGUACCUAAUACCCAUAGCUCUUACAUGCGCAUCAUGCUUAGCCUGCGGGAGUGGUUUUGUCAACGGAUCAGAAAUGUUCAGAUCCGUGUGUAUUUUGCAUAUCUUGAUCUCACCCCGGUUAACGAAGUCUCGAAUGAGAUGAAAUCGCCGCAUUACAUGUUUGUUCUUCUGGUGGUUCCUUGGCUCCUUUGCUUGCGCAAUUGCCCCAUUGUUAUCACAGUAGAGAUUCAAUGGGCUGGACCCAUUCGGGAACACACCAAGCUCAAUGAGGAAAUUCCUUAUCCAAACACCUUCCUUCGCGGCUUCCGAAGCCGCGAUGUACUCGGCUUCUGUCGUAGAAUCGGCCACCGUCUCCUGCUUGGAACUCUUCCAACUAACAGCACCACCAUUUAGCGUGAACACAAAUCCUGUUUGUGACUUUGAAUCAUCUCUGUCGGUUUGGAAACUAGCAUCGGUGUAACCUGUUACAACGAGCUCCUCCUCACCUCCAUAGACGAGGAAUAUAUCUUUAGUCCUUCUCAAGUACUUAAGAAUGUUUUUCACCGCUGUUCAGUGACUCUCACCUGGAUCAGAUUGGUGUCUGCUUGUCAUACUUAGCACAUAUGAAACAUCUGGGCGAGUACUUAUCAUUGCAUACAUGAUAGAUCCAAUAGCCGAGGCAUAUGACACUCUACUCAUGUGAUCCCGCUCAUCAGCAGUCGAAGGACACUGAGUCUUGCUGAGAUGUAUGCCAUGUGACAUAGGCAAGAACCCUUCCAUGCUGAACCGCUUCAACACUUUGUCAAUGUAAGUAUCUUGGCUUAAACCUAUAAGCCUUCUCGAUCUAUCUCUAUAGAUCUUAAUGCCCAGAAUAUAUGCCGCUUCCCCUAAGUCCUUCAUCGAAAAACUAUUUUUCAGUGAAGUCUUUAUGGACUCAAGCAUAGGAAUGUUAUUUCCAAUCAGUAAUAUGUCAUCCACAUAUAAGAUUAGAAAUACUACAGAGCUCCCACUAACCUUCUUGUAAACACAAGACUCUUCUUCGUUCUUGGUGAAGUCAAACCCUUUGACCACUUCAUCAAAACGAAUGUUCCAACUCCUAGAUGCUUGCUUCAAUCAAUAAAUGGAUCUCUGAAGCUUGCAUACCUUUCCAGCAUUUUUCGGAUCGACAAAACCCUUGGACUGUAUCAUAUACACGUCCUCAGUUAGGUUUCCAUUCAGGAAAGCUGUCUUGACAUCCAUCUGCCAUAUCUCAUAAUCGAAAUAUGCAGCCAAACUUGAUUGUCUCCCAUGGACUCUAUUUCGGAUUGCAUGGCAUUCUGCCAUUUUUCGGAGUCUGGGUCCAUCAUUGCUUCUGCAUAUGUCACAGGCUCAUCAUUGUCCAACAAUAAUAUUUCCUGCAUUUCGCGGAGCCUUGCCGACCUUCGUGGUUGUGGCGGUGCUUCUCUUGCCAUGGGUAUCUCAACUUGUUCUGCUACGUUAGCAUCACUCAUUGAUUCUUGCCCGAUCGGCUCAUCUUGAACUUCUUCAAGAUGCACUGUCUUUCCACUCUUUUCUCCUUUGAGAAACUCUUUCUCUAGGAAAACCCCGUUCCGAGCGACAAACACUUUGCCUUCUGAUCAGUUGUAAAAAUAAUAUCCCAAAGUUUCCUUUGGAUAUCCCACGAAAAUGCACUUAUCCGACUUGGGUGCGAUCUUGUCCGACUGAAGUCGCUUGACAAACACAUCACAUCCCCAAAUCUUUAGAAAAGACAAACUAGGAACCUUUCCAGUCCAUAUCUCAUAUGGUGUCUUAACUACGGAUUUAGAUGGUACCCUAUUAAGUGUGAAAGCUGCUGUUUCUAGAGCGUAUCCCCAAAAUGACAACGGUAGGUCCGACUGGCUCAUCAUUGAUCGAACCAUGUCUAACAAAGAUCGAUUACGUCGCUCGGACACACCGUUUCUCUGAGGUGAUCCAGGCGGCGUAAGUUGUGGAACAAUUCCGCAACUCUUUAGAUGAUUGCUAAACUUGUGGCUCAAAUACUCGCCUCCACGAUCAGAUUGUAAGGCCUUAAUUUUCUUGACACGCUAAUUUUCAACUUCAUUCUGAAAAUCCUUGAACUUUUCAAAGGUUUCAGACUUGUGCCUCAUCAAGUAGACAUAGCCAUAUCUACUAAAAUCAUCAGUGAAAGAUAUGAAGUAUUGGAAUCCUCCUCUAGCCGUCGUGCUCAUUGGUCCGCAUACAUCACUAUGUACGAGUUCCAACAAGUCUACUGCUCUCUCAGGAAAUCCUGUGAAAGACGUCUUGGUCAUCUUGCCUAGCAAGCAAGCCUCACAUGUCUCGUAUGAUUCAAAAUCAAACGAAGUUAGAAGUCCAUCAGAAUGGAGCUUCUUCAUGCGUUUUUCACUUAUAUGACCCAAACGACAAUGCCACAAGUAGGUAGGACUCAAAUCAUUAGGCCGAGGCCUUUUAGCACUUACAUUACAGACAGGUGAACCAUCAAGAUUUAAAACAAAUAAUCCAUUCACAAUGGGUGCAAAAGCCAUAAACAUAUUAUUCUUAGAGAUCACACAACCAUUGUUUUCACUCGCAAAUGAAUAACCAUCCUUCAUCAAGCAUGAAGGAGACAAAAUGUUUCGACUUAAACUAGGAACAAAAUAACAAUUAUUCAACUCCAUAAUAAAUGCUGACGGGAGGUGGAGUUGCAUCGUCCCGACGGUCAACGCAGCAACUCUUGCAUUAUUGCCCACGCGGAAAUCAACUUCUCCUCUUUCCACGCUUCUACUUCUUAUCAUUCCCUGCAUCGAAUUGCAAAUAUGAGCAACCGAUCCGGUAUCAAAUACCCAAGAAUUAAUAAUUGUAUCAGCGAGAAAUAUGUUGUCUAUGACAUUAACAACAAGCGUACCUGAGGUAGAAGUACUCUUACUUCCUCCAUUCUUCAACGAAGCUAGGUACUGCUUGCAGUUUCUCUUCCAGUGACCAAGUUCAUGACAGUAAAAGCACUCUUUGUCUGGAGCAGGUCCAGGUCCAGCUUUAACCUUGGGCGCUCGCUGGGUUUGGCUUGGAAAUUCCAGCCUUGCCCUUCUUCUUCCAAGAAUUGCCCUUCUUCUUAAAGCUAGGCUUGUUCUGUAUAGCCAUCACAUGGCUAGUACAAGCGCUUUUCUUGAUGUCUACCUCUGCUGUCUUGAGCAUACCACACAGUUCAUUCAAACCCUUCUCCGUCCCAUGCAUAUGGUAGUUCGAGAUGAAGUUCCCAUAGCUAGGCGGAAGAGAUGAAAGAAUGAAGUCAGUGGCCAACUCUUUGCCCAUUGGGAAGCCCAGCUUCUCCAAUCGCUGAGUGUAACCAACCAUGUUGAUUACAUGUGGUCCUACUGCUGCGUCUUCUGCUAGCUUGCACUCCAGAAAAGCUUUGGACACAUUGAACCUUUCAGUCCUAGCCUGUGUCUGGAACAUGUCCUUGAGCGCCACGAUCAUAUCGUGUGCCUCAUGAUUUGUUUCGAACUGCAUCUGCAGCUCGGGUUCCAUGCAAGCAAGCAUAAGGCAGCUUACCUCAAGAUUAGCAUCAAAUGCCUUCUUGUAAGCAGCCUUAACGGCAGCAGAUGCAUCAUCAGCAGGUACUGGUGGUAGUGGGGUAUCUAGAACAUCUUCCUUUUUAUCGGCCCUGAGAACAAUUCUCAGGUUACGGAUCCAAUCCGAGUAGUUUGUUCCAUUCAACUUGUCCUUCUCAAGGACCGAGCGCAAAGCAAACGAUGUGGUGGUGUUGCUAGGUGCCAUUUAAUCUACAACAAAAGUAAUGCAAAAUACACUAAGACAAACGUAUCCAUGAUAGAGCAAAUUACAUUAAACUAUUUUAACAGAAUCUACUCCCACUAAAAUCAAUAUCCCUCUAUUGAAACUUAGUGAUUCAGGAUCCACAACUAACAAGUCUACUAGUGAGCUUUAGCAUCACCGCUAGCAAACGAGGUAGAUCGGUAAGCAACUUUUGCUAAUCAUAUCACAUAUGACUCCUGUUGUUGGGUGACAUCUCCAUGUCUCGGCGCCCAACCAUUAUGCCCCAAGGUCCUUAACCGUUAAGAUGACCUCGUUAAGCAAACCAACCCUUAUGCGUGUAAGUGUCCGACACAAACCCGUCUAGUCAAGGAAAACUAGUGGCACCCUAAUUUCAUAGACCCACCACUAAUUGUACAAGACAUGGGACGGUGCAAGUUUUAGUUGGGAGGGCAUACUAACUUAAAUUUUUUGUGAGGGAUCGUUCUACUUCUAACAUCACAGCAUGCAGAAAGUAAAACAUAAACAGAAUAGCAUUCACACAGCUGUGACACAGUAUGGCCCGUUUUUAUAUGGUGAUCUCCAUCUCCAUAGAACCUGUUCACCAUGGUGAUCUCCAUCUCCAUGUUCCAUGUGCGCCAUCCUCCUGGUGAGGAGUCCUCCAAGAACUAGAACAUGCUAUUACACCUAAUAGCUAGUAAAGAAUCUAGUAAUGAAGAUUACAUAGUUGCUUGGAUCAUCACAGAUUGGUACGCAGACCAUUAAAUACAAUAAAGUGACAACACAUAUGGCUCCUGCCGUGUUGCCGUACGCGCGACACGCAGGUCACGAAUGAGUUACACACAUGCAUCACAUACACAAGGGGGCCAUACUGAUCACAAGAUACAUACAUACAUCCUGCAAAACAGAGUUAGGCGUCCUAACGUUCCAAACUUCGAAGGCCCGAAACUCCAUCUUCCAAGCCGAAUUUGGGAAAUCUAAUUUUGCCGAAAACGGCAAAGCGGUUGAAUUUCAUGUGUAACUUUUUCUGUAGAUCAAUUUUCAUAUAAAAUUCGCCCCGAUCCGAGAUCGUACCGAAAAGUUACGGCUGAUUUACCGAAGCAUACGCAUACGGCAAAAAUUCCGACCCCGGCAGUAGAUCCCAUCUACUAUUGCACAUCUAAUGCGCCUGGCGUAUGAUCCUGGAUUUCGAUUCGACCAAUCAUAUUGAUCUUCGCUCACUGCAACUGGAAUUACGUGUAUCACUUAACUCGUCGGCGGCUCGUCGGCGGCUCAUCCAAGUGCUGCAGGCCCAACACCUCCAAGGUAUCCACACGUGCAGGGAGGAAGCGUCGCAAACCGGACUGCUAGAUCCGCGAGUUGCAAUAGGCGAGGGCGUGGGAGGCGCCGCAGGUGUGUUUCGCCAAAAAGAUGUAAACCCUAGGGCGCCCCCACCCCUCUAUUUAUAGAGGUUCCUGACGGGCCUCUGGAUCCGAGGCCCAUUAGUACUUCUAAACCUAAUCCAACUCGGAUCAGAUCCGAAUUGGGCUUCCAGCCCCUUAAGUGUGUGACCCUAUGGGUUCGGAUACGUAUAGACAUGGCCCGAGUACUCCUACUCGGCCCAAUAGUCGGUAGCGGCCUCUAGCAAGACGUGCCAACUCCUAUACACACACGAAGAUCAUAUCAGAUGAACCAUCACAACAUAAUAUACAUGCUAUUCCCUUUGCCUCACGAUAUUUGGUCUAGCUUCAAGCCGACCGCUCUUUCUCAAUCCUGUGAUUCGGAAUCCCUUUGUAGGUUAACUCUUAACCGUACGUAGCAUGGCCAUGCAUUUUCGGAUCCGAUCACUCGAGGGGCCCAGAGAUAUCACUCUCAAUCAGAGAGGGGCAAAUCCCAUCUUGAUUGACCAUGUCUCAUAGCAUGCUUCUUGACAAACCCGAAAACUACCUUUAUAACUACCCUGUUACGGCGUAGCAUUUGAUAGCCCCUAAGUAGGUCGAUCCACAUCUAGAAUACAUGCGACAAUCUCAGGUCUAAGGACAAAGCGUAUAUGUUGUUUAAAGAGAGAACUACUUCUCGUGUUGGGUCAGUCCCAGCACAUGUCUCCACAUGUGUCCACAUUAUUAGUUCAACAUCUCCAUGUCCAUGACUUGUGAAACAUAGUCAUCAACUAAUACAUGUGCUAGUCUAAUAUUCAUGUGUGUCCUCACAUGAACUCCGACUAGGGACAACUUUAGAAUAACCAUACAAGUAAAGAGUUUCACAUACAAUUCACAUAAUUGCAAAUCAAUUCAAGUAGCCUUCAAUGGAUAUUCAAUGAACACAACAUACAAAUCAUGGAUACAAAUGGAAUAUCAUCAUCUCUAUGAUUGCCUCUAGGGCAUACCUCCAACAAUUAUUUCAUGUAAAUUUUUGACAAUUUUUUAAAAUUGUUUGAUAUUUUUUAAAUUUUUUUUAAAAUAACUUUGCCGAGUGUCCUAUUGUAGACACUCGGCAAAGCAGCCUUCACCGAGUGUUACCCCUGGGACACUCGGCGAAUUAAUGCCCGGCCGCUCAAGAAUAUGUGCCCGGCCCCCUCACUCUCCCGGCCCCCCUCACUCUCACUCCCCUCACUCCCUCCUCUCUCCCUCCUCUCUCCCUCUCGCCGCCGCCCGAAACCCCCGCCGCCGCCCGCCGCCCGGCAUGCCGCCCAGCGCCCCCCGCCGCCGCCCGGCGCUCCCGAAUCCGCCGCCGCCCGCCCGGCGCCCGGCCCCCGGAUCCGCCGCCGCCGGCCGCCCGGCGCCCCCGGAUUCGCCGCCGCCCGCCCGGCCCCCGGCCCCCGGAUCAGCCGCCGCCCGCCGCCCGGCGCACGGCGCCCCCGGAUCCGCCGCCGCCUGCCCGGCGCCCGGCCCCUGGCCCCCUGAUCCGCCGCCGCCCGCCCGGAUCCGCCGCCGCCCGCCCGGCGCCCGGCCCCCGGCCCCCGGAUCCACCGCCGCCCCCCCGGCCCCCGGAUCCGCCGCCCGCCCGUCCCCUCCACCGGAUCCGCCGGCGCCGGGGCCUGAAGAGAAGAGAAGAGGAGAGGAUGGUGGCGGCGGCGGCCGCGGCGGCGGAGCAGGUGGCAGAGCAUGCAUGAUUUUUUUUUAUUUUUUCAAUAAUUGUUCGCCAAGUGUUUUCUGGGCACUCGGCAAAGUCUUUGCCGAGUGCCCGACACAAAACACUCGGCGAACCAGUGUUUGCCGUCAAGAUUUUUGCCGUGUGUCGUUUGCCGAGUGUUACACUCGGCAAACGCUUUGUCGAGUGUUUUUGGGGUUUCGCGGAGUGACCCUGGCACUCGGCAUCACGCAUGUUUCCCUUAGUGAACUUGAAAUUAUCUGUACAUUCUCGGUGAAGCUGUUGAACUAAUUUUUGCAAAUUAUUAAUUCAUCUCAUUACGCAAAGAAAAAAGUAAGUGGAUAAGAUAUUUCGUGGACCACAUCACUGCAAACAUGUCAUGGAGAGACAGACCAAGGAGGCAGGACGUGAUACACGACUUACCCUAGGUUGCCGUGGAACCGCCAAGAAGAGAUACAGAUACAUGGACCACACCAUCUUGGGAGUAGUGACAGCAUAUAUGCAGAAGAAUACCCCGUGCCUAUUUGCAUGCAUGUCUCAAGUGAUCUGUUUUCUUCAGAAAAUACAUGAGCAUUGCCAGAAAGAAUGGCAAGAGACAAACAUGUCAUAGAGACUUGCAUGUCUUGCCUUGGAUACGCCAAGAAGAGGGACACAUACAUGGAUAACACAAAUCUAGUGACACGUAUAUUCAUCACAAAGGCAAAUCUGAUAAUUUUAUCCAUGGAGCAGACCAAGGAGAAAUUGAUGACGGACAUGUGAUCUCUGUAUUCAGUUGAAAGCUAAUUGAGCUACACUAAUAUGAGCAGGACUAUAUUCAAGAGACUUGUUGAGAGCUACAGGGAACUUGUAAUAAUUUGCUGGGCGGCCUGCGCACAAUGAUUUGUUAUACAUAGUUGAAAUAUUUCAAGAAUUUAUCAACCUCAUACUCUGAAACCCUUGGUGCAAUGUACUCUGCUUUCCGAGGUAGACUGUUCACGUAAAAUGAGGUCAUGCGUAAGACGGAAUCGGAUUGGAUUCACAGGGAAUCAGAUUUGGAUAGCACCUUUUAGCAGGUUUUUAGUCAAAUGCAAAUUCGGAUCCACAUGUGGUUGAAUGCGAGUUCAAAAUUCUACUUGGAUAUCCAUUUAAUUUAGGUGAUAGCAAUUAGCACAAAAUGUUGGAUGAACAAAAUCAUAGUUAGACAUACAAUUACAUGUAUGGUUAAAGUAUAAUACAAUACACCAAGAUUAUUCCUUGAAAAUAUUUCUUAAAAAUAUUAUAAUAAAUGAAUAAAUAUAAUUGUGGCCACCAACAAAUAGUCGGUGGUCGCUAAGUUGGAGCCAUUUCUGGUUACUAAUGCGGCCUUCUCCUCGACCAGCGACGACAGCUGAGCUUGUUCCUUCUGACACUAAAUCAUCAGAGUCUUCCCUCCACUACUAUAGAAUGCACCUUUAGCACCAAUUGGGAAAUCCCCUUCAGUAUUGGAUGCUGCAACCAGUGCUAUAUAUCAAAAUGGAGACUAAAAGCCUCGGUCUUGGGUACCGGUUGCAUAACGCAUUACUAAAGGAGGCAAAAGAGAAAUGUAACAAAAAAAAUAUUUUGAAUUCCAAGAAUGUUUCACUAUUCAAGAUGACUAGCUGAGAGUCAACAGACAAGAUACUAGGAAUGUGGGUGCUUGAAUGCAUUUGUACAGAGGUCAUACUAUUUACAAACUCUUCUAUGUUUCCAUAUGACUACCUACUUCAAUGUCACGCGAGCCAUUCAGCUGGACACAUGGCACACUAGCUUGCAUGUCGAAUCCAUGAUUAAUUAUUUGCACUUGUGAUCUCUUACCAGUAUUUGUCCAGACUAGAAACGUGCAACACAUUUUUAGGAUAUGGACACGCAUAUAUUUGGACUAGUAUACAGGUCACCUUUGGAUGCGUACAAGGAUGACCGGGAGGGACUAAUGGAUACAAGGAAGGGACCAUCAGGAUUAAUAUUGACAUAUGCCACAUGACAAUCUUCAUUGUCAUGCAAUCCCUAUCAACAAUCAUGGAAUCCCUAGUGUACUAAUCCCUGGAGGGUUGUGUGGAAAUUUAUUUUACCUUGCGGUGAAAAUCUCAUGAGCAGUCAUUAGUUAAGCUGACUAGCUGAGAUAUAAUAGACAAGCUAGUAAGAUUGGGAGCAUCAAUGCAUCCAUACAGGGUCACAAUAUCCUUUCCAUUCACUUUUAUAUAUAACCCUACGAAUACAAGUCCAACGAAAUGCGGGCCUUUCGAUCAAGAUAAAUUAAAUGGCCCACUUGUAUUUCUAAUCCAGGAUUAACUAUGCCCUCUGUUCAUCUCUUGCAAGCACGUGCAACACAUUUUCACGAUAUGGACAUGCAUGGAGGUUAUUAUACUGUUUGGACAAACUCUGAUGUGCCAUGACCUAAAUGCUUAGGGCCUGUUUGGUUUGAGUUGCUUAUUAUAAGCAACUUAAAGUUGCUUAAAGUUGCUUAUUUGAAGUUGCUUAUUUUUAGUCUAAACUGUUUGGAUACCCUUGCUUAUGAGCAUUGAAUGAGUUGGACAUUGUCAAAUUUGCCCCAUGUGUUGCUACCCCUCCAAUUUGCCUCCCCACCCUUCUUCUUCCUGCACACGUCCGAUCCCGGGGGCCGACGGCGGGCAGGGAGCAGCAGCAGCUGGCCAGGGCGGCGGUGGGGCGGGAGCGGCGGCGCACACCAGCACGCGCUCGCACGCCAGGUGCUAGGGCGCGGCGAGGCAGUCGUCGUAGCCCACCGGGAGCGGGUGCUCGGGCGCGAGGCGGUACUCGACGGAGAUGCCGAGCGUCGGGCGCGCGGCGGCGAGCGCGUUGAGGAAGCGAUGGUAGUGCGGCGACGUCGCGGACUCCGCCACGAAGCCGCCGCCGUGGACGUACACCACCACGGGCAGCUUCGUCUUGCCGUCGGCGGCCGCGGCCGCGGCCUGGGGUGGCAGGUAGAGGCGGACGGAGCAGGAGCCGAGGUCGACGUCCCUGGAGUCGACGCCCGUGGCGGCGUCCAGGCUGGGCCCGACCGGCGGCGGCACGAGCGGGCGCUCGAUGCGGCCGCUCUUGUAAAUCCGACGGGUCUGUGCGGAGGCGGGCGGCGGGCGGGAGCGGCGGGUGGGAGCGGCGGCAGGUGGUGCGGAGGCCGGCGGCGGCGGGUGGCGCGGAGGAAGGGGAGCUGGUGAGUGGUGACAGGGGAGGGGGGGAGAGAGAGGGGGGGUAGGGUGCAUUGAAUGAGGGCAGGAGGUGUAAAGUGCACCUUUUAGUCCCCAUGAGCAACCAUAAGCAGCCCAAGAGUUGCUUAUUUGCUUAUAAUAAGCAACCUCAUAAGCAAGAGUGAUUGGUUUCAUAAGCAACUUAUUUGCUUAUUUUAAGUUGCUUAUGCAUAAGCAUGUGAAACCAAGCAGGUCCUUAACCUAUGGUUGUGGCACCACACAGUACAUAGUAUUUAAUAAUGCUAUUCGUUUGGUAUGUGCACAAGGGCACGCAUGAAAUGUCUGGCCCACGGUAAACAAGUACGGACGCUGCAAAUAAUCUACUCUGCUCGUCCAGUCCCUAGCCUAUAAAUAGAUGCCAUGCUAGCUCUUGUUGUGCUCACAAUUAAUCCUGACUACACACGAGCUUCUCUCCCUGGCCAAGACACAAUCAUAGUAUGAUGAAGAACAUGGCACUAGCCGGCAAUGGUAUGAAGAACUUAAUCCUCGCUGUUCUCUUACUGUGUCUAGUUAUAGGGCAGAUACAAGUGGAAGCUAAGAGCUGCUGCCCAUCCAUUACUGCAAGAAAUAUCUACAAUGCCUGCCGUAUCACGGGUACAUCCCGUCCAACGUGUGCAAAACUGUCAGGCUGCAAAAUUAUCAGCGGGGACAAAUGCAAGCCCCCUAACGACCACCUCACCCUUGACCCGGACACUGGUAAAUAAUAAAUUUAUCUCACUUGAUUUCUUCGUGUUUUGAGUCGUUAAUGUAUUUUCCAUCUGAUGAAACGUAUUGGUUUUGCAUUGAAGAGGAAGUUAAUGUGCUUAACUUCUGCAAGUUGGGGUGUGCGUCGUCUGUGUGCAACAACAUCAACGCUGGUAAGCACCUUUUGCUCAGACGGAGAAAACAAUAAUCAUUAAUUAGCGGCAGCUAGAAUCCUAUAAUCUAAUAUAUUUAUAUAUAUAUAUAAUUUUAUCAGCUCUGGGAAAUGAAGAGGCGAACGAUGCCGUUGAGAGUUGCGACCAAGCCUGCUCUAGCUUCUGCAACGUGCACGUUGGCGCUGCCACCGUGGUUGCUUAAGCAAAUGCAUCCAACUGGAUCGUCCUUGUGCUAAAUAAUUGGAUAUCGUAUCCACUUAAAGCUGCCUUGUGUAGUACGUUUUUGUUUGUGUCUCUCUUUAUAUUCCAAUAAGGUCGGUGAUCUUGAUGCCACACACUCAGACGUGUGUUCAUCUCCAGAUACUACUCCAUGCUACCUGCCCUUUGUGUUUUGUUCAAUAACUGGGUAUCAUAUCCCAGCCAGUGUGCCAUCUGUUUUGUGUUUAUUUCCUUCUAGUUUCAAAGGGGU